UGUGAUAUUGGGGAGAGUCUUUUGGAUAGUAAUGGCCACGACAGCUAUGUCGCUUUGAGAUAUGUGUGUUCUAUUUGGAGGUCAGCCAUCUCAUCUUAUCAAAGGCUUUUUGUUCGAGCGCAUCGAUGGAUUGUUCUUGAGGAGAUCAAUGAAUUCAGUGAUUGCACUGUACAUCGGGUAUUGGUUAAUGUUUCAACUGGACGGAUGGUCAAGCGUCGCAUUCCUCUUUUGAAUGACCAUAUUUAUGUUGGAUCUUCGGAUGGACUACUGAUUCUCGUAGAAAAAAUGAACCUUACUUCGUCAAACUAUGGGAGCCAUUCACGGGCUAUCUUGUGCAAUUUGCAGCCGGGAUCAUCCAUCAUCAGCCUUCUCAUUUUGCCGUCGAGACUCGCGGUGUCCCUAGACUGUUUCAUGCCCCUGGAGGUUUACGCAACCCUCGAGUCAUGUGUUAUGAUGUUAAUAAUGGCAAUUUGGAGGUUCGAUUUGGUGAUAUGCCAGUUGAGCGUGUAGCAAGUAUGACUGCAUAUAAGAGUGAUGUGUUUGUACUUUUCCAUAAUCGUAAGUUGUUCAAGAUAACCGGGGCUGGUCAUGAGAUGCAUGGAGAAUUCAUUCUGAUCCACGAGACUCCAACACUUGCACCUAGUGCGAUGACACACUACUUGGUAGUAUCUGGAGGAGGCAAUCUUCUUAUAGUGGUCAUUGGUAUUGCAGAGAUUCUGAUUUUUUGUGUUGAUGUUGAGUUGAGGACCGCUGUCCGUAUCUAUAACAUCGGUAACCAGGCACUUUUCCUUAGUAACACAAGGUGUAUCGCUGUUAAUGCCGAAAAUUUCCCAACUGUCAGAGAAAACUGUGUAUAUCAAGCAUGCAUCUUAGGAUAUAGUGGGCCAUGUGGAAUUUAUGAAUUCAGUUUGACGAGGCCUCGGAAGCGUAUCAUCAAUCAUUCGUCAAUGAAGUAACCUAUGCUCUUGGGGGAAGGCCCUUAAGCAUGUGGCAGGUCCUUAUACACUACUGUUUAUUCAGAAACAAGUGUAGGAGGCCACUAUCCUAGGUGUAAGGAUUAAGUUGGGUAAAAUAAAUCAAGGUUGUGGCAGUACUGGGCAACUUUCUUUUUACUUAUCUAUGAGGAGUGAAGUGAACAUGUAUUGUUGUCAUUAUACUGAAUGUUGCUACUUAGUUAUUUGUUUUAGUUAUUGACCAUUCCUAAGUUUAAUUUAUAUGCAUGCUUUUGAUGUUUGUAGAACUCAUGAUUUUGGUACAUAGAUGGACCAUUUAAUGAUGAAUGUACGGCUAGACUUCACAAGAUAAGUUGACAGUACAUACCUCAUAACAACCAUUCUAGACCUUACUAUUAACUAUAUGUGAAUGAAAUAAAUUACAAGGCAUACUACCUCCGUUCGGGUUUAAAAGGCCCGUCAGCCUCGAUGCCCCGUCCGUAAUUUUAAGGCCCAUUGUAAUUAUGGCGCAACUUUUCUACUAGAAUCGUUAGCCAUCAAGGAAGUCGAUUGGCGAAGCGUGAGAAGUCGUACUGCAUGCAGGCCUGGGAGACGAAGCUGCAUGUAAAGCGGGGGUGUUGGGCUGCAUGCAAGCGCUUAAUUAUCGCUGCAGCCAGUGCAUGCACGAUUCAUUCACGGCGCUUUCUCUCUUUCAUUGGCCUACACGAUUACCGGUGCAUAUAGAGUUAAUUUUUCUCAUAACUGAUGUGGAGUAAUUUUUGCCUUGGUCCUAAUGCUUUGGUCGGGGGGGCCUUUUAAACCCGGGCGGAGGUAGUACAUUUCAAAUGUUACAAGAUUGUUUCUGAUAUAUAUAUAUGUACACACACACUUUAAUUAUCAAAUAUAUGGUUUCUAUUUGGCAAAGGCGGUGGGGAAACUAUUUUUCGUACUCUUUCCAGAGGAACAGACGGUAACAUAACCAAGAAAAUAAGAGAUAGUGUUUUGGCGAAAAGUUUGUACUAUGAAGUUCUAAUAUUAGUGAUGUAACGUGUACAAUUCUUAUUUAUCCUGAAAUGAAAGUGAAUUGUCAUUUUAAUAUGACAAAAGUCAACAAUUCAACCCCCGAACUAACCACAUGAUUUAAUUUACAACCCUGAACCCCGAAACUGGUCAAAACACAACCCGAACUACCCUCGAGAUUCAAAACUCAACCCUAGUCUUGGUUUUGGGCUGGUUAACGGUUUUUACCGUAGUCAAUGUUGACUGGGUAGUGCCACAUCAGCAAUUAAUCUCAACAAAGCACAACUAAAAAAAUAUGCCAAAAGGUGAAAUUUAUUAUCUUUAUGCCAAUACAAAUCAAAUGGAACUCAUACCAUGACGCUAGCUCACUAAGCUCCCUUGGGUAAAACUCCUUGGAGCGAUCCAUGCUAUCAAUUUGGCUUCACAUGCCAGUUUUGACCUAGUCGUCUGGCUGUCUGAGCUGGCCUGUUCCGUGGGCCGUUUUUGUUAGCGGUUUAGAGCCAUGGGCCAUGGUUGUCAGUCAUUGAUUCAUCUUGUUGGCAUUCGAAGGGGAUUAGGGAUCGACGGCUCACUGCGAGAUGCCAACCUAGCGCAGCAUGGUGGUGGAUUGGACACGCGGGCGGUGUUCGACGGUAGCCGCUCACCAGCACAGACGUGUAGCACAGGCGCGCGGUGAUACGUCUCCAACGUAUCUAUAAUUUUUGAUUGUUCCAUGCUAUUAUAUUACCUGUUUCGGAUUCUUAUUGACUUUAUUUUAUACAUUAUUAUCAUUUUUGGGACUAACCUACUAACCGGAGGCCCAGCUCAUAUUGCUGUUUUUUUUGCCUAUUUCAGUAUUUCAAAGAAAAGGAAUAUCAAACGGAGUCCAAACGGAAUGAAACCUUCGGGAGCGUUAUUUUUGGAAUAAAUCUGAUCCGGAGAGCCUGGAGUGCAAGUCAAGAAAGCUCCGAGGGCCCCACGAGAUAGGAGGGCGCCCCCCCCCCCUGUAGGGCGUGCCCCCAUGUCUCAUGGGUCCCUCGGGCGUCCACCGACGUCCCUCUUCCUCCUAUAUAUACCUACAGACCCCAAAAACAUCCAGGGGCACCACAAAACUUAAUUUCCACCAUCGUAACCUUCUGUAUCCGCGAGAUCCCAUCUUGGAGCCUUCGCCGGCACUCUGCCGGAGGGGGAAUCGACCAUGGAGGGCCUCUACAUCAACAUCCUUGCCCCUCCUAUGAGUUGUGAGUAUUUUACCUCAGACCUACGGGUCCAUAGUUAUUAGCUAGAUGGCUUCUUCUCUCUUUUUGGAUCUCAAUACAAUGUUCUCCCCCUCUCUGUGGAGAUCUAUUCGAUGUAAUCUCUUUUUCGGUGUGUUUGUCAAGAUCCGAUGAAUUGUGAGUUUAUGAUCAGAUUUAUCUAUGGUUAUUAAUUGAAUCUUCUCUGAAUUCUUUUAUGUAUGAUUGAGUUAUCUUUGCAAGUCUCUUUGAAUUAUCGGUUUGGUUUGGCCUACUAGAUUGAUCUUUCUUGCCAUCGGAGAAGUGCUUAGCUUUGGGUUCAAUCUUGCGCUGUCCUUACCCAGUGACAGAAAGGGUUGCAAGAUACGUAUUGUAUUGUUUCCAUCGAGGAUAACAAGAUGGGGUUUAUAUCAUAUUGCAUGUGUUUAUCCCUCUACAUCAUACCAUCUUGCUUAAUGCGUUACUCCGUUCUUAUGAACUUAAUACUCUAGAUGCAUGCUAGAUAGCGGUCGAUGUGUGGAGUAAUAGCAGUAGAUGCAGGCAGGAGUUGGUCUACUUGUUAUGGAUCUUAUGCCUAUAUACAUGAUCAUGCCUAGAUAACGUCAUAAUUAUUUGCUUUUCUAUCAAUUGCUCGAUAGUAAUUUGUUCACCCACCGUAAUACUUAUGCUCUCGAGAGAAGCCUCUAGUGAAACCUAUGGCCCCCGGGUCUAUCUCUUAUCAUAUUUACUUUCAAUCUACUUUUAUUUGCAUCUUUACUUUCUUACAUCUAUAUCACAAAAUACCAAAAAUAUUAUUAUCUCUCUAUCAGAUCUCACUUUCGCAAGUGGCCGUGAAGGGAUUGACAACCCCUUUAUUGUGUUGGUUGCGAGUUCUCAAUUUGUUUGUGUAGGUGCGUGGGACUUUUGAGGAGCCUCCUACUGGAUUGAUACCUUGGUUCUCAAAACUGAGGGAAAUACUUACGCUACACUUUGCUGCAUCACCCUCUCCUCUUCGGGGAAAACCACCGCUAGCUCAAGACGUAGCACGCUGCACUACUCUAGCCACAACCCACAUCCCUGCACCAUCCCAAUGCCCCUUCUCCUGCAUGGCGCCGCAAGCGGAGCAGCGUGGCACCGACAGAGUUAGAUGUCGUAGUUCGUCUUUCUAGAAGAUGCACCAACAGGGGGAAGACAGGGCCACAAGAGGCAGGAAAGGUGAACCUUAUUAUUUUCUUGUUGAUUCAUAUGCUUGCUUUUUUGAGCUUGCCAAAACAUGCUGGUGAAUUAGUAAAAAUAAAGGACAGAGAAGAAGGCUCAAUCAUGUUUACUAUCUACCCCCUCCAUCCCAUAAUAUAAGAACAUUUUUCAAGCUAUGUUAGCUUGAAAAAUGAUCUUAUAUUGUGGGACGGAGGGAGUACUUCAAGGAUCAUAUGCAUGUGAACGGAUUUGUUAACACAUCACAUCUAGCAAGUAGUAGUUGUUACGUGCAAAUGCAUCUGCAGCUAAAAGGAGCACGAAUGAUAAACCACCACAUAGGAAAGCAGGGGGUCAGUGUAGGGUUGAGGAGACUUUGGAUGCCGAGCUUUCGACGCAGUGCGAUUCAGUUAAUAGGGGAAAGGAAUGUCAAGUGUUGGCCGCCGCUGGAUCAGUGCAUAUCUAUGCCGGAAAAUGGUUGUCUCCUGGGUGUCUGCAGAGUGGUGUGCAACUGAGAAGAAACAGUAUAGGGGGAAUUUAUAGGGAGGAGAUGUUGUUCAAUUUUCAAUUUUUCAUACCAUGGUGGAGCUGGCAGACGGGGAAGAGAGGGUUGUUGAUGCGCCGUGGAAGGGCGCAAUGAAGGUAGUGAGGACGGAGUGCGAGGAGGACAUGUCCCUUUGAUCUAGAGUUGCUGCAUGACGAAGGUCAUAACGGCCUUGGUGGCACCACACACCACCGUGAAUACCACCAACCUUGACACGAUCGUCGUGUUUGCUGCGAGCAUCUUGGUCACCGCCGCCGUCGUCGUGCUCAUCAGUAACGUAUUUACCCGCCUCGAUUAAGAGUGUGCAUGCAUAGUUAUACCUAUUCUUGCCCUUUUACCUCAAAAAAGCUAUCAUGUUGGCCUCAUCGUCUACGUUGAUAAUGGAAGCUCCAAACUAUAACAACUAGGAGCAGCAUUGUUUUUUCCCCUCUUUGUUUGUAAUGAGAUAUCUUAUAUAUUGCUUACAUAGACUACAUAUCAUGUUGUCAAUUCUUAAUUUCUAGCUCCAAGGAAAUCAUGUUGGUGUGCACCUCUGAGUUCAUCUUCAUCACUAGUGAGUAAGCGGCUCUUUUGCCACGGAAUGCUAUCAUAAAGGCUAACAAUGCUUGUGUCUUCAUGUGUGAAUCUUCGAUGGUGAUGCCAAGUUUGCUCCUCGACAAUUUUUAGACUACAAGUUAAUAGAUACUCAAUCAUGUUCUUAUUUGUAAUACGAGUUGGUCUUCAACAUGUUCAACCCAAAUGAGUAAAAUGACCCAAGAAUAGUCUACUGUUGUUUAUUUACAGUCUGAGAAUUGUAAUCCCGCAUAGAAGUAGAAAUAAUAUCACAAGGAAAGCUCAACAACACUCCAAGAGCCGAUUCUGCAGUUUAAUGUCUGCUUCCUUUUUCUCUCCUCAGUAGAUGCUACGUCUUGAGCUUGUGUUGGUUUUCCUUGAAGAGGAAAGGGUGAUGCAGCACAGUAGCGUAAGUAUUUCCCUCAGUUUUUGAGAACCAAGGUAUCAAUCCAGUAGGAGGCUCCUCAAAAGUCCCACGCACCUACACAAACAAACAAAAACCUCGCAACCAACGCGAUAAAGGGGUUUUCAAUCCCUUCAUGGAAACAUGCAAAAGUGAGAUCUGAUAGAGAUAAUAUGAUAAGAUAAAUAUUUUUGGUAUUUUUAUGAUAUAGAUUGGAAAAUAAAAAUGCAAAUAAAAGUAGAUGAAAAACUUAUAUGAUAAAAGAUAGACCCAGGGGCCAUAGGUUUCACUAGUGGCUUCUCUCAGGAUAGCAUAAUUAUUACGGUGGGUGAACAAAUUACUGUCGAGCAAUUGAUAGAAAAGUGCAUAGUUAUGAGAUUAUCUAGGCAUGAUCAUGUAUAUAGGCAUCACGUCCGCAACAAGUAGACCGACUUCUACCCGCAUCUACUACUAUUACUCCACACAUCGACCGACUCCUGCCUGCAUCUAGAGUAUUAAGUUCAUGAAGAACAGAGUACCACAUUAAGAAAGAUGACAUGAUGUAGAGGGAUAGACUCAUGCAAUAUGAUAUAAACCCCAUCUUUUUAUCCUCGAUGGCAACAAUACAAUACAUGUCGUUUCCCCUACUGUCACUGGGAUCGAGCACCGCAAGAUUGAACCCAAAGCUAAGCACUUCUCCCAUGGAAAGAAAGAUCAAUCUAGUAGGCCAAACCAAAUUGAUAAUUCGAAGAGACUUGCAAAGAUAACCAAUCAUACAUAAAAGAAUUCAGAGGGGAUUCAAAUAUUUCUCAUAGAUAAACUUGAUCAUAAACCCACAAUUCACCGGAUCUCGACAAACACACCGCAAAAAGAGUUACAUCGAAUAGAUCUCCAAGAAGAGGAAGGAUAACUUUGUAUUGAGAAUCAAAGAGAGAGAAGAAGCCAUCUAGCUAAUAACUAUGCACCCCGAAGGUCUGUGGUAAACUACUCACAACUCAUCGGAGAGGCCUUGGUGGUGAUGGAGAGGCCCUCCAUGGUCGAUUCCCCCUCCGGCGGAGCGCCGACGAAGGCUCCAAGAUGGGAUCUCGUGGAUACAGAAGGUUGCGGUGGUGGAAUUAGGUUUUCGUGGUGCUCCUGGAUGGUUUCGGGGUACGUAGAUAUAUAUAUAGGAGGAAGAAAUAGGUCGGUGGAGCCACGAGGGGCCCACGAGGGUGGUGGCGUGCCCACCCUUACAGUGCACGUCGGGCACCCUCGUGGCCACCUCAUCUGCUUCUUGACGUCCACUCCAAGUCUCCUGGUUUGCAUUUGUUCCAGAAAGAUCGUUCCUGAAGGUUUCAUCGCGUUUGGACUCCGUUUGAUAUUCCUUUUAUUCAAUAUACUGAAAUAGGCAAAAAAAAAUAGCAAUUCGGGCCGGGCCUCCGGUUAGUAGGUUAGUCCCAAAAAUGAUAUAAAAGUGUAAAGUAAAGCCCAUAAACAUUCAAAACAGGUAAUAUAAUAGCAUGAAACAAUAAAAAGUUAUAGAUAAGUUGGAGACGUAUCAAGCAUCCCCAAGCUUAAUUCAUCCUCGUCCUCGAGUAGGUAAAUGAUAAAAACAUAAUUUUUGAUGUGGAAUGCUACCUAGCAUAAUUCUCAAUGUAAUUUUCUUUAUUGUGGCAUGAAUGUUCAGAUCCAAAUGAUUCAAAAUAAAAGUUCAUAUUGACAUGAUAAACAAUAAUACUUCAAGCAUACUAAUAAAAGUAAUCAUGUCUUCUCAAAAUAUCAUGGCUAAAGAAAGUUAUCCCUACAAUAUCAUAUAGUCUGGCUAUGCUCUAUCUUCUUCACACAAAGUAAUUAAUCAUGCACAACCCCGAUGACAAGCCAAGCAAUUGUUUCAUACUUUAGUAUUCUCAAACUUUUUCAACGUUCACGCAAUACAUGAGCGUGAGCCAUGGACAUAGCACUAUAUGUGGAAUAGAAUGGUGGUUGUGGAGAAGACAAAAAAGGAAGAUAGUCUCACGUCGACUAGGCAUAUCAACAGGCUAUGGAGAUGCCCAUUAAUAGAUAUCAACGUGAGUGAGUACGGAUUGCCAUGCAACAGAUGGACUAGAGCUAUAAAUGUAUGAAAGCUCAACAAAAAAAACUAAGUGCGUGUGCAUCCAACUUGCUUGCUCACGAAGACCUAGGGCGUUUUGAGGAUGCCCAUCAUUGGAAUAUACAAGCCAAGUUCUAUAAUGAAAAACUCCCAAUAGUAUAUGAAAAUGACAACAUAGGAGACUCUCUAUUAUAAAGAUCAUGGUUCUACUUUGAAGCACAAGUGUGGUAAAAGCAUAGUAGCUUUGUUGCUUCUCUCUUUUUCUCUCAUUUUUUUAUUUCGCCUUUCUCUUUUUUUAUAUGGCCUUUCUCUUUUUUUUUUUUGUAAAGUCCGAAGUCUCAUCCCGACUUGUGGGGGAAUCAUAGUAUCCAUCAUUCUUUCCUCACUUGGGAUAAUGCUCUAAUAAUGAAGAUCAUCACACUUUUAUUUACUUACAACUCAAGAUUACAACUCGAUACUUAGAACAAAAUAUGACUCUAUAUGAAUGCCUCUAGCGGUAUACCGGGAUAUGCAAUGAACCAAGAGUGACAUGUAUGAAAAUCAUGAGGGUGGCCUUGCCAUAAAUACAAUGUCAACUACAUGAUUAUGCAAGAGCAAUAUUACAAUGAUGAUGCGUGUCAUAAUAAACGGAACGGUGGAAAGUUGCAUGGUAAUAUAUCUCGGAAUGGCUAUGGAAAUGCCAUAAUAGGUAGGUAUGGUGGCUGUUCUGAGGAAGGUAUAUGGUGGGUGUAUGGUACCGGCAAAAUUCGCACGGCACAAGAGAGGCUAGCAAUGGUGGAAGGGAGAGAGUGCGUAUAAUCCAUGGACUCAACAUUAGUCAUAAAGAACUCAUAUACUUAUUGCAAAAAUCUACAAGUAAUCAAAAACCAAGCACUAUGUGCAUGCUCCUAGGGGGAUAGAUUGGUAGGAAAAGACUAUCGCUUGUCCCCGACUGCCACUCAUAAGGAAGACAAUCAACAAAUAAAUCAUGCUCCAACUUCAUCACAAAGCGGUUCACCAUACGUGCAUGCUACGGGAAUCACAAACUUCAACACAAGUAUUCCUUAAAUUCAUAAUUACCCAACCAGCAUGACUCUAAUAUCACCAUCCUCAUAUCUCAAAACAAUUAUCAAGCAUCAAAUUGAUCAUAGCAUCCAAUUCACUUUCUAUGAUAGUUUUUAUUAUACCCAACUUGAAUGCUCAUCAUUCUAGAACCAAUUUUAUAACCAUAGAAAAUACCAUGCUGUUCUAAAAGACUCUCAAAAUAAUAUAAGUGAAGCAUGAGAGAUCAACAAUUUCUUCAAAAUAAAGCCACCGCCGUGCUCUAAGAGAUAUAAGUGAAGCACUAGAGCAAAAACCAUCUAGCUCAAAAGAUAUAAGUGAAGCACAUACAGUAUUCUAAUAAAUUCCAAAUCAUGUGGGUUUCUCCCAAAAGGUUUGUACAGCAAGGAAGAUUGUGGUAAUCUAAAAACCAAAGACUCAUAUCAUACAAGACGCUCAAAGCAAAACACAUAUCAUGUGGUAAAUAAAAAUAUAGCUCCAAGUAAAGUUACCGAUAGACGAAGACGAAAGAGGGGAUGCCUUCUAGGGCAUCCCCAAGCUUAGGCUUUUGGUUGUCCUUGAAUAUCUUGGGGUGCCAUGGGCAUCCCCAAGUUUAGGCUUUUGCCACUCCUUAUUCCAUAGUCCAUCAAAUCUUUAUCCAAAACUUGAAAACUUCACAACACAAAACUCAACAGGAAAUCUCAUAAGCUCUGUUAGUGUAAGAAAGAAAAACCACCACAUAAGGUACUGUAAUGAACUCAUUCUUUAUUUAUAUUGGUGUUAAAUCUACUGUAUUCCAACUUCUNNNNNNNNNNNNNNNNNNNNNNNNNNNNNNNNNNNNNNNNNNNNNNNNNNNNNNNNNNNNNNNNNNNNNNNNNNNNNNNNNNNNNNNNNNNNNNNNNNNNNNNNNNNNNNNNNNNNNNNNNNNNNNNNNNNNNNNNNNNNNNNNNNNNNNNNNNNNNNNNNNNNNNNNNNNNNNNNNNNNNNNNNNNNNNNNNNNNNNNNNNNNNNNNNNNNNNNNNNNNNNNNNNNNNNNNNNNNNNNNNNNNNNNNNNNNNAUCUGUCAAAAACAGAACAGUCUGUAGAAAUCUGUAACUUUUGAAUACUUCUGGAACCUUUAAAAUCCUACCAAAAUAGGACGUUCUAGGAAAUUUGUAUAUUGAUCUACAUAAAAAAGAAUCAAUGCAAAAGCACGUUUCUGUGAUUUAUUGAAUUUUUUCUCGUGCAUGCAAAGUUUCUGUUUUUCAGCAGAAUCAAAUUAACUUUCACCCAAGGUUAUCCUAUAGGUUCUACUUGGCACAAACACUAAUUAAAACAUAAAAACAUGUCUAACCAGAGACUAAAUAAAUUAUUUAUUACUAAACAGGAACAAAAAGCGAGGAACAAAAAUAAAAUUGGGUUGCCUCCCAACAAGCGCUAUCGUUUAACGCCCCUAGCUAGGCAUAAAAGCGAGGAUAUAUCUAAGUAUUGCCAUAAUAAGAUAGAUCACGGAAACUCAUUUCAUAUUCCCUACAUUCAGCAAAAAGUUUUCUUUGAGGCAAGCAAAAGUAAUCAAAAGGGCUAAAUUUAAUGGGACAGAAUUCUCCAAGAUCAAUCUCGAGAGGUAUGGGAUCCUCCCUAGGCCCUUCAUAUUGCACAACCAAUUCAUCAUUAUAAGCAUUCUUUUGGCAAAACUUCAUAAGCCUAUACUCAAGAGAAUAUCCUAACUCAUUAUUUCGAAUAGCAAAAUCAUUUUUAAGUUCGGGAAUUCUAUCAACUAGACCAUUGGUAGGAACCUUCUUCCUAAUGUUUUCAUUAAAAGCAAUAUAGUCUAAAGAUUGAAAACGCAUAAUUUCCUCUUGAUCAAAAAGGAUUGCCUCUAUGAGAGGACGGCCAGCAUCCACCCUAUAGUGCGCAAAAUUUUCUUUGGCCUCUUUUAUUAUAAAUACGAACUCAUAUGCCAAAAAGAUAGUAGCGGCACGCUUAACAGAAGAAUGCUCAAUAUUGGAAAAUUCUAAGAAAAUCUUUUGUAUGCAAGGGUGCAUGUGCAUAAACUGCCUUUCAAGUUCAACUAUAAGCAUGGAGAUAGCAUCCGCAAGACUACUAGUUCUAUGAAGAAUAGAACCACCCAUAGAAGGUAAAGCACCGGCACAAGUAAAGAAAUCUUGAAUAACCCCUUUUCCAAUAAUAUUGCCACUACCGAUGCAAAAUGUUUUACUAUGUAAGGUAGUGGGUUCUUCAACAGGAGUAUCCCUUUUAUUAUUAUCCAUAUCAACGAUAAUCUCCCUAGAUUCAGACAUAGUGGCAACAAGCAAACGAGGAAGAGGCAAACGGAAAAGAGAGGGCGAAUAAAAUGGCAAGGGUGAAGUGGAGGAGAGGAAAACGAGAGGCAAAUGACAAAUAAUGUAAAUGCGAUGGAGAUGAGUUUGUGAUGGGUACUUGGUAUGUCUUGACUUGAGUGAAGACAUCCCUGGCAACGGCGCCAGAAAUCCUUCUUGCUACGUCUUGAGCUUGCGUUGGUUUUCCUUCAAGAGGAAAGGAUGAUGCAGCACAGUAGCGUAAGUAUUUCCCUCAGUUUUUGAGAACCAAGGUAUCAAUCCAGUAGGAGGCUCCUCAAAAGUCCCACACACCUACACAAACAAACAAGAACCUCGCAACCAACACGAUAAAGGGGUUGUCAAUCCCUUCACGGAAUCUUGCAAAAGUGAGAUCUGAUAGAGAUAAUAUUAUAAGAUAAAUAUUUUUGGUAUUUUUAUGAUAUAGAUUGGAAAAUUAAAGAUGCAAAUAAAAGUAGAUGGAAAACUCAUAUGAUAAAAGAUAGACUCGGGGGCCAUAGGUUUCACUGGUGGCUUCUCUCAAGAUAGCAUAAUUAUGAAGGCGGGUGAACAAAUUACUGUGGAGCAAUUGAUAGAAAAGUGCAUAGUUAUGAGAUUGUCUAGGCAUGAUCAUGUAUAUAGGCAUCAUAUCCGCAACAAGUAGACCGACUCCUGCCUGCAUCUACUACUAUUACUCCACACAUCGACCGACUGUUGCCUGCAUCGAGUAUUAAGUUCAUGAAGAACAGAGUAAUGCAUUAAGAAAGAUGACAUGAUGUAGAGGGAUAAACUCAUGCAAUAUGAUAUAAACCCCAUCUUUUUAUCCUCGAUGGCAACAAUACAAUAUGUGUCGUUUCCCCUACUGUCACUGGGAUCGAGCACCGCAAGAUUGAACCUAAAGCUAAGCACUUCUGCCAUGACAAGAAUGAUCAAUCUAGUAGGCCAAACCAAACUGAUAAUUCGAAGAGACUUGCAAAGAUAACCAAUCAUACAUAAAAUAAUUCAGAGGAGAUUCAAAUAUUUCUCAUAGAUAAACUUGAUCAUAAACCCACAAUUCAUCGGAUCUCGACAAACACACCGCAAAAAUAGUUACAUCGAAUAGAUCUCCAAGAAGAGGAAGGAGAACUUUGUAUUGAGAAUCAAAGAGAGAGAAGAAGCCACCUAGCUAAUAACUAUGGACCCGAAGGUCUGUGGUAAACUACUCACAACUCAUCGGAGAGGCCUUGGUGGUGAUGGAGAGGCCCUCCGUGGUCGAUUCCCCCUCCGGCGAAGCACCGGCGAAGGCUCCAAGAUGGGAUCUCGUGGAUACAGAAGGUUGCGGUGGUGAAAUUAGGUUUUCGUGGUGCUCCUGAAUGGUUUCGGGGUACGUAGAUAUAUAUAGAAGGAAGAAGUAGGUCGGUGGAGCCACGAGGGGCCCACGAGGGUGGGGGGCGCGCCCACCCUUACAGGGCGUGCCGGGCACCCUCGUGGCCGCCUCGUCCUCUUCUUGAUGUCCACUCCAAGUCUCCUGGUUUGCAUUUGUUCCAGAAAGAUCGUUCCUGAAGGUUUCAUCUCGUUUGGACUCCGUUUGAUAUUCCUUUUCUUCGUUAUACUGAAAUAGGCAAAAAAACAGCAAUUCGGGCUGGGCCUCCAGUUAGUAGGUUAGUUCCAAAAAUAUAAAAGUGUAAAGUAAAGCUCAUAAACAUCCAAAACAGGUAAUAUAAUAGCAUGAAACAAUCAAAAAUUAUAGAUACGGUUGAGACGUAUUAGUAGAACACAAGUUAAUUAAUCUUCUCAUAAUUUGGGAAUCUUCAAGUGAUUAUUAUUGACUCGAGGAUCUUAGGGGCAUUAGGGAUUUAGUACUGUAUAAGUGAAAGGGGAUCGUCUCCUUUAACUAGCAAUCGGAGAGAUCCUACAAGUCAUUGUCUUGGGUAUGAACGUAGAUGUUAGUUGCUACUAGAUAGAUUUACAAUUAAUCUCAUCCUUUUGUUUUCUCUAACAACCAAGACGAGUGUUGUGCACUUACAACUCAUGCUAACUGAACCGGUGAUGUUUCUUUCUCCAUUCCCUCACCUUGAUUGCUGCCACCUAUUUCCUGUUGGUGACUGCGUCUUGACACCAUGUUUAUCUAGAUAAAAUCACCCUCUGGUUAGUUGAUUCCAUUUGAUUUAUUGCACUAUUUUGUUGGACUGUUUUUUGUUUUUUGGACACUUUUUAGUUAUUUUUCAGAAUAACUGUUAGAGUUGAGUUCAUGUAUAUGGUAACUUGGCAAUAUUAGCUUUCAAGCAUGUUCUUAUGUCCAUCUCUUAGACAACAUCUUUUGUUCAACUCAAUUUAUGUGGACAACAAGUGCAAUUUCUUAAAGCAAUUUAAAAAUGACUUAGAAGCAAAUAGUGUUGUAAGUUCUCUUUAAUAUUUGGAAAUUGCAAAUUUAGUUCUGGCCCUCCUUGAUUUUUCAUACAGAGAAGGUAAUUGAAUGCAGUCUACCACACUCUGCAAAACAUUGAACUCCUCCACCUUGGUCAAGCUAGAGAACUAUAUGAUAGAUCUUUAGAAAUUAAUAUUUGUUCCAGCAAUAAUGUUAUCUACUAGCAACUAUGAUUUUUUUGUAGUAAGAGUCCACAGUGCAUUGGCAGCAUAGGUGCAUAUGAACCGCGGAGCUUGGGAUGAUAAUAGUGAACUGGUCAGUCACCAAAGAAGUCAAUUUGCAAUAGCUAUUAGUUACACAUUUUAUGUACUCUUGCAAUCUUUGAUGAUGUUUUCUGCUCAUGUACACAUAUGUCGCUGAUGAAAUGAACUCACCAUUUGUAUAUGCAUUAAGGUGCACACAAGAUUUUUAAGUGGAGCAAAGUACUACACAAGCCCAAAUCAAGAUGUUUAAGUCCUUGGCUUUGUUGUUUGUGGCCUCUCGUAUGCCGUGCUAAGAUGCAUCUCGAUGUCUCUGUAGUGAAUGGUGCCACAAUCUGAUGUCUAAAAUGUAAUGUGAACAUUUCCUUUUCAUGGAAGAGAGCAAAAUAAGAUUAAUUUCAUCAUCAUUCUUUGUGUGGCUGAGAUGCUUUUCGUAUUUCAUUUGGCUCCAGAAGUUGAUCUGGGAGAGCUGGUCGCCUGACAAUAUGGACCAAGAAACCUAGAUUGAGUUGCAGAAAUGUUUGGCUGUAAAAAUUUCAAUCGAGAAGUUGCUUCAUGUUUGUUUACGAAAACUGUUAUCAAGAAAAAGAAUCGGCAAGAAAGAAAAGCCGUGCGGCAAGGCGCGCCUUUGCUUCUAGUAAGAGUCAUGUGCAGUAAUAGUAAAACAGUUACUACAUGAAUUCAACUGCACUGAAGGUGUUCGCAAGCGAUAAAGGUAAAUACAUGUGUUCCUACCAUGACGUUCCUACCUUGAUCCAUCUUACAUCUCUCUUUCGCGUUCCGAUCUUUGCCCAACCGCGAAGGCCUCUUAGUGUGUGAAUGGUGCAUGAUACAUCUCCAACAUAUAUACAAUUUUUGAUUGUUUCAUGCUAUUAUAUUAUCAAUCUUGUAUGCUUUCUAUACAAUUUUAUAUCACUAUUGGGAACUAAGCUAUUAACUCAGUGCCAAGUGUCAGUUCAUGUUUUUUCCUAUUUUCUUGUUUCACAGAAAAACCAUAUCAAACAAAAUCCAAACACGAUGAAACUUUACGGUGAUUUUAGACUAGUUUUAGCCUAGUCGGUUAUAGUUUUGUUAAAAUGUGUCCUAAAUGUAAAUCUUUUCAUCCAGUUUGUAUGAAAACCAUUCGGGUUGCAUGUAAUUCAUUUGGUUAGUUGAAACUAAACAUGUGCAUGGAAAGCCCAGCCAGAGGCCCAAUCCUGAAAGCUUGGCAUUCGAGCCGGGCUCGGGCUCCAUUUUAUGGCCCGAAGCCGACCCGAAAGCCCAAAAAAGUCUGAAAUGGCAAGCAAAUGUAUAUUUUAUUUGAAAUAUAGGUAUUUAUAUUAUUUUAAUACCCCGAAUCUAAUUAAUAUAAUUUGAAAAUGACAUUAUUCACGUGUUUUGGGCCGGCCCAGUUCGGGCUCAGGCUUGUGAUUUUUUGGGGCUUUUGCAAGCCCGGCCCGAGGUACGAUCAGUUACUUCAAACCCGACUUGAAACGUAUGCGGCUAGUUUUGGAUGGCUCACUCUUGCAUCUGUGUCCACGGACUGAUCCCCCUUUCCGUCCGUGAACUGAGGUGGUGUCCAGUUUGCGGUUCAGCAUUGGAGAUCCCACGUCUUCUCGUGGUGACGUGUGGCAUAAUAGAUGUGCGACACUUGUCACAACUUGAAAGUUUUUUAAUUCGGUUUUUUAAACAGUUUAUGUCUAAAAUCAUGCGUCCGAAUCACGAUUCACUGUUCCGUUUCUCACAUUGAGAUCUUUGAAACUGGAUCUCAUGUUAAUAGGUUUGAACAAACUUUUAAAAAUAAGAGAAUGAUAAAAAAGAAAAACUUAAAAAGGAUAAAGAUGGAAAUAAAAGAUAACCUGUAAACCAAAAAUUGAAGAAAAAAAUGGAAACACAAUUGUGGUUCGCACGGAAACACAUUUUGUGCCUUUUUCACUUUUGGAGGAGCACAACUGUAUUUGACCAUAAAGUACAAGCGUGUUUUUCACUCUCAGCAAGCAUAGCGGUGUUGUGCUUCACCGUGAAACAUAAUUAUACUUUUCACUUUUGAAAGCACAACUAUACUUUUCACAUUGUUUGUUUCACAUGAAGAAAACAAAAAUAAACUGCUUUUUCGGCUUGAAAAACAUAGGAAAAAAAAUCUGAAAUCCAGAAUUAAGACAAAAACACGUGAAAAAAACUAUGUUCCCAUUGGUACGUCAAACACGUAAUUUUUUACGGUGGCUGGGCACACCACACGACGAGUCCGGUGCGCCCUAGUUACCCCCUAGCUCUGACGGCUCAACUAAGAGCAACUCUAGCAGACCCCGAAAAAAUUCGACCCGCAAAACGCGUUUGCGGUUUCACGAAGACAGCGUUUGCGCCGCCGAUCAGAUACCGCAUCUAAACCUUCAUAAUUUAAAAAAAACAAUUUCCCAGGAGAAAUUGCACAAACCUAGUUCAUCACAUCACAUACUACACAGUUCUUACAUACUACAUGAUCAACAAACAAAGGAUAGAUCAUACUACAUGCUACGUUAACUAGUAGUAGAGGGGGUCGGAUCUGACGACGGCGAGGUCGCGGCAAAAUGGACGACGCAGUGGAGGCCGAGCGACGCUCAAUCCUCCUCGCCAGAGCGGCACAUGUCGAUGUACUUCGCCGCCUACUCCGCGCGGAUGCGGCGCCACUCCUCAGCCUUGUUGUUGGCAGCGACAUUAGCGGCGACCACCUGCUGCCACUGGAGGGCUUCGAGCUCCUCGGCGUGGUGUCGGUGCUCCGCCUCCUCGCGCACGCUCUGCUCGGCGAUGGCGGCGGCGAUGGCGUCGAAGUCCGCAACGUAGUCCUCGGGCCCGACGACUUUGCGGCGGCUGAGCGGAGCGGGCUCCUCGGGCUCCUCCUUCAUCGGGACGAAGGCGAACGGCGCCGGCGGUGUCGUGGUACUAAGACUGACAGUAAGAGUAGGGGGCACGUAUGAGGAGGCAAGGUCCUAGCUACGGUUAGGUUGUAUGCAAGUGUUUACGAGUUCAAGCCCCUCUCGGAGGAGGUAAAAGCCCUACGUCUCGGUGCCCGAAGGCGGUCAACUGGAUUUCAGUAUAUGUGUGUGUGUUACAGGGGGUGCGAACCCUUGUCCCAAAGGAGAGGGGUGGCUUAUAUAGAGUGCGCCAGGACCCCAGCCAUCCCUUAUUACAGAGAGUUCAAUGUACAUAAAGAGAGGGUGUUACUGAUAACGCCAGCUAUAAAGUGUUAUUAAUGCCUUUGAAGACUACGGAGUGAAUGCUUGACCGUUGUUGUUCUGUGCGACUCCUGGUCUCCAUUGGUCGAGUGGUUUCUUGUAUGGUCGAGUGGUCUCAGGAAGGUGGGGUAACCGAGUGGUAUGAUUGGUCGAGUGGAUUGCACUCGACGUCUUCAUUGGGCUCUCCCAGUUGUCUCUUGAGCUUCUUUGCUUCUAGGGUAGUGACCUUGGGCAGGGUAUACAGGUCAGGCCUAUGACCCUACCCUAGGUCUAUAUCAUCAUCAUUAGCCCCCGAACGGAUCGUGGUCUGAGUGGAAAGAAGGUUGAAGUUGAUCUUGCUUCGACCCUUGUGCUUCAAAAGUACUUGCGUUGAACGGGAGGCUCAUGUUGGAUCUUUGGCUUCGUUUUAGUCGCUUUGAUUGAUUCAGAAAUUGCCGAGUGAAUUUAUAACAUCAUCCGUCGAGUGUUGUUUCUUGACACGAAAUCUUUGGCACGAUUGGUUACGUCGUAUCUCGGAUUUGUCGGGAUUCAAAAUUUCAGGGAAGCACGCGGGGUGGAGCGUGCUGUGGUAAGCGGGGCGGAUAGACAGGAGCGCCUCUAUCCCAGUGCCGCCUUUUUCGCCAUGUACCCAGCGCGCGACUGUUGCGGGAUUUGACAGGAUCGCCUGGGCCCGCGCGUCAGCCACUCGGAAGUGGGCCUUUAAAAGGCGACGGGGCGGAGGCGCCUGCAGUGUGCGCGUCUGAAAGUGCAAUUAUCCCUAUGUGGUUUUGGUAAUUCCUAACAACAUAAAGCUCAUUGAGCUAAUACUAUUCCAAGAUAAAUAUUUCAGGAAAGCUCAAUGAUUGGCAUGGCAUGGAUGAGAAAAGUGGACCCCUCAAAAUGCUAAGGACAAAAGGAUUGGCUCAAGCUCAAAGCUCAAGACUCUACAUUUUCUAUUUUAGUGAUCCAAGAUCACAUUGAGUCUAUAGGAAAAGUCAAUACUAUCAAGAAGGGAUGAGGUGUUGCUUAAUGAGGUUCUUACUCAAAAUGCUUAGUGAUAUGCUCCAAAACCCUCAACUACUUUCUCACUUCCACAUAUGACCUAAACCAAAAGUCAAACUCUGCCCCACCGAUUCUUUCUAUCCGGCGCCACCGAGUUCAGAUGUUAUAGCCACUUCCACAAACCCUAGGAAAAUCGGUCUCACCGAUAGGGAUCUCGGUCUCACCGAUAUGGGAUUGUAAUCUCUCUGUUUCCCUUCGUAACGUUUCGGUCUCACCGAGAUGAGCGAUCGGUCCCACCGAAAUUGCAAUGUAAACUCUCUGUUUUCCUUUCGUAACAUUUCGGUCCAACCGAGAUGAGCGAAUCGGUCCCACCGAGUUUACCUGACCAACUCUCUGGUUAGCUUAUUACCAAAAUUGGUCUCACCGAGUUUGUGCAAUCGGUCUCAUCGAGAUUACGUUAUGCGCUAACCCUAACCAUAUCGGUCCUACCGAGUUGCAUGUCGGUCCUACCGAAAAUCCUAACGGUCACUAGAUUUACUAAAUCGGUCUAACCGAGUUUCUCAAUUUGGUCCCACCGAGAUUGGUAAGUUGUGUGUAAUGGUUAGAUUUUGCGUGGAGGCUAUAUAUACCCCUCCACCCCCUCUUCAUUCAUGGAGAGAGCCAUCAGAACAUGCCUACACUUCCAACUUACAUUUUCUGAGAGAGAACCACCUACACUUGUGUUGAGGUCAAGAUAUUCCAAUCCUAUCAUAUGAAUCUUGAUCUCUAGCCUUCCCCAAGUUGGUUUCCACUCAAAUCUUUUUUCCACCAAAUCCAUAUCCUGUGAGAGAGAGUUGAGUGUUGGGGAGACUAUCAUUGGAAGCACAAGAGCAAGGAGUUCAUCAUCAACACACCAUUUGUUACUUCUUGGAGAGUGGUGUCUCCUAGAUUGGCUAGGUGUCACUUGGGAGCCUCCGACAAGAUUGUGGAGUUGAACCAAGGAGUUUGUACAGGCAAGGAGAUCGCCUACUUCGUGAAGAUCUACCCCUAGUGAGGCAAGUCCUUCGUGGGCGACAGCCAUGGUGGGAUAGACAAGGUUGCUUCUUCGUGGACCCUUCGUGGGUGGAGCCCUCCGUGGACUCGCGCAACUGUUACCCUUCGUGGGUUGAAGUCUCCAUCAACGUGGAUGUAUUAUAGCACCACCUAUUGGAACCACGGCUCAAAAAUCUCCGUGUCUCCAAUUGUGUUUGCCUCCUCAAACUCCUCCCCUUUACCUUCAUAUGCAAUUGUGUUAAAUUCCGCUACUAUACUCUAGAAUUGCAUGUGUAGGUUGAUUGCAUGACUUGUGCUAAGUUGCUAAAACCUGCCAAGAAUGAAAAUUGGGAAAAGGCUAAGUUUUUAUUUUGUCAAGUAGUCUAAUCACCCCCCUCUAGACAUACUUUCGACCCUAUAGCGUCCAUUCUCCCCCGUCUUCCCUGCUUCCCCACCGCAUCCAGCUCCUCCGCUCUCGAUGCCGUCGCUCCGCCACCAAGGUGAAGGACAAGCGGCGACGCUAGAACACGCGAAGAAGGCGACGAGAGCGGCGAAAGGCAAGAAGAAGAAUUGGAGGUCGUCGUCGCGGUCGGCAUUGCCGCCGGGUUGGAUCCAGGGCGAUUGGAUCCGGUCCUCGCUCCGGCAGGAAGAUUUGGAUGAGCUGGCUGAGUCCGGACUGAUCGCCAAUGGUGCUCGGGGUUGCCGGAGGGGGAGACGGAGCCGCAGCCGUGACCGGGUGAGUGCGUUCUGCUCGCCACCCACAUUGACCGUGGUUUCUUGCUUCCUCCGCACCCUUUUUCCGGGUUUUUUUGAACUUCUUUGGGCCCAACUCCAUCACUUUUCUCCCAACACCAUCACAUACCUCGUGACGUUCGUGUCCAUGUGCGAGAAUUUUCUUGGUUGUCGACCGCACUGGGGCCUUUUCAAGCACAUCUUCACUAUCCGCUCUCAGUCGGUGAAGAAAGCAAACACGAGUGACGAGAAAACACACGUUAUCCAGAUGUGUGGGGGUUUGGGUAUCCAGAAGAGGAGAAGGAGCUCUUUUCCUUCCAUGACCUUUCCUAAGUUGGUUAGGGUCUGGCAGUCGACCUGGUUCUACUGCCAGGAUGUCGCCACACAAGGCCAGUCGACUGAACUUCCCGCUUUCACCUUCGAUCGUGUUCAUACCCCUUCCCAGCUAAAAGUGACUGCUGCGGAGAGGGUGGAAACAGACAUGCUGGUCGAGAGAGUGGUUCAGCUGAUCAAUCAGGGCGUGACUGGAAUGGACUUGUUGGAGGUGUUUCUCAGUCGACGCAUCCAGCCGCUUUAGGCUUGGGACCACUCGAUGUGGAUGUACUCUUGUGCCAACGACACCGCUAGGGUCCAUCCGAAGGAAGUACCGGCCAAAACGGUGGCCAUGUGGUUGAAAAGUAUUAUAGGAAACAAGGACAACCCCAGGGGAGCCAGGAGGGUCGUCCCAUUCAGCGAUAGCAAUCAACCAGACAAGGUUUGAAUUUUGCUACCUACUGUUUUCUUGUGCAUCUCGCAUCUGUCUCUGAAUCCGACUGAAAUUCGCUCGACUCUUUGUUUUGUAGAUUUAUACUGAGAUGUACUCCAUGCCCAACAGCGAGCAAAAUCUGGAGCAGGACCAUGAGGGGGAGGAUAGUGCGGACGAGAGCGGCGACUGGCAGUCUCCAUAGGAUGACGACGAGGAGGAGAGCGACGAGGUGGACGACGAUGAGGGGGUCGACUCGCCACCAUGCUUGAAGAGUCAAUCCAAACAUCUUCACGAUCCAGCGGGCGAGCGCGACAAGACCGCGGCUCCCAGUACCCAGGCGCAGAAACGCACUCGGACGUUGACUUCGGAGCCGAAGGAGAAGGUCGCCAAGCAGCCCAAGGUUGUGCCCUCAAAGGCUCAGAAAACCUUGGCGAAGAUCAAGAUGGACGUUCCCGUCGCCUCUGGGUGAGUGUUCUAUCUUUCUGUGUUUCCUUCUUCCGACUGAUACUUUUGUUGUUACCAAGUGGACUAUUGAAGGAAAUAUGCCCUAGAGGAAAUAAUAAAGUUAUUAUUUAUUUCCUUAUAUCAUGAUAAAUGUUUAUUAUUCAUGCUAGAAUUGUAUUAACCGGAAACAUAAUACAUGUGUGAAUACAUAGACAAACAGAGUGUCACUAGUAUGCCUCUACUUGACUAGCUUGUUGAUCAAAGAUGGUUAUGUUUCCUAACCAUAUACAUGUGUUGUCAUUUGAUUAAUGGGAUCACAUCAUUAGGAGAAUGAUGUGAUUCACAUGACCCAUUCCGUUAGCUUAGCACUCGAUCGUUUAGUAUAUUGCUAUUGCUUUCUUCAUGACUUAUCCAUGUUACUAUGACUAUGAGAUUAUGCAACUCCUGUUUACCGGAGGAACACUUUGUGUGCUACCAAACAUCACAACGUAACUGGGUGAUUAUAAAGGAGCUCUACAGGUGUCUCCAAAGGUACAUGUUGGGUUGUCGUAUUUCGAGAUUAGGAUUUGUCACUCCGAUUGUCGGAGAGGUAUCUCUGGGCCCUCUCGGUAAUGCACAUCACUUAAGCCUUGCAAGCAUUGCAACUAAUGAGUUAGUUGUGAGAUGAUGUAUUAUGAAACAAGUAAAGAGACUUGCCGGUAACGAGAUUAAACUAGGUAUUGAGAUACCGACGAUCGAAUCUCGGGCAAGUAACAUACCGAUGACAAAGGGAACAACGUAUGUUGUUAUGCGGUCUGACCGAUAAAGAUCUUCGUAGAAUAUGUGGGAGCCAAUAUGAGCAUCCAGGUUCCGCUAUUGGUUAUUGACCGGAGACAUGUCUCGGUCAUGUCUACAUUGUUCUCGAACCCGUAGGGUCCGCACGCUUAAAGUUACGAUGACAGUUUCAUUAUGAGUUUAUAUGUUUUGAUGUACCGAAGGUUGUUCGGAGUCCCGGAUGUGAUCACGGACAUGACGAGGAGUCUCGAAAUGGUCGAGAUAUGAAGAUUGAUAUAUUGGAAGCGUAUGUUUGGACAUCGGAAGUGUUCCGGGUGAAAUUGGCAUUUUCCCGGAGUACCGGGAGGUUACCGGAACCCCCCGGUAACUUAAUGGGCCUUAAUGGGCCUAGUGGAGGAAGAGGAGAGGAGGCCAAAGGGCAACCGCGCGCCCCUCCCCCCCAAGUCCGAAUUGGACAAGGAGGGGGGCGGUGCCCCCCCUUCCUUUCCCCUCUCUCUCUCCUUCCCCCCAAGUCCUAGUCCAACAUGAAAAUGGGGGGAGUCCUACUCCCGGUGGGAGUAGGACUCCUCCUGGCGUGCCCUCCUCCUGGCCGGCCGCACCCCCCUUGCUCCUUUAUAUACGGGGGCGGGGGGCACCCCAGAGACACAACAAUUGAUCCUUGAGAUCUCUUAGCCGUGUGCGGUGCCCCCCUCCACCAUAGUCCUCGAUAAUAUUGUAGCGGUGCUUAGGAGAAGCCCUGCGACGGUAGAACAUCAAGAUCGUCACCACGCCGUCGUGCUGACGGAACUCUUCCCCGACACUUUGCUGGAUCGGAGUCCGGGUAUCGUCAUCGAGAUGAACGUGUGCUAGAACUCGGAGGUGUCGUUGUUUCGGUGCUUGAUCGGUCAGGCCGUGAAGACGUACGACUACAUCAACCGCGUUGUUAUAACGCUUCCGCUUUCGGUCUACGAGGGUACGUGGACAUACUCUCCCCUCUCGUUGCUAUGCAUCACCGUGAUCUUGCGUGUGCGUAGGAAUUUUUUUGAAAUUACUACGUUCCCCAAAAGUGGCAUCAAAGCCAGGUUUUAUGCAUAGAUGUCAUAUGCAUGAGUAGAACACAAGUGAGUUGUGGGCGAUAUAAGUCAUACUGCUUACCAGCAUGUCAUACUUUGGUUCAGCGGUAUUGUGAGAUGAAGCGGCCCGGACCGACAUUACGCGUACGCUUACGCGAGACUGGUUUCACCGCCACGAGCACUAGUUGCUUAAAGGUGACCGGCAGGUGUCUGUCUCUCUCACUUUAGUUGAACCGAGUGUGGCUACGCCCAGUCCUUGCGAAGGAUAAAACAUCACCAACUUGAGAAACUAUCGUUGUGGUUUUGAUGCGUAGGUAAGAACGAUUCUUGCUCAGCCCGUAGCAGUCACGUAAAAUUUGCAACAACAAAGUAGAGGACGUCUAACUUGUUUUUGCAGGGCAUGUUGUGAUGUGAUAUGGUCAAGACAUGAUGCUAAAUUUUAUUGUAUGAGAUGAUCAUGUUUUGUAACCGAGUUAUCGGCAACUGGCAGGAGCCAUAUGGUUGUCGCUUUAUUGUAUGUAUUGCAAUCGCCCUGUAAUGCUUUACUUUAUCACUAAGCGGUAGCGAUAGUCGUAGAAGCAUAAGAUUGGCAAGACGACAACAAUGCUAUGAUGGAGAUCAAGCUGUCGCGCCGGUGACAAUGGUGAUCAUGACGGUGCUUCGAAGAUGGAGAUCGCAAGCACAAGAUGAUGAUUCCCAUAUCAUAUCACUUAUAUUGAUUGCAUGUGAUGUUUAUCUUUUAUGCAUCUUAUCUUGCUUUGAUUGACGGUAGCAUUAUAGGAUGAUCCCUCACUAAAUUAUCAUAGUAAAAGUGUUCUCCCUGAGUAUGCACCAUUGCGAAAGUUCUUCGUGCUGAGACACCACGUGAUGAUCGGGUGUGAUAGGCUCUACGUUCAAAUACAACGGGUGCAAAACAGUUGCACACGCGGAAUACUCAGGUUAAACUUGACGAGCCUAGCAUAUAAAAGAUAUGGCCUCAGAACACGGAGACCGAAAGGUCGAGCGUGAAUCAUAUAGUAGAUAUGAUCAACAUAUUGAUGUUCACCGUUGAAACUACUCCAUCUCACGUGAUGAUCGGACAUGGUGUAGUUGAUAUGGAUCACGUAAUCACUUAGAGGAUUAGAGGGAUGUCUAUCUAAGUGGGAGUUCUUUAGUAAUAUGAUUAAUUGAACUUAAAUUUAUCAUGAACUUAGUACCUGAUAGUAUCUUGCUUGUCUAUGUUGAUUGUAGAUAGAUGCCCCGUGUUGUUGUUCUGUUGAAUUUUAAUGCGUUCCUUGAGAAAGCAAAGUUGAAAGAUGAUGGUAGCAAUUACACGGACUGGGUCCGUAAGUUGAGGAUUAUCAUCAUUGCUGCAGAGAAGAAUUACAUCCUGGAAGCACCGCUGGGUGCCAGGCCUGCUGCUGGAGCAACACCAGAUGUUAUGAACGUCUGGCAGAGCAAAGCUGAUGACUACUCUAUAGUUCAGUGUGCCAUGCUUUACGACUUCGAACUGGGUCUUCAACGAUGUUUUGAACGUCAUGGAGCAUAUGAGAUGUUCCAGGAAUUGAAGUUAAUAUUUCAAGCAAAUGCCCGAAUUGAGAGGUAUGAAGUCUCCAAUAAAUUCUACAACUGCAAGAUGGAGGAGAACAGUUCUGUCAGUGAGCAUAUACUCAAAAUGUCUGGGUAUAAUAAUCACUUGAUUCAACUGGGAGUUAAUAUUCCGGAUGAUAGCGACAUUGACAGAAUUCUCCAAUCACUGCCACCAAGCUAUAAGAGCUUUGUGAUGAACUAUAAUAUGCAAGGGAUGGAAAAGACUAUUCCCGAGCUCUUCGCGAUGCUAAAAGCUGCGGAGGUAGAAAUCAAGUAGGAGCAUCAAGUGUUGAUGGUUAACAAGACCACUAGUUUCAAGAAAAAGGGCAAAGGGAACAAGAAGGGAAACUUCAAGAAGAACAUCAAACAAGUUGCUGCUCAGGAGAAGAAACCCAAGUCUGGACCUAAGCCUGAAACUGAGUGCUUCUACUGCAAGCAGACUGGUCACUGGAAGCGGAACUGCCCCAAGUAUUUGGCGGAUAAGAAGGAUGGCAAGGUGAACAAAGGUAUAUGUGAUAUACAUGUUAUUGAUGUGUACCUUACUAAUGCUCACAGUAGCACCUGGGUAUUUGAUACUGGUUCUGUUGCUAAUAUUUGUAACUCGAAACAGGGACUACGGAUUAAGCAAAGAUUAGCUAAGGACGAGGUGACGAUGCGCGUGGGAAAUGGUUCCAAAGUCGAUGUGAUCGCGGUCGGCACGCUACCUCUACAUUUACUUUCGGGAUUAGUUUUAGACCUAAAUAAUUGUUAUUUGGUGCCAGCGUUGAGCAUGAACAUUAUAUCUGGAUCUUGUUUGAUGCGAGGCGGUUAUUCAUUUAAAUCAAAGAAUAAUGGUUGUUCUAUUUAUAUGAGUAAUAUCUUUUAUGGUCAUGCACCCUUGAAGAGUGGUCUAUUUUUAUUGAAUCUUGAUAGUAGUGAUACACAUAUUCAUAAUGUUGAAGCCAAAAGAUGCAGUGUUGAUAAUGAUAGUGCAACUUAUUUGUGGCACUGCCGUUUAGGUCAUAUCGGUGUAAAGCGCAUGAAGAAACUCCAUACUGAUGGACUUUUGGAAUGACUUGAUUAUGAAUCACUUGGUACUUGCGAACCGUGCCUCAUGGGCAAGAUGACUAAAACACCGUUCUCCGGUACUAUGGAGGGAGCAACUGAUUUAUUAAAGAUCAUACAUACAGAUGUAUGUGGUCCAAUGAAUGUUGAGGCUCGUGGCGGAUAUCGUUAUUUUCUCACCUUCACAGAUGAUUUGAGCAGAUAUGGGUAUAUCUACUUAAUGAAGCAUAAGUCUGAAACAUUUGAAAAGUUUAAAGAAUUUCAGAGUGAAGUUGAAAAUCAUCGUAACAAGAAAAUAAAGUUUGUACAAUCUGAUCAUGGAGGAGAAUAUUUGAGUUACGAGUUUGGUCUACAUUUGAAACAAUGCGGAAUAGUUUCGCAACUAACGCCACCUGGAACACCAUAGCGUAAUGGUGUGUCCGAACGUCGUAAUCGUACUUUAUUAGAUAUGGUGUGAUCUAUGAUGUCUCUUACAGAUUUACCGCUGUCAUUUUGGGGUUAUGCUUUAGAGACGGCCGCAUUCACGUUAAAUAGGGCACCAUCAAAAUCCGUUGAGACGACGCCUUAUGAACUGUGGUUUGGCAACAAACCAAAGUUGUCGUUUCUGAAAGUUUGGGGCUGCGAUGCUUAUGUGAAAAAGCUUCAACCUGAUAAGCUCGAACCCAAAUCGGAGAAAUGUGUCUUCAUAGGAUACCCAAAGGAGACUGUUGGGUACACCUUCUGUCACAGAUCCGAAGGCAAGACGUUUGUCGCUAAAUUCAGAUACUCUCUGGAGAAGGAGUUUCUCUCGAAAGAAGUGAGUGGGAGGAAAGUAGAACUUGAUGAGGUAACUAUACCUGCUCCCUUAUUGGAAAGUAGUAUAUCGCAGAAACAGGUUUCUAUGACACCUACACCAAUUAGUGAGGAAGAUAAUGAUGAUGAUCAUGAAACUUCAGAUCAAGUUGUUACUGAACCUCGUAGAUCAACCAGAGUAAGAUACGCACUAGAGUGGUACGGUAAUCCUAUUCUGGAAGUCAUGUUACUAGACCAUGAUGAACCUACGAACUAUGAAGAAGCGAUGGUGAGCCCAGAUUCUGCAAAAUGGCUUGAGGCCAUGAAAUCUGAGAUGGGAUCCAUGUAUGAGAACAAAGUGUGGACUUUGGUUGACUUGCCCGAUGAUCGGCAAGCAAUUGAAAAUAAAUGGAUCUUCAAGAAGAAGACUGACGCUGACGGUAAUGUUACUGUCUACAAAGCUCGACUUGUCGUGAAAGGUUUUCGACAAGUUCAAGGGGUUGACUACGAUGAGACCUUCGCACCCGUAGCGAUGCUUAAGUCUGUCCGAAUCAUGUUAGCAAUUGCCGCAUUUUAUGAUUAUGAAAUAUGGCAGAUGGAUGUCAAAACUGCAUUCCUGAAUGGUUUUCUGGAAGAAGAGUUGUAUAUGAUGCAACCGGAAGGUUUUGUCGAUCCAAAGGGAGCUAACAAAGUGUGCAAGCUCCAACGAUCCAUUUAUGGACUGGUGCAAGCCUCUCGGAGUUGGAAUAAACGCUUUGAUAGUGUGAUCAAAGCAUUUGGUUUUAUACAGACUUUUGGAGAAGCCUGUAUUUACAAGAAAGUGAGUGGGAGCUCCGUAGCCUUUCUGAUACUAUAUGUAGAUGACAUAUUGCUGAUCGGAAAUGAUAUAGAAUUUCUGGAUAGCACAAAAGGAUACUUGAAUAAGAGUUUUUCAAUGAAAGACCUCGGUGAAGCUGCUUACAUAUUGGGCAUUAAGAUCUAUAGAGAUAGAUCAAGACGCUUAAUUGGACUUUCACAAAGCACAUACCUUAACAAAGUUUUGAAGAAGUUCAAAAUGGAUCAAGCAAAGAAAGGGUUCUUGCAUGUGUUACAAGGUGUGAAGUUUAGUAAGACUCAAUGCCCGACCACUGCAGAAGAUAGAGAAAAGAUGAAAGAAGUUCCCUAUGCUUCAGCCAUAGGAUCUAUCAUGUAUGCAAUGUUGUGUACCAGACCUGAUGUGUGCCUUGCUAUAAGUUUAGCAGGGAGGUACCAAAGUAAUCCAGGAGUGGAUCACUGGACAGCGGUCAAGAACAUCCUGAAAUACCUGAAAAGGACUAAGGAUAUGUUUCUCGUUUAUGGAGGUGACAAAGAGCUCAUCGUAAAUGGUUACGUUGAUGCAAGCUUUGACACUGAUCCGGACGAUUCUAAAUCGCAAACCGGAUACGUGUUUACAUUGAACGGUGGAGCUGUCAGUUGGUGCAGUUCUAAACAAAGCGUUGUGGCGGGAUCUACAUGUGAAGCGGAGUACAUAGCUGCUUCAGAAGCAGCAAAUAAAGGAGUCUGGAUGAAGGAGUUCAUAUCCGAUCUAGUUGUCAUACCUAGUGCAUCGGGUCCAAUGAAAAUCUUUUGUGACAAUACUGGUGCAAUUGCUUUGGCGAAGGAAUCCAGAUUUCACAAAAGAACCAAGCACAUCAAGAAACGCUUCAAUUCCAUUCUAGAUUUAGUCCAAGUGGGAGACAUAGAAAUUUGCAAGAUACAUACGGAUCUAAAUGUAGCAGACCCGUUGACUAAGCCUCUUCCACGAGCAAAACAUGAUCAGCACCAAGGCUCCGUGGGUGUUAGAAUCAUUACAGUGUAAUCUAGAUUAUUGACUCUAGUGCAAGUGGGAGACUGAAGGAAAUAUACCCUAGAGGCAAUACUAAAGUUAUUAUUUAUUUCCUUAUAUCAUGAUAAAUGUUUAUUAUUCAUGCUAGAAUUGUAUUAACCGGAAACAUAAUACAUGUGUGAAUACAUAGACAAACAACGUGUCACUAGUAUGCCUCUACUUGACUAGCUUGUUGAUCAAAGAUGGUUAUGUUUCCUAACCAUAGACAUGUGUUGUCAUUUGAUUAAUGGGAUCACAUCAUUAGCAGAAUGAUGUGAUUGAAAUGACCCAUUCCGUUAGCUUAGCACACGAUCGUUUAGUAUAUUGCUAUUGCUUUCUUCAUGACUUAUACAUGUUCCUAUGACUAUGAGAUUAUACAACUCCCAUUUACCGGAGGAACACUUUGUGUGCUACCAAAUGUCACAACGUAACUGGGUGAUUAUAAAGGAGCUCUACAGGUGUCUCCAAAGGUACAUGUUGGGUUGGCGUAUUUCGAGAUUAGGAGUUGUCACUCCGAUUGUCGGAGAGGUAUCUCUGGGCCCUCUCAGUAAUGCACAUCACUUAAGCCUUGCAAGCAUUGCAACUAAUGAGUUAGUUGUGAGAUGAUGUAUUACGGAACGAGUAAAGAGACUUGCCGGUAACGAGAUUGAACUAGGUAUUGAGAUACCGACGAUCGAAUCUCGGGCAAGUAAUAUACCGAUGACAAAGGGAACAACGUAUGUUGUUAUGCGGUCUGACCGAUAAAGAUCUUCGUAGAAUAUGUGGGAGCCAAUAUGAGCAAUCCAGGUUCCGCUAUUGGUUAUUGACUAGAGACGUGUCUCGGUCAUGUCUACAUUGUUCUCGAACCCGUAGGGUCCGCACGCUUAAAGUUACGAUGACAGUUUCAUUAUGAGUUUAUAUGUUUUGAUGUACCGAAGAUUGUUCGGAGUCUCGAAUGUGAUCACGGACAUGACGAGGAGUCUCGAAAUGGUCGAGACAUGAAGAUUGAUAUAUUGGAAGCCUAUGUUUGGACAUCGAAAGUGUUCCGGGUGAAAUCGGCAUUUUACCGGAGUACCGGGAGGUUACCGGAACCCCCCGGUAACUAAAUGGGCCUUAAUGGACCUAGUGGAGGAAGAGGAGAGGAGGCCAAGGGGCAGCCGCGCGCCCCUCCCCCCAAGUCCAAAUUGGACAAGGAGGGGGGGGGGGCGCCCCCCUUUCCUUUCCCCUCUCUCUCUCCUUCCCCCCAAGUCCUAGUCCAACAUGGAAAAGGGGGGAGUCCUACUCCCGGUGGGAGUAGGACUCCUCCUGGCACGCCCUCCUCCUGGCCGGCCGCACCCCCCUUGCUCCUUUAUAUACGGGGGCGGGGGGGGGCACCCUAGAGACACAACAAUUGAUCCUUGAGAUCUCUUAGCCGUGUGCGGUGCCCCCCUCCACCAUAGUCCUCGAUAAUAUUGUAGCGGUGCUUAGGCGAAGCCCUGCGACGGUAGAACAUCAAGAUCGUCACCACGCCAUCAUGCUGACGGAACUCUUCCCCGACACUUUGCUGGAUCGGAGUCCGGGGAUCGUCAUCGAGCUGAACGUGUGCUAGAACUCGGAGGUGUCGUAGUUUCGGUGCUUGAUCGGUCGGGCCGUGAAGACGUACGACUACAUCAACCGCGUUGUUAUAACACUUCCGCUUUCGGUCUACGAGGGUACGUGGACAUACUCUCCCCUCUUGUUGCUAUGCAUCACCAUGAUCUUGGGUGUGCAUAUGAAUUUUUUUGAAAUUACUACGUUCCCCAACAACUAUGAACUUUUUCAGCGCUGCAACUUCUAUGACUGACAUGGAUGUCGACAAGGCCCCUGGGGACGAGGAAGUUGAUGACGCGGCCUCUUCUAGAGCAGGUAGGCCUUUCUCAAGUUGAAUUUAUGCCGCCGAUUGAUUUGUUGGUCGAUUCAACUCUUGGCAUUGUUUUUGUCAUAGUUCCGCGGGACGUCAUUACUCUUCCGGACGACGAUGAUGAGGAGGUGCCUCUGAGGGAGAGGAGAAUGAAGGGCAAGGCCUCGAGCGGGAAGGCGACUGAGGGACAGGUGCUUGAGUCAGUGGUCGAGCGAACCAGAGAUCUGGCUCGGACCAGCGUCACUUUCGCCAAUCCGCUGUUGACUGACCGUCCAUCAGGGUCGGCUGCUCAGGCCCCUGCCGCUCCGAUACAACUCCAUGUAUCCAAUCCUGUGGGUGCUCCAACUGCGUUGCUAUCAUCCCUCUUUGCUAUAUACCAGACUCCGAACCAUCUGCCGAGUGCUGCCCGAGAAGCUCUUCUCCAAGUGAACCUCGUGAUGGCGCAAAUGAAAGUGGUGCAUGAGGCUAGCCAGGUCGCGUACAACGCCACUACUGCUCUGCAGGCAAAUGUCAAGGUUAGUUGAUUUCCGACUGAUCUUUUGAGUAGUGAUAGUUGCCACCACCGCUUCGCUGCCCAUAUGAUGUCCUUGGAUGAUCGCUUUUGGAACCUUUUAUGUGCAUCUAUGAAUCUACAUUUCUCAUCCAACCACCCACUGUGGUGUUCCUGUAAUCAGCGGAAUAGCUUUUCUGGUUGAGUCGACUAGGUUGAGUCGAGUAUUUUUCUGAACCAGUGGGGGCGCGCAUAGUGCACCCACUGGGUGUAGUCCCUGAGAUCACGGUCGACUGCUGGCAGUUGACUGGGGUCUGAGAAUCACGUAUAUUUUUUUUACCCGUGCUGGACAGACCAUGCCGAGUUUAACAACCGGACCAGUGGGGGCACGCCAAGUGCACCCACUGGGUGUAGUACCCGAGUACCAUUGAAUGUUUGAUUCGGAGGUAGUCUUAGAACAACUUUUACUGAAACUGACUUGUGCUUCUGUCGACUGACGUAUCCCUUUUGCUGAUUAUAGAAUUCUUGUGAUCUUGGGGCUCAACUUUUUGAGCUGGACAAGAAGCAGAUCAGCAUCAAUCUUGACUUGGAGUUGGCCAAGAAGAACCUCAAGAAGGCCUAGGACAAAACAACUAUCAUGGGAGGUAACCACUCGGAACCUUUUACGUUAUGAUUCUUCCUUUCUUCUUUCCAGUCUCUUUGAACCGAGUGAUCCCACUCGAACAGAUGUGUGUAGUGAAAACCGUCAACUUCAGGCUCGUCUAAAGAAUGCUAUUUCUUUAGACAAAAUGAAGCAGGCUCUGGAGAAGGACUUGGACCUUGCUGCAGCCCAAAAGGAGGCGCGAGAGAGAACAUCGCUUGCGGACAACAAGCUGGCUUUAGUCGGCAAAUUAGAAGAUGAGAUCGCGUAGCUGAAGAAGGACAAGGAGAGCUUGACUGAUGAAGUAGGGAACCUCAAAACCAAACAGGGUGAGUUGGAGUCGUAUCUGGGGCAGCUUGCUGCGAAGUUGGUCUUGAAACUUGAAGGUAUUUCCUCUGAUUCGACUGAUUUGAGACGUCGACUGACAUAUCUUGUUGAACUGUCGACUCAUUGUUUUUCUGACUACACAGAGCUCUACCAGGACUUUGAAGCAGAAACCGGGCGGGUUGAGACAGGUCUCGAUCCCAUAAACUUCCCCGUCAAAGACGAUGUUGCGAUGAACGUGUUGCGGCUGGAGUCUCGUUUGGACAACGCCGUGGACUACCUCGCUCGACUGAAGGUCGCGAUGACGCGGGUUGAUGAUGAACUCUGGCCUCAGGCGGAACUCUCGCAGGAUCUCGAGUCUCUGAUGGCUUGGCUGAAUCAAAUCCCCGGUCGAGUGCAGGAAUGGAAGAAGUCGUCAGCUCGGUGUGGUGCUGACGUUGCUCUGUCACUGGUCCGAGUGCAUUGCAAGGACGUCAGAGAAGACAAGCUGGCGGCCCUCAAGGUUGCCAACACAAAGAAGCUCAACUUCCAGUCCUUCAUGGACACCUUCCUUGACGCCGCCACACGCAUCGCAGAAAGCACCGACCUUGACAGCUUCGUCGAGCCAGCAAGUCCUCCUCCUGCCGAGUGAACAAACAUUAUGCCAUACCCUUUAUUUGCCUCGGGAUGCCGAGUGAUUAUGUAACCGUUAAACUCCAUCGGGCUUGAUGCCCGAGCACUUCUGUCCGUCGUGGUUCUGAACUUUUGAGGGAUUUAUCUGAGCUUUGUUUUCCUUGAAUAUCUUGGCUCUUGCUCUUGUUGCUUUCGAGUGUUUUUUGAUUCUGAACCGAUUUGUCCUUGAGGACGAUGGAGUGCACAUUGUACUUGUGGUGUAGCUCAGACACGGUGUUCAGUCGACACCUCAUCGUCCUUGCGGAUCGGGAUGGAGCGCACAAUGUACUUGUGGUGCAGCUCAAACGCUGUGUUCAAUCGACACCUCGUCGUCCUUGCAGAUCGGGAUGGAGCACACAUUGUACUUGUGGCGUAGCUCAGGGGAUCUUUCGUGACUUAGGCGAUCACGGGGUCGCAGCUAAGCCCCCGAGUGGGAGGAUUGCUCUCCACUCAGAAUAUUUUUAACUUAGGCGAUUACGGGGUUGCAGCUAAGCCCCCGAGUGGGAGGAUUGCUCUCCACUCGGAAAUGUUUUUUAACUUAGGCGAUUACGGGGUCGCAGCUAAGCCCCGAGUGGGAGGAUUGCUCUCCACUCGGAAAUGUUUUUUAACUUAGGCGAUUACGGGGUCGCAGCUAAGCCCCCGCGUGGGAGGAUUUCUCUCCANNNNNNNNNNNNNNNNNNNNNNNNNNNNNNNNNNNNNNNNNNNNNNNNNNNNNNNNNNNNNNNNNNNNNNNNNNNNNNNNNNNNNNNNNNNNNNNNNNNNNNNNNNNNNNNNNNNNNNNNNNNNNNNNNNNNNNNNNNNNNNNNNNNNNNNNNNNNNNNNNNNNNNNNNNNNNNNNNNNNNNNNNNNNNNNNNNNNNNNNNNNNNNNNNNNNNNNNNNNNNNNNNNNNNNNNNNNNNNNNNNNNNNNNNNNNNNNNNNNNNNNNNNNNNNNNNNNNNNNNNNNNNNNNNUGCUCUCCACUCGGAAUGUUUUUAACUUAGGCGAUUACGGUGUCGCAGCUAUGCCCCCGAGUGGGAGGAUUUCUCUCCACUCAGAAUGUUUUUAACUUAGGCGAUUAUGGGGUCGCAGCUAAGCCCCCGAGUGGGAGGAUUGCUCUCCACUUGGAAUGUUUUUUAACUUAGGUGAAUCGGAUUCGCAGCUAAGCCACCCACUGGCGGAUUUUAGACACAUAUGCUUAUGGGAAACUGAUCAUUAUGAUACUGAAAAAAUCUUGUCUUUGAGAAGCAAAUUGAAACACUUUUAUUACAACUCGUCAGGUCGAGUGAUCUAUGUGUAGAAGUGGUGGAGCAGCUCUGCAUUCCACGCACGUGGCUCGUCUAUCUUCUUGGCUAUGUUGUAGAUGUGGUAGGCUCCAUUGUGAAGCACCUUGGUGAUGGUGACGGGGCCUUCCCAGGCCGGAGCAAGCUUGUGAGGCCGUUUCUGAUCCACUCGGAGAACCAGGUCUCCUUCUUGGAACGCUCGUCCUCUGACAUUUCGGGCAUGGAGUCGACGCAGAUCUUGCUGGUAGAUGGUCGACCGGAUCAAAGCCAUUUCACGUUCUUCUUCCAGGAGAUCUACAACGUCUUCUCGUGCUUGCUCUGCUUCGGCUUCUGUGAAUAGUUCCACUCGGGGGGCAUUGUGCAGCAAAUCACUCAGAAGAACAGCCUUGACACCGUACACCAAGAAGAAAGGAGUCCGUCCAGUCGACCGAUUUGGCGUUGUUCUCAGCCCCCACAAGACGGACGGCAACUCGGUUACCCAGGCUCCAGCAGCAUGCUUGAGGUCAUGCAUUAGGCGGGGUUUUAAUCCUUGGAGGAUCAAACCAUUCGCCCUUUCUGCUUGUCCGUUUGAUUGCGGGUGUGCGACUGAUGCGUAAUUUACCCGAGUGCCUUGGGUUGUGCAGAAUGCCUUAAACUCGUCAGAAUCAAAGUUGGAGCCAUUAUCUAUGAUAAUGUUGUGAGGAACUCCAUAUCUGAAUAUCAACUCCUUGAUGAAACUGACAGCAGUGCUUGCACCGAGGUUCUUGAUGGGCCUAGCUUCGAUCCAUUUAGCGAACUUGUCGACUGCUACAAGCAAAUGGGUGAAACCACUCGCACCGGUCUUGAAGGGGCCAACCAUAUCCAACCCCCAGACUGCAAAUGGCCAGACGAGUGGAAUAAUCUUCAAGGCAGACGCAAGUUUGUGGGACAUGUUGGAAUAGAAUUGACAGCCUGCACACUUGUUGACUAUAUCCUUUGCCAUUUUGUUUGCUCGAGGCCAAUAGAAUCCUGCUCGGUAUGCUUUGGCCACGAUGGUCCGAGAGGACGCAUGGUAGCCACAGGUCCCCGAGUGGAUGUCAUUUAAGAUCACUCGACCUUCUUCUGGGGUGAUGCAGCACUGAGCCACUCAUGUGGCACUUUCUCUGUAAAGAUGUCCUUUCAUCACUGUAAAAGCUUUGGAUCGACGGACUAUCUGACAGGCUUCAUCCUCAUCCUCUAGGAGUUCCUUUCUGAGAAUGUACGCAAUGUACGGUACUGUCCAGUCGGGUGUGAUCACCAAGACUUCCAUGAUGAAGUCGACCACAGCUAGAAUCUCAAUCUUAGUCGGGUUGGUUAAACUUAUCGGUUGCGGGGGCUCUUCCUUGAAGGGAUCCUCUUGUACUGACGGGGUGUGGAGAUGCUCCAAGAACACAUUGCUAGGGACAGGCUUCCGAGUGGAACCUAUCUUCGCCAGAUCAUCAGCCGCUUGAUUCUUGAGUCGAGGUAUGUGGUGGAGCUCUAACCCCUCAAACUUCUUCUCUAGCUUUCUUACCGCGUUGUAGUAACCAGUCAUUGCGGGACUCCUGACAUCCCAUUCCUUCAUUACCUAAUUAACCACUAAAUCUGACUCGCUAUAGACCAUCAAGCGCCGGACUCCGAGUGAGAUGGCCAUACGCAACCCAUACAAUAGUGCCUCAUAUUCAGCUUCAUUAUUAGAAGAAUCAAAGUGAAUCUGGAGGACAUAACUGAGCUUGUCUCCUCCUGGGGACACUAAGACCACUCCUGCGCUAGAGCCGUUCAACAUCUUGGACCCAUCAAAGAACAUGGUCCAAUGUUCCGACUGGAUUUGAGUCGGUUGUUGUUGUUUUGUCCACUCUGCGAGGAAAUCUGCAAUUGCUUGAGACUUGAUGGACUUCUUUGCCUCAAACUUGAUAUCCAAUGGAAGAAGUUCAAUCGCCCACUUUGCCACUCGACCAGUUGCAUCUCUAUUGUUCAGGAUCUCUGAUAAUGGAGCGUCGCUGACGACUGAAACUGAAUGAUUAGAGAAAUAAUGUGCAACUUUCUUCAUGGUCAAGUAGAUCCCAUAAACAAGCUUCUGAUAAUGAGGGUAUCUCUGCUUGGACGGGGUCAGGACCUCUGAAAUGUAAUAGACUGGGCGCUGAACUUUGAAGGCUUUGCCUUCCUCUUCCCGCUCGACUGUGAGCACUGUGCUGACAACUCGUCCUGUGGCUGCGAUGUAAAGCAAAAGAGGCUCUUUACUGAUUGGAGUAGCAAGCAUCGGCUGGGUGGAAAGCAGGGCUUUGAGCUCUUCAAACGCUGCUUUGGCUUUGUCAUUCCAAUCGAACUUGUCAGACUUCUUCAUCAGUCGGUAAAGAGGCAAUGCCUUUUCACCGAGGCGUGAGAUGAAUCGACUCAAUGCAGCCAAACAACUAGUAAGCUUCUGAACAUCUUGCACUCGCACUAGGCGCUUCAUUCGAAGGAUUGUGCCAAUCUUUUCUGGAUUUGCGUCGAUUCCUCGUUCGGAAACGAGAAAACCGAGUAAUUUUCCGCCUGGGACUCCGAAUGUGUAUUUUGAUGGAUUGAACUUGACAUCAUACCAUCUUAGGUUGGCAAAGGUUUCAGCAAGGUCAGUCAGCAGGUCGGAACCUUAGCAUGCCUUAACCACUAUGUCGUCCAUGUAUGCUUUCACAUUCCGACUUAUCUGAGUGAGCAGGCACUUCCAGAUCAUGCGCAUGAACGUGGCACCAGCAUUGUUGAGGCCGAAGGGCAUGGUGACAUAACAAAAGCACCUGAACGGGGUGAUGAAAGCAUUCUUGAUCUCAUCGGGUCCAAACAGUCGGAUCUGUUGGUACCCGGAAUAAGCAUCCAGAAAGGACAGUUGUUUGCAUCCCGUAGUUGAAUCGACUAUCUGGUCGAUGCGGGGCAGAUGAAAAUGAUCUUUUGGGCAAGCCCGAUUGAUGUGCUUGAAGUCAAUACACAUUCGAAAUGAUUUGUCUUUCUUGGGAACCAUAACGACAUUGGCGAGCCACUCGGAGUGGUAUAUCUGGCGGAUGAACUCAGCCGCCAGAAGCCGAGCCACUUCCUCGCCAAUUGCCUUCCUCUUCUCCAUGGUGGACCGACGGAGAUGCUCUUUGACCUGUUUUGCUUUUGAGUCAACUCACAAACGGUGCUCAGCCAGUUCCCUGGGUAUACCCAACAUGUUAGAUGGCUUCCAUGCGAAGAUGUCCUAGUUCUCACGGAGGAACUGGAUGAGUGCGGCUUCCUAUUUGCUCUCGAGUGUCGUUGAGAUGUGGGUUGGAGCGGCAUUGGGAUCGGUCGGGUGGAUGUGAACUGGCUUGGUCUCCCCGGCCGACUGGAAUGCAUACUCUAAGGCAGGUCUCUCGGCAUGCAACAAAUCACUCGGAUCUGCUGUCUUCUGGUACUCUUGGAACUCCACAGCUGUCAUCUGCUCGUCUUCUAUCUUUGCGCCAUCCUGAAGACAAUCUUCUGCUUUUUCCGGUUACCAGAGACUGUUAUCACGCCUUUGGGGCCAGGCAUCUUCAUUUGAGGUAUACAUAACAUGGUCGAGCCAUGAAGCUGGCAUAGGCAGGUCUGUCCAGAAUGGCGUGAUAAGCACUCUCAAAAUCCACAACCUCAAACGUUAACUUCUCCUUGCGAUAAUUCUUUUCGUCGCCGAAAACCACAUCAAGAGCAAUCUGGCCAAGUGAAUCGGCUUUCUUUCUUGGGAUGACUCUGUGGAACCUCAUGUUGCUCUCGCUGAGUUUGGACAUCGGAAUGCCCAUCCCCUUAAGAGCUUCGGCGUACAGGAUAUUGAGGCCACUACCACCAUCCAUCAGAACUUUGGUCAGUAGAGUGCCCCCAACAACUGGGUCGACCACCAGCACCUGCCACCCAGGGGUAGCUACUCGCGGCGGGUGGUCUGACUGGUCGAAUGUCAUUGGGGUUUUUGACCACUUCAGAAAUUUCGGUGUUGCCGGAGCAACCAUGUUCACCUCUUUGUUAAUGACUUUCAAUAGACUUUUGCUCUCGACAUCAGCAAAAAUCACCAGGGUGGCAUUAACAUGGGGAUAUCCUUCUUCCUCUUCCUCCUUGUCUUCCUCCUUCUCAGAAUCUUUAUCCUUUUCGUUGGGCUGACCCUUCUUUUGGAAGCUCCGGAUCAGGAGUCGACACUGUCGAGUGGUACGCUUGGGGAGAAUCGGAUUCCCCUCUUCAUCUUUCUUAGUGUGGAAAUGACACGAAAAAUCCAUCACAUCAUUUCCAACUUGAUCUUUUACUUUCUUGGGAUUCGAGGGCCCUUUGGGCUUCCCUUUGAACUUUCCUUGAUUCAACACUGUUGCCUCGGCGGGUCCUGCUGCCUCAGCCUUUCGCUUCUGCUUCCGACUGGAAUUUCUCCUCCGAUGUCUUGGGCGACUGUUUUGUGCUUACCACUCCGGAGUCGGUCUUCCUCUUUGACGUUAGCGUACUUGGUGGCAAUCUCCAUCAUCCGAGUCAGAGUCAUAUCUCCUGUCCGACCGAACUUCAGAUUGAGCUCUCUGUAGCGAACGCCCUCUUUGAAGGCACAAACUGCUUGGUGAUCUGACACAUUCUCCACUGUGUGGUGCAGAGUGAUCCAUCUCUGGAUAUAAUAUCUCAAGGUUUCAUUCGGUUUUUGCACACAAUGCUGCAACUUUGGUAGACCGGCAGGUCUCUUGCAGGUGUCCUCGAAUGUUCUGGUAAAUACACGGGCCAACUCAUCCCAACUCAAGAUGCUCCCCGGGGCCAACUGAUUGAGCCAAGCUCGGGCAGAACCUUCAAGCAUCAGAGGGAGGUGCUUCAUGUCCACCUCAUUGCUGCCACCGCCGAUGUGCACAGCCACUCGGUAAUCUUCAAGCCAAGUAUCUGGCUUCGACUCUCCCGUGAACUUGCUGACACCAGUUGCCAUCUGAAGUUGUGGGGGAUCUCGGUGGCUCUGAUGGCUCUCUCGAUGCACUCGCGGCCAGAUACGUGGACCCUGCUCCCGCUGGGUCUGUCUCUGUCUAGCCCUUCUUUGUAUGCUUUGUUCUGGUCGACCAAGCCCUGAACAAGGGCUGGCCUCGCAUCGAACCCAGGCUCUCUUGGGUCGACUGGAACUCUACGGUCAUUACCGUAUGGACGCGUGUCGUCAUACCACCGGGGCACGUAUGACCCGCCCCUCAGAAGGGGCGAAGGCACUCGAUGGUAGUUGUCGCGGGUGAACUCACGAUCAUCAUCUCCAUGAACUCUUCCCAAAUGCCGAUCCUGAUGAUGCUCACGAUCCCUUUGCCUCAGCGGUGACCUAGGACUGUGUGCCAACUGGAUGGUAUCUGCCAUUACCAAUCGACUGUGAAUUCUGUUCCACGAUUGGUACACGGCUGAGUUCUGAUCUCCUGCCGCUCGGAGCAGCGCUCUGAUCUGUUCCAAGCCCCUUCCCGCCUCCGAGCGAGAUGGCUGAAUGGACUCCGUAAUACGUACAGCAGCUGCGAGAUUCUGAAUCAGCGUGUGGAAUACCUGAGUUUCCGGUGGAAACAGUUGCCGUGUAUGCCCACUGGAUCCGAGGAUCAAUCGAUGGGCACGCUCGUCGAGAGAAUGUUGGAGAUUCUCCAAACGAGUGUGCUCGGCCAGCAUGGCCAGGUGCACGUCCUCCAAAGCCCGAGCUUCAGCGGUUUCCCCUAUGAUGGGGGUAUGGAGAGCCUCCUCGUUGCGGCGACGCAGCUCCUCCCUCCGCUACAAACUGAAAGGUUGGGGCUAGUACUCCUCAUGGCCGAGCGACGUACCGUCGCCGUCCAUGUCCUCACUGCUGCGACGGAAACCGGGCGGGCCGCGAUGAGAGUCGACCAUGAGGACUUCCACCGCGGGGUCACAACUCCCGCUCUCGGAAAGUGUGUCUGCAAAGUCAGUCGACGGGUCGACUGGACCGCAGUGAUAUACGUCGGCCUCGAUCGCCGCAACCUGUGGGGUGAACGCAUGCCGAGCCACCGUGUGCUUCACCCACCGCUGGAGCCGUGACCGGCCCGAUCGCUUGCGGCGACGUCCAGCGGAGCGAGAGGUCGACAUCGGCGUCGACUGGUACGGGGUCGACGGCUGUCGAAGGAGGACGCCACGGGCACUCGCGCAGAAGUGCGACGAACCUCGGAUCGGCAGUGCCUCGACGUCGAGGGGGGCCUCCUGGAGCCAGGCCGAGUCGCCGGCGACAAAAGUGAGCGCGCCAAGUUGGAACUCGCGGCCCAUAACCAAACCGCCACCAAAAACUAUGUUGAUGAAGACUGAAGAAAAUGCAACCUCGCCGGAAGUCGCUAAGACGCUUUGCGCCACGGUGGGCGCCAACUGUCGUGGUACUAAGACUGACAGUAAGAGUAGGGGGUACGUAUGAGGAGGCAAGGUCCUAACUACGGUGAGGUUGUACGCAAGUGUUUACGAGUUCAGGCCCCUCUCGGAGGAGGUAAAAGCCCUACGUCUCGGUGCCCGGAGGCGGUCGACUAGAUUUCAGUAUAUGUGUGUGUGUGUGUGUGUUACAGGGGGUGCGAACCCUUGUUCCAAAGGAAGGGGUGGCUUACAUAGAGUGCGCCAGGAUCCCAGCCAUCCCCCGUUACAGAGAGUUCAAUGUACAUAAAGAGAGGGGGUUACUGAUAACGCUAGCUAUAAAGUGUUAUUAAUGUCUUUGAAGACUACGGAGUGAAUGCUUGACCGUUGCUGUUCCGUGCGACUCCUGGUCUUCAUUGGUUGAGUGGUUUCUUGUAUGGUCGAGUGGUCUCAGGAAGGAGGGGUAACCGAGUGAUAUGACUGGUCGAGUGGAUUGCACUCGACGUCUUCAUUCGGCACUCCCAGUUGUCUCUUGAGUUUCUUUGCUUCUAGGGUAGUGACCUUGGGUAGGGUAUACAGGUCAGGUCUAUGACCCUACCUUAGGUCUAUAUCAUCAUCAGGCGGCUCCGGCUCCUCCUCAUUGUCCGACCACUCCCUCUUCUUGGGAAGGAAGCCCGCGCCGGAGGACGAGGAGGAUCCGGCGUAGGAAGAUCUCGCGGAGGAGAAUGACGCGCUACAACGGUCGUACUCCUCCGUCUCGCGGCGGUUGAAGCUCGGCGGCGGCGACAUCCCACGGUUGGUCCACCUCCGUGCGCCACGCUUCCUCGUGCCGUCCGCCCGGACGCGCCGCUCGUGCUCCGGGUCGCGCUCAUGGCCGGAUCUGCUGCCGGAGCCAUGCCCGGAGCUCCACGUUCGCCCCCACAUGGCGGCUGGAGGCGGGGCGGGUGGUCGCCGGGUGGCUCGUGGCGGCGGGGGGGACAGGGUUUGAAUCUGCAAAAGGAUCGCCGAACCGCAGUUAUACUGCUCGGUGCGUGCGGUUUGCGGGCCGCGGCAAAAAAUUUUGCGAACCGGACAAGUAUGCGGGCUCUGUUCUGGCCAGAAAAUUGACCGAACCCGCAUACUCGCCGAAAUUUUUGCGGGCAGGACGUUUUGCGGGGUCUGCUAGAAUUGCUCUAAGCAAUCCAAAUCGUUGAACACCAACCUGCAAAAAAAGGAAAUCGUUAAACACAAGCCGGCCUCAAAGCCACAUCCGCUGGAAUCCAAAAACCCACUUUUGAAAGGCGGAUGGGCCAACCUGACCGGCCGGCGUUGACACACCCGCAACGUGCGAGGAUGGGCCAACCUGACCGGCCGGCGUUGACAUUUGUGAAGGAAUUUAUUCCUCUAUGGGUUCUCUUUUCACACCGGGGUGACGGUGGGAGCUCUCACUUUCUAAAGCGUCAUUUGUGAAGUUGGUCAAAGCUUGGUCAAAGUCUCACAGCUCCACUUUGUCACUGCUCGCUCCCACAGAGAGCGCGAGGUCAUACAGCUUUGCCACACGCUAUGUUGAUUUCUUCUAGCUAACUUGGUGAAAGUCGUUUUUUUUCUUUGCAAAACAUAGUGCAGAUUAUCAAUGAGCAUCCUGAAAUCUUAGACCAUUGUCAUGUUAUCUUAGAGCUACGCUGAGUUUUGUUGAAAAGGAAAGAGGAAUUUGGUGGAAUAGUUGUUGUAUUGCUUGAGCCUCGUGGGCAUAUAUAUAGGAGUACAAUGAUCAACUUGGAGUAGAAGACAAGCCAGAACUAAUCCUAGUCUAUCUAGUCUUUCCUAAUAAUCAAUAUACUCAACAUCCCCCCNNNNNNNNNNNNNNNNNNNNNNNNNNNNNNNNNNNNNNNNNNNNNNNNNNNNNNNNNNNNNNNNNNNNNNNNNNNNNNNNNNNNNNNNNNNNNNNNNNNNNNNNNNNNNNNNNNNNNNNNNNNNNNNNNNNNNNNNNNNNNNNNNNNNNNNNNNNNNNNNNNNNNNNNNNNNNNNNNNNNNNNNNNNNNNNNNNNNNNNNNNNNNNNNNNNNNNNNNNNNNNNNNNNNNNNNNNNNNNNNNNNNNNNNNNNNNNNNNNNNNNNNNNNNNNNNNNNNNNNNNNNNNNNNNNNNNNNNNNNNNNNNNNNNNNNNNNNNNNNNNNGGUCGAUGCAUCGCAGAGUUGUGGCUGGAGUGAAAACCAAUGAGGUUGCUCAAGAAGGCGGUAGCCCUUUGUGCCGUUUGUCGAUGUAGCCGAGAGCGUGGGUGGUGGAUCCGUGGUCGAGGUAGCCGUGCGAAGAAUGCCAUGGUCGAUGUCGACUCGGGGUAGCCGGUGUCGAGGAAGUCGUUGUGGAGCCGCGGGCGCAAGGAGGCGCCGAGUUAGUCGUGGGCGCAGUGGUGUCGAAGUAGUGGUGCGCCAAGAAGGAGAUGAUGUUGACGACGUGUCGCGUCGGGGUUGCCAACCCCGGGAACACAUCGUAGACGAAGGCACACGUCGGUGUUGCCAGCACCGGGCAUGCGUAGACGGACGAAGACGAAGUUGACGAAGCACCGCACCAGGCUUGCCAGGCCCGGGGAUACGUCGUGGACGAAGGCACGCGGCGGUGUUGCCAGCACCGGGCAUGCGUAGACUGGGACCUGCACGAGAUGUACGCCAUGUCGAGGAAGUUUGAGAGGCGAACAGAGAAGGACUCGACGACGGUUGCGGCGCCAAUCGACGCGGGGCCAAUGUCGCCCGCGGUUGUCGGAGUAGAUGAAGCGGUCGGGGUAGAUGAGGGCGACGCUGGUGACGGGCUGGUGCUGGACGAAGAUGAAGGGGGUGUACGGGCGGCUGUGGCGGCGGCGGCCAAAGAAGAGCGGCGGCGGCAACCUGACGGCGGCGACGGCGGCUAGGUUAGGAGCGCAGCGGCGGUGCUCGAAGUAGUCGAAGAACCCGACAGCGUGACGAAGACCGGCGCGGACGGUGGCGUUCCCGCGCCAAGGGAGACGGCGCAGCGCAUACCACGGGAGGUCGACGCGCGGUGACUGCGGAGUGGACCGCGGGCCGCGGCGCUACGGCCCGUAGGGGCGACGCAGCAGCGGCAGGCAGGUCCGGACGACAGCAGGAAGACCUCAGGGCAGCGGCGGGGACCGCGGGCCGCGGCGCGACGGCGGAGCGCGGGUCGGUGCAACCGCGGGGACGGCCUCAGGAUGGUGGCGUGGACCGCGUCCACGCUCGCUACGGCCCGACGGGGCGACGCAGCGGCGGCGCGAGGGUCGGUGCAGCCAUGGGGAUGGCCUGGAGCGGACGGCCCCGGGGCGGCUGUGGACCGCGGGCCGCGGCACUACGGCCCGAAGGGGCGACGCAGCGGUGACACGGGUCGGUGCAGCUGGGAGGAGAACCACGGGGCGGCGGCGCUGCGGCCCGACUGGGCGACGCAGCAGCAGCCCGUUGCUCGACCGGUGGAGGGGCGCGCUGAACUCGGGACAAUCUUCACGGGACCUGCGGAGGCGCGCGCAACCAACGGGCCAGGUUGGUCGCGUGGCGUAGAUGAGGCGGAUCGCGGCGGUAAGCGGGUGAUCAAACCGAUCGCGCGCGAGGACGGGGACGCCGCUCGAUGGAGGCGUGGUGGCGGCGGAGUCCUGGAUGAGGCCGGAAACGACGGACGGCGUGGGACGUCAGCACCGGCACCCGGGCUGCCAAAGCAGCACCGGCGCCCGGGCAGCGAGGCCCGAGCGACCAACGGAGCAACGGCGCCCGAGUUUGAGGCAGCCGACGAGCCUGACAGCUGAGGACGAGGCCGACGAGGUAGACCGCCGAGCCGCCGUGCAGACGCGGCGGAGGCGGGUGACGUGGAUCGAUCGGCAGGCCGCUGCGCGAGCGACGGCUAUGAUUGGCCAUCGCAUGGCACGAAGCCGCCGGGUCGGGGCGAUGAAGGUUUCCCGGUCGGAGCAGGGCGGUGACGGCUGGCGCAGGGCAACGGGCGGACCGACGCGCAGACGGUGGCUGGCCCUAAUAGGCCGCCUCGGCGCGGCCGGCUGGUCGCGCUGGGGUCGGAGUAGAGGCGCUCGGGGUCGACGGCGGUGGUGGGUGACGCAAACCGAUCAAGAAUAGAUCGGAAAAUCAAAAAGUAGACGCCGAUCAAAGCGACCGACGAAAGAGAGAAAAACCCGGAUCAAAGGAUCGGGAAAAGGACUCUUUAGGGCAGCCGGCCAACACGGCCGGCGGACGAACCCUAGGUACGGGCGGCGCGGCCCCCGGAGGCGGUCAUGGAGACCGACCGCCCCGGGGGCGACGCGCGAGUGCGGAAGCGGCGACGGCUAGGGUUUAGAAUCCGGAAACUGAUACCAUGUUGGAAGGGAGAGAGAGGAUUUGGUGGAAUAGUUGUUGUAUUGCUUGAGCCUCGUGGGCAUAUAUAUAGGAGUACAAUGAUCAACUUGGAAUACAAGACAAGCCAGAACUAAUCCUAGUCUAUUUAGUCUUUCCUAAUAAUCAAUAUACUCAACAAGUUUAACCUCUUUUAGUUUUUGCAGUCAUGUCAUGUUUCAAAAUUAAAGGAAAAUUGAUUCUUAUUGAUCGAUUUUGGACGGAUAGCCAUCGCUAAGUCAAGAUGAUUUCACUGUCUUCCUAAGCAAGGCUUAUAUCAUUGUUAUUCGCUGCUAAAGUGCACGACACAAAACGUUGCAAUAAGGAAUAUAGACUGAUUUAUUGGAGCCUUUUAAAAUAAGAAAUAAAUAGAUCUUCACACCACAAUGUACUGACUAGAUUUGAAGUACAAAACAAAGCAAAAAUAUCAACAACUCGCAAACAUGUCAUUGUAGCUCUUCGUGGAUGAGCACAAAUUAUUUAAUCCAACAAGAACCUAGUGAUGCGGGCAAACCUUUCUAUGGGCAUAUUCUUCAUCAAAUACAGAAAGCUUUAAAUAGAUUUUUUUUCAUGACAGAUUAUGGUAGACGCAGGAUACGGGUCUAUAGCCCAUCUUACAAGUUGGGGCCACCCUUCCACCGACUGGUUCACCACUUUUAGGAUGCUUCUCCCAUACCGAACAUUGUCAUGUUAUCCACUUGGCCAUUUGUGAGAGAAGGAGGAGGAAGAGAGAUGUAUUUGAAAGGGAGCUUGAGGGAGUACUUGUUGCAACCUGAAGUAUGAGGUUCGCUUGAAUUCUACCCAACUAUGUUCUAAAAUCUGAUAAAAUCAAGGGUCUCAUGUUGCGAAGAUUGUCAUAUAAAUCACAACCGAAUAAUUGAUUCAUGAUUUCCCGUAAGAGCAUAAAAUUUACUAUUAAAAGAUUAAUUGCCUAAAUAUACUUGGAGUGGUUGAGAUCACCACAUAUCGUCAAACAUAUUUUGCUAAGCCAAAGUUUUGUGAUUUUCCCCCUAGGUAUUGUAUUUUUCUCGAUUUAAUUUUGUGAUUUUUCGGAUACACACUUCAUAAACUCAGGAUACAAAUUCCUUACAUAUAAUCAAUUAUAAGAUUUGGUGACUAUUACAAGUUGGGGUCCGUUGUAAGCUGGUUCGCAUUUUCUAUGACGCAACAUCGUUGUGCAUUGCACAUUUUGAACUUCGCCUCCUUAUUUCCUCCCAAACUGAGUAUUUUCAAUAAAAGAGUGUCCUCCCUCUCCGAUUUCUACCAAAGAAACCAUUUGGUUCACUUUAGAAACUACCCCUAAAAAGCACUAGCAUCCUAGCAACAUUCAUCAACAACAUUGCCAAAAGAACAAGACCUGAGAGCGGACAACUCAACAUGCGGAUAGAGAUAGACUCCUGCACACAACAUUUUACAAACCUUAAAAGAUAACUAAGAACCAAACUUCAGAAGGCGACCAAACUAGACUAAACUCAGACAUGGAACAAGAAACGCUAGUGAAAUGAUGCAUCCAGGAAAAGUAGUCAGAGAGAACAAGUUACACCACUAGGUGAAGUCACAGUCGAAGAUCAGCUUUAGCCACUAAUCCUGAGCACUCCUAGACGACACCCUUAUGAUCUUGAUACACCUCACUUGCCACAUGUUCUAUGAUUCUUGCCCCCAACAUCAGCACCCUUCUGUUUUCCUCCCUUAUCUGCAAAAUUGCUUAACUGGUAAUACAAUGACAUAUCUGUGUGAGGAGGACUACUGGAUUAAUAAACAUUUUCUAUCAAAAACAAUAUCAUUGCUGCAUAUCCAAAUGGUCCAGAAGAUGGCGGAGACACCAACUAUAACCAAAUGUUUGCUAUCUUUUGUAGAAACAAAUAUCAAAACACCAAAUCAUACAUUUAAGUUGUCGGUAAUAGUUCUUAAAUCAAAGACACAUUAAAAAUAACUCCACACUAAUCUAGCAGGAGAGCAUUGGAAAAAUAAGUGAUCAGUGCUUUCGUCUUGUCCAUAAAACACCCAACAGUUGCUACCCUUCCAAGGAGGGGAACUUUUGGUCUAUGGGUGUAUAUACACCCUAUAUGGAAAAUAUAUUUAGUUAUUAGAAAAAGUCAAAAAAGCCCGGAAAUUUUUGAAAUAAAGUUGAUCUUCCAUUGUACUUGUAAGAAAAAUUCCACAAAAAGAAAAACAUGCAUUGACUCCUUUUUAAAAAAUCAGCCAAAAUAGUGUGAAUAGUGACCUAUAAUAGCACAUAAUUUGUGUGUGUUUUUUCCUAAAGACAACAUUGGGUUUUUAUCCGCGAAAUUUAUAUAGUAGUGCAAAACAAAGUCAAGUUUAUUGCAAAAAAACCUUCUAAACUUUUUCGACUUUCUUGUAAUUAUUAAUACUUUUUUUCUCAUAUAUAGUGUAUAUACACCCAGGAACAAAAUGGUAUUUCCCCCCUUUCCAAGCCCUUCUCAGCAAAUUAUCUCUGGUUAAAGUGAUUUUUGUGACAAUUAAUCGUAGAAAUAUUUUGAUUUUACAUAAGAACUGUGAAAAUCCACAAUCAUAGUUGUCUGCAUAGUGAUUUGAUAGUGAAGAUACCAUCAGAAUAUUUGUGUCCACAUGUGACAUGACAAAGAGUAAGAGAUAUUUAUUAGGAAGGAAAGCUGAAGGGCACAUUUUUUUUUCUAACCGGACCAAACCACACUAAUAGAAAUACAUCAUCCACAGAGAUACGAAGGAGGCAUGCGUAAAGCAGGGAGAAAAAAUUGAGCACUAGCAGCAAACCCGCUGGAGGUGCCCUCACUCGAAACACCUUCUAUGGGACGAAAACCUACUAAUAUUGGUUAAAAAAUCAACGGAAGUGCUACAAAUCCACCAACAAAACGACAGACAGCCACCGCCAUUGUUUAAGGGCACACUAAUUGUCCAUAUCAGUCUGAAAAAUAAACAUAGCCCAUUGCAUUUUCACCCAGUAAUUUGGAAAUCUAACGAAAUUGAGGAUCGUUGGACGUAAAUCUAGUAAAAUGCACCUCCAAAGUUAAAUCCACCAGAUAAAAUGGUGAUUAAAAAUUGUACCAAAAGUACACAUUUUUUUUCUGCGGGUAAAAUAGCACUUUCUCUGUUGCAUAAUGUAGUGCAUAUAGAUUUUUUUUUGAGAAGUCAGACCUCAUAAAAUUUGACCAAGUUUAUGGAGAAAAAUAUUUACAUCUAAAAUGCUAAACAUAUAUAAUUAGGUUCAUCAUAAGAUGUAGGUUCAUAUUUUCUAUAUUUGAUAUUGUAGAUAUAAAUAGUUUUCUCUAUAACUUUGGUCAGAGUUUGCAAAGUCGACUUUUAAAAAAAUCUAUACGCACUAUAUUAUGAAACGGAAAGAGUAUACAAUUGGAUUUCAGGAGAUUUACAAAAAGAUGGAUAUAUGUACUAAUAGUAUACAAUUUGGGUGAACCAACCUGUGGUUUGAUGGUUAGAGGGACUGUGUGGUAUUCCCAGCCCACCAGGGUCUGAUGCUCGCAUUUAUUUCUGGAUUUAUUUCAGGAUUUUCGGUGGUGUGCAUUCUGUGUGAGGAGACAUUCCCGUCGACGACGGGGUCCCUAUGAUGACUUCGUAAAUUUCAAGAUGAUAUGUGAGCUCAGUCUUUUGGAGGUGCUCAGUCUUUUGGAGAUGCUCAUAGGGGUAAAGUGUGCGUGUGUGCGUUCAUAAAGGUAAGCGUAUGCGAGUGUAUAUGAGUGUUUGCGUCUGUGUUCAUAAAGAAAAAUAGUAUACAGUUUGGCUUUAUAAGAUUCGGCGAAACUCCGAUAGUACCAGUAGUAUAUAUACAAUUUGAUACUACGUAGGUAAAAUCUAUCUAUUCUAAAACAUGAUUGUGUGAACAGCUCAAAUAUCGUCGCAACCAGCCGUCAGCAGUGCCUAAUCAACCCAUGCAAGGCAUUUGCUCACUCACUCGCUCGUUCCCACGAUAAGAACGUGAUCGCCGUUUCAAAUGCGCGUGGACAUGCGUCUCCUAUAAAAGGUACCGCACCAAACAACAUCCAACAUCGGAGCACGAGAACUUAACUCACACAGCGCCCUCAUCUCCGUCGUUCUCUGAGGAGACGCAAAACUUUCUCGCGACACCCGUCAUGGCGCCGAGGCUGGAGCGCGGCGGCAGCGGCUUCCAUCUCCCGAACUCCAGGCAGGAGGACUCCCUCUUCCUCCGCGCCCUCAUCUCCGUUGUAAACGGAGACGCCGUCGUCCCCACGCUGCACCUCGAGCCGUCGUCGCCGCACUUUGCCGCUGCAGUUCCUGCGUGCGCCAGCUGCGGCGUGGACGGGUGCAUCGGCUACAUGUUCGCUGCUGCGGCGGCGCCGGCCGGCUCGAGCAGCGAGGGCGAAGGAUGCUCCGCCGCGAGCUUUGUGAAGGGCGGCGGCGUGGGGAAGAUCACGCGGAGGAGGAGCCGGAGCAAGUUCAGGGGCGUGAGGCAGCGGUCGUGGGGGAAGUGGGCCGCGGAGAUCCGCGACCCGCACCGCGCCGUGCGCAAGUGGCUCGGCACCUUCGACACCGCCGUGGAUGCCGCCCGCGCAUACGAUCUCGCGGCGCUCGAGUUCCGUGGCCACGGCGCCAGACUCAACUUCCCGGCCGCGGCCGCGUCGUCGUCGUCGUCGGCUUCUGUUUCUGAUUCGUCUUGGGCGGCUGCGCAGUCGUAGAACUUGCCGGGCAGUUCUCGCGAGAACUGGGGGUCAAAAUGUGUCGUCGCGAGAACUUGCCGGUGUAGGUAGGACAACUGGAGGCGAGGGAGCAGAAGAUCAUGACGCUGGAUAAUGACAACUUUGUGAUCCAUGUUUGGAUGAUUAAUUCAUUCGCAUAUUUGAAAGGAUGCUGUUUAAUCCGAAUCAAUAUUCGUCGGUAAGCAUGGCGACCUGUAGUCGGCGUAGCCGCUGCCAAAGCCAGAGCACGUGCUUCAGAAUUUGCCUAUCUCCCCGUGACGCCACUCCCUCUUCUUCAGCUUAUUAAUUUUCGCGGGUAAUGUUCUUUUGCGACAAUUUUCCUCAGUAUAACAUAUAUGAGCGGACUCGUUUGGUCAUUCAACAAGUCAGAUGAUAUCGGAACAUUGGUGAUACACAAUUCUAAACUCGGCUCUAGAAUCUUUUUCCUUGGCAUCUCUCGUUCCAAUGUUCAGACACGGCUGCGAAACAUUUCGAAGCACAGCAAACCACAACUCAGAGCGGUUGGCAUACUAUUUAUUUUCAAACCACACAAAAACUUUUCAGGGCAGAUGAUGUAAAAUAAUGACCAUGCUAAAAAACCCUAUUGCUAGGGGCAUUUGGACGAAAAAUACUGCUCAAGCAAAUGAUGUAUCUCUAUUUCAUUCCUAAAGAAAUUGCAACAGACCAAAAUUUUAGUUUUAUCAAAUUUUGAAUAAGAUCCAUUUUGAAUAGUUUUAACGAAUUUUAAAUAAUUUUUUAGUUUCAACACUUCAAACUUAGUACGGCCAGCCGAUAAAAUCAUGAUUUUUGUGCCUACAACCGAUAAAGAUAUUUCUUAAAAUUUUAUCUAUGAAACUUGGUAAGAGCCGAGCGAGAAAAUCACGAGUUUUAGAUGAAAAGUCAUAAGUUUCAAUGAUUGAAACUUAAAACAUACCAUGCUUUCAAGCAGGAUCCAACUACUUCGCAAAUCACGAGGCAAUUGAGUGGCCAGACCAGAAUUGACGGGUGCGUGCUCCCACACCUGCACGCCCCUACCAAUUUCCGCAACUCAAACUUGUCUUCUUAGGUCGACGCCCAACUGCCGCAUAUGCGAGAUGGAUCAAGAGACGUGCUUUUCGCGUCCCCGCUUUCAUGGUCACCGGCGAACCGCGAGACGUUCGAAAAGAGGUUUUCUGGAUCGGAACGGCUGUUGCUUUCAGGCCGGCUCGUGUUCGACCAUUUCUUGAUCUUUUACGACCAAGUAGUGGUAUUCGUCUAAAUCUGAGCAGGCAUUUGGCAAAUCAUACUAUAGGCAUGUGUGAAAGCUUUGCCUUUAGAUGCAUAUACAAAUGAACAAGCAGUUUCGCUUUCACACCCCAUGCCGCUGGGAGCUCCCUGUCAGCGUUCGGUUCGACAGACAGCGCGAGGUUCCAGGGUUCACUCCACUUGCAGCUACGCCGCUCUCUUUUGUUCUUUUAGCACCGUCACGUAUUAGCUUGUUUCUGAAAUAAAAUGCAAGACGUGUUUCUGUAUCAUGAAUGAUUGAGUGUUAUACUCAUGUGUGAAUUUUCAUGAGCGAAUAACAUCUGUGGUAUUUUAGGCAAGAAGAUAAAAUCGAUGCUAUAAAAAAGACCAUUGUUUCACGUAAUUUGGAGGUCCGAAAUUGUUUUCUUCGCUAAGAUAAUAUAGUGGUCAUUUCUUGAUGAAACUUCACAUGUGAGUAGAACAGUCGACUAGAGUUUGGUAACCUAAAAUUUUAGAAUUGUUGGAUUUUUUGGAUAUCUUUUUUUAUUUUUUUAUUUACUAAUUAUAUUGGGUGCUUGUGGAAGUUGAUCAUUGUAUUUUGGUCAAAACCCCCACCUAUUGUCAAACGGUCUUUCGCUAAAUAAGGAAAUUCUGACAGCAUAAUGUGUGUGAACAGUUGUAAACAGCCGUCAGCGGUGUGGAUAUGCUUAACCAUCCAUCGAGGCAUAUGCACACUCCCUCUCCUGUUUCCACACCUCCGUUCUCACGACAAGAACGUGUCCAGCAACUCGUCCUUUAAAAAUUGCGCGCGGCGAUUCACUUUCUAUAAAAGACACGGCAUCAGACUACCUUAAACACAUCACUGAGAAUAGCUCAACCAGACAGCACACGAAAGCAAAAGGGAAGUGUUUAGGAACGGCGCACCGGCCGAACCGUUCCGCCGGUCCCACGCAGGCCACUCGAUCGAAGCGACGCGCAGCGCAUCGUACGCUCGCGCUCCUCCCGAUCCCCUUCUUCCUCCUCCCGAUCCCCUUCUUCCUCNNNNNNNNNNNNNNNNNNNNNNNNNNNNNNNNNNNNNNNNNNNNNNNNNNNNNNNNNNNNNNNNNNNNNNNNNNNNNNNNNNNNNNNNNNNNNNNNNNNNNNNNNNNNNNNNNNNNNNNNNNNNNNNNNNNNNNNNNNNNNNNNNNNNNNNNNNNNNNNNNNNNNNNNNNNNNNNNNNNNNNNNNNNNNNNNNNNNNNNNNNNNNNNNNNNNNNNNNNNNNNNNNNNNNNNNNNNNNNNNNNNNNNNNNNNNNNNNNNNNNNNNNNNNNNNNNNNNNNNNNNNNNNNNNNNNNNNNNNNNNNNNNNNNNNNNNNNNNNNNNNNNNNNNNNNNNNNNNNNNNNNNNNNNNNNNNNNNNNNNNNNNNNNNNNNNNNNNNNNNNNNNNNNNNNNNNNNNNCGCCACGCGCUCCCGUCCCCGCUCGGAGCUCGCGGCGACAAUCCCAUCUCGCCGGCGACCGAGGGAGCUCGCAGCGCCCAGAUCUUCCCGCGUAUACAAGUGUUGCAACCGUCACCUAGAAAAGCUUCAACACCCGUUGAAAAAAGCUUCAACCAUAGACAUAGAAAGCUUCAACGGCACGCACAAAAAGGGAAAGCUGCAACCGUUGUUGGAUUUUGCUACUACCAGCAAAGCUUUUUGCUACAUCCAUCAGGCAGAGCUGCGACCUCGCGAGGACGACAAUGAUUUUUUUGCUGCAACCGUAGCACGAUUAUGCUACUACCGUUGGAAGUUUUUGCUACAUCCAUGUAAGGCGGAGCUGCGACCUCGCGAAGGUGGCGACGUCGUUUUUGCUGCACCCGUAGUUUGAUUUUGCUACUACCGGUGAAUUUUUUUGCUACAUCCAUUCAAAUGGUGUUGAUUGACUCACGGCCGCCGUCGACGUAUUUUUCCUGCAGCGAGCAUCAAUGGUGAGGGCGGCGGAGCUACAACCUUCAUCGUCAAGAGCUGCAAUCGUAGGUGGAGCUGGUGCAUUGGUCGAGGCGAGAACGAGGCCGGGAGGGUGGGGGACCGUUGACGAGGACGGCCGGCGAGGGCGGGGUCCGGUGGGCGACGAGGAUGACCGGCGAGGGUGGGGACUGACGAUGGGGACGACCACCGGAGGGGACAGGAGGCGCGGCGUCGUGCUCCCCGAGCGGGAGAUGCGGAUCCAGGCCGCCUGCGCGAGGAAGAAGAAGCUGGGGCCGAUCUAUUUUUUUUUUGCCUGGAUCCAACGGCCGCCUGGCUCACAUCCAACGGCUGGGGCUGGACCGGCCGAACGAUUCGGCCGGCGCACCGGCGCCUAUCGGUGUCCAAAGCAAAAACUUUCUGGCGACACCGACCUGACCACGUACGUACGGUACGUCACAGCUGAGCUGCACAAGUGCACGUCAUGGUGCCGAGGCUGGAGCACGGCGGCGGCGGGUUCCAGCUCCCGAACUCUGACCAGGAGAACUCCCUCUUCCACCGCGCACUCAUCUCCGACAUGUCUGCAAUCACGGACACCGUCGUCCCCAUGCUGCACCUCGAGCCUUAAACCGCCCUUUGCUGCCACACUGGCCGCGGGGAUGCGUGCUGCAGCUGCUGGGUGCGCCCGGUGCGGCGUUGGCGUGGACGGCUGCCUCGGCUGCGACUUCGCCGCCGAGGCGGUGGCUGGCUCAGCAGCGAGGGGGAAGGGUACUCCGCCGCGAGCUUCGUAAAGGAUGGCGGCAUGGGGAAGAUCACGCGAAGGAGGAGAGGGAGCAAGUUCAGGGGCGUGCGUCGGCGGCCGUGGGGUAUAUGGGUGGCGGAGCUCUGCGACCCACACCACGUCGUGCGCAAGUGGCUUAGGACCUUUGGCACCGCCGCCGAGGCUGCGCGCACCUACGACGUCGCGGCUCUCGAGUUCCGCGGCCUACGCGCCAGGCUCAACUUCCCGACCAUGGACGCACCAUCAUGGGCAUCGGCGUCGACAUCUGGCUCAUCCACUGUGCAGCCGCAUUAGCAGCACUUGCCCGAGAGCCUUCACGAGAACUGCAGGUCAAACGCGUCAUCGUCAGCGUACAUGCCGUAGCUACGGGAGCCUGGAAGGCCGGCGGCGAGGGAGGAGGAGAUCUGGGAUGGGUUACAGAGAUUAUGAUGAUGGAUGGUACCUACUUCUUGGUUACGAACCUCCAUGAAUAAUGCAUUCAGUGUUGCUAAAUGUCAGGAUACUGGAGAGAUCUUGCAAAUUAUUAUUUUCAGAUUUUUUUCUUUCUUACAUAUUAUCACUUGACUGAGACUUGAUUAAGUUUUAGUCGACGCAUUGCCCUAAUGCAUUAUAAUUGAUCAAUUCCAACAUUGAAUUGUAUAUAGAUACCUUGAAUCAUGACACUUAGGAGCAUCUACGUCCCGAUACAUCAAAUCCAGCCCUCAAACGCCCGCGGACAGGCACUCCGCAGUUUGUGACCGGUCACAUCUCAAAUUAUCAUUUCCAUAACUGGAUACAUAAAUUACAAAUACCCAAAUCCAUACAAUUACAUGCAACAUGAAUCCUAGUCUUGGGCGGAGUUCAUCCUGCUCCGCCCUGUCUAUGUCAGGCAGCCGACUGCGCCCCUUGGAGUGUAGGUGCGGUGGCCAGCGAAAUAGAGGAGGACAUAGGACACGCACCGGCUCACGACAUUCGAGGCGCCGCCGUAUCCCAUGCCCCACUCUUCCCCAUCGGAGCCCAUAGUCUGCACAUCACUGGUCGAUGUGAGUGUUGGGGAUCGUUGCAGAAAUUAAAAAAUUUCUACGCAUCACCAAGAUCAAUCUAUGGAGUAACUAGCAACGAGAGAGAGGGGAGUGCAUCUUCAUACCCUUGAAGAUCAUGAGUCGGAAGCGUUGCAAGAACGCGGUUGGAGGUGUCAUACACGUAGCGAUUCAGAUCGCGGCCGAAUCCGAUCUAUGCACCGAACAACGGUGCCUCCGCGCUCAACACACGUGCAGCCCGGUGACGUCUCCCGCGCCUUGAUCCAGCAAGGAGGAGGGAGAGGUUGAGGAAGAGGGCUCUAACAGCAGCACGACGGCGUGGUGAUGAUGGAGUGACAGUUCUCCGGCAGGGCUUCGCCAAGCUCUUGCGGAGGAGGAGAGGGGUUGGAGAGGUGAGGGGCUACGCCUUGAAUGUGGUGCUGCACCCCUCCCUCCACCCCUCUAUUUAUAGGGAGAAGGGGAAAGGGGGCCGGCCCCUCUAGAUGGGAUCUAGAGGGGUGGGCCAAGGGGGGUGCCCCCUUUAGGGUCCCCCCAACCCUAGGCGCAUGGGCCCUGGGGGGGUUGGCGCCCAGCCCACUUGGGGCUGGUUCCCUUCCACCUACAGCCCAUAAGGCCCUCCGGGGAAGGUGGACACUCGGAACCCAUCCGGUGGUCCCAGUACAAUACCGGUACACCCCCGAACAUUUCCGGCGACCGUAUGAUGACUUCCCAUAUAUAAAUCUUCACCUCCGGACCAUUCCGGAACUCCUCGUGAUGUCCGGGAUCUCAUCCGGGACUCCGAACAAAAUUCGGUAAUCACAUACAAAUCUUCCUUAUAACCCUAGCAUCAUCGAACCUUAAGUGUGUAGACCCUACGGGUUCAGGAAUCAUGCAGACAUGACCGAGACAGCUCUCCAUCCAAUAACCAACAUCGGGAUCUGGAUACCCAUGUUGACUCCCACAUGUUCCAUGAUGAUCUCAUCAGAUGAACCACGAUGUCGAGGAUUCAAGUAAUCUCGUAUACAAUUCCCUUUGUCAAUCAGUACGUUACUUGCCCGACAUUCGAUCGUCGGUAUCCCAAUAUCUCGUUCAAUCUCGUUACCGGCAAGUCACUUUACUCGUUCCAUAAUGCAUGAUCCCGUGACCAACUACUUAGUCACAUUGAGCUCUUUAAGAUGGUGCAUUACCGAGUGGGCCCAGAGAUACCUCUCCGUCAUACGGAGUGACAAAUCCCGGUCUCGAUUCGUGCCAGCCCAACAUACACUUUCGGAGAUACCUGUAGUGCACAUUUAUAGCCACCCAGUUACAUUGUGACGUUUGGUACACCCAAAGCAUUCCUACGGUAUCCGGGAGUUGCACGAUCUCAUGGUCUAAGGAAAUGAUACUUGACAUUAGAAAAGCUCUAGCAAACGAACUACACGAUGUUGUGCUAUGCUUAGGAUUGGGUCUUGUCCAUCACAUCAUUCUCCCAAUGAUGUGAUCUCGUUAUCAAUGACAUCCAAUGUCCAUAGUCAGGAAACCAUGACCAUCUGUUGAUCAACGAGCUAGUCAACAAGAGGCUUACUAGGGACUUGUUGUGGUCUAUGUAUUCACACAUGUACUACAGUUUCCGGUCAAUACAAUUGUAGCAUGAACAAUAGACAAUUAUCAUGAACAAGGAAAUAUAAUAAUAACCAUUUUAUUAUUGCCUCUAGGGCAUAUUUCCAACAGUCUCCCACUUGCACUAGAGUCAAUAAUCUAGUUACAUUAUGAUGAAUCGAACACCCAUAGAGUUCUGGUGUUGAUCAUGUUUUGCUCGUGGAAGAGGUUUAGUCAACGGAUCUGCGACAUUUAGGUCCGUAUGCACUUUACAAAUAUCUAUGUCUCCAUCUUGAACAUUUUCACGAUUGGAGUUGAAGCGACGCUUGAUGUGUUUGGUCUUCUUGUGAAGCCUGGGCUCCUUGGCAAGGGCAAUAGCUCCAGUAUUGUCACAGAAGAGAGUCAUCGGGCCUGGCGCAUUGGGAAUAACUCCUAGGUCGAUAAUGAACUCCUUCAUCCAGAUUGCUUCAUGCGCUGCCUCCGAGGCUGCCAUGUACUCCGCUUCACAUGUAGAUCCCGCCACGACGCUUUGCUUGCAACUGCACCAGCUUACUGCCCCACCAUUCAAAAUAUACACGUAUCCGGUUUGUGAAUUAGAGUCAUCCAGAUCUGUGUCGAAGCUAGCGUCGACGUAACCCUUUACGACGAGCUCUUCAUUACCUCCAUAAACGAGAAACAUAUCCUUAGUCCUUUUCAGGUACUUCAGGAUAUUCUUGACCGCUGUCCAGUGUUCCAUGCCGGGAUAAUUUGGUACCUUCCUACCAAACUUACGGCAAGGUUUACAUCAGGUCUGGUACACAGCAUGGCAUACAUAAUAGACCCUAUAGUCGAGGCAUAGGGGAUGACACUCAUGUUUUGUCUAUCUUCUGCCAUGGUCGGGCAUUGAGCCGAGCUCAAUUUCACACCUUGAAACACAGGCAAGAACCCCUUCUUGGACUGAUCCAUAUUGAACUUUUUCAAUAUCUUAUCAAGGUAUGUGCAUUGUGAAAGACCUAUGAGGCGUCUCGAUCUAUCUCUAUAGAUCUUGAUGCCUAAUAUGUAAGCAGCUUCUCCAAGGUCCUUCAUUGAAAAACACUUAUUCAAGUAGGCCUUAAUAUUGUCCAAAAGUUCUAUAUCAUUUCCCAUCAAAAGUAUGUCAUCUACAUAUAAUAUGAGAAAUGCUACAGAGCUCCCACUCACUUUCUUGUAAACGCAGGCUUCUCCAUAAGUCUGCAUAAACCCAAACGCUUUGAUCAUCUCAUCAAAGCGAAUGUUCCAACUCCGAGAUGCUUGCACCAGCCCAUAAAUGGAUCGCUGGAGCUUGCAUACCUUGUUAGCAUUCUUAGGAUCGACAAAACCUUCUGGCUGCAUCAUAUACAGUUCUUCCUUAAGAUAGCCGUUAAGGAAUUCCGUUUUGACGUCCAUUUGCCAUAUCUCAUAAUCAUAGUAUGCGGCAAUUGCUAACAUGAUUCAGACGGACUUCAGCUUCGCUACGGGAGAGAAAGUCUCAUCGUAGUAAACCCCUUGAAGUUGCCGAUAACCCUUAGCGACAAGUCAAGCUUUGUAGAUGGUAACAUUACCAUCCACGUCCGGCUUCUUCUUAAAGAUCCAUUUGUUUUCUAUUGCUCGCCGAUCAUCGGGCAAGUCUGUCAAAGUCCACACUUUGUUUUCAUACAUGGAUCCUAUCUCGGAUUGCAUGGCUUCAAGCCAUUUGUUGGAAUCUGGGCCCGCCAUCGCUUCUUCAUAGUUCGAAGGUUCACCGUUGUCUAACAACAUGAUUUCCAGGACAGGGUUGCCAUACCACUCUGGUGUGGAACGUGUCCUUGUGGACCUACGAAGUUCAGUAGUAACUUGGUCCGAAGUACCUUGAUCAUCAUCAUUAAUUUCCUCUCUAGUCGGUGCAGGCACCACAAAAACAUCUUCCUGAGUUGCGCUACUUACCAGUUCAAAAGGUAGUACUUCAUCAAGUUCCACUUUCCUCCCACUUACUUCUUUCGAGAGAAACUCUUUCUCCAGAAAGGACCCGUUCUUGGCAACAAAGAUCUUGCCUUCGGAUCUGAGGUACAAGGUAUACCCAAUGGUUUCCUUAGGUAUCCUAUGAAGACGCAUUUUUCUGACUUGGGUUCGAGCUUUUCAGGUUGAAGUUUCUUGACAUAAGCAUCGCAUCCCCAAACUUUUAGAAACGACAACUUAGGUUUCUUCCCAAACCAUAAUUCAUACGGUGUCGUCUCAACGGAUUUCGGCGGAGCCCUAUUUAAAGUGAAUGUAGUUGUCUCUAAAGCAUAACCCCAAAAUGAUAGCGGUAGAUCGGUAAGAGACAUCAUAGAUCGCACCAUAUCCAAUAGAGUGCGAUUACGAUGUUCGGACACACCAUUACGCUGAGGUGUUCCAGGCGGCAUGAGUUGUGAAAUGAUUCCACAUUUCCUUAAGUGUGUGACUCAAAUAUUCCCCUCCAUGAUCUGAUCGUAACAACUUUAUUUUCCUAUCACGUUGAUUUUCAACCUCACUCUGAAAUUCCUUCAACUUUUCAAAGGUCUCAUACUUGUGUUUCAUCGAGUAAACAUACCCAUAUCUACUUAAGUCAUCAGCGAGGGUGAGAACAUAACGAUAGCCACCGCGAGCCUCAAUGCUCAUUGGACCGCACACAUCAGUAUGUGUGAUUUCCAAUAAGUUGGUUGCUCGCUCCAUUGUUCCAGAGAACGGAGUCUUGGUCAUUUUGCCGAUGAGGCAUGGUUCGCACGUGUCAAAUGAUUCAUAAUCAAGAGACUCCAAAAGUCCAAAAGUAUGUGGGACUAUCGUUAUCAAACUUACAUCUUUUGGUAUUCACACUAUGAAUAUGUGUAACAUCAUGUUCGAGAUUCAUUAAGAAUAAACCAUUGACCAGCGGGGCAUGACCAUAAAACAUAUCUCUCAUAUAAAUAGAACAACCAUUAUUCUCGGAUUUAAAUGAGUAGCCAUCUCGUAUUAAACGAGAUCCAGAUACAAUGUUCAUGCUCAAAGCUGGCACUAAAUAACAAUUAUUGAGGUUUAAAACUAAUCCCGUAGGUAAAUGUAGAGGUUGUGUGCCGACGGCGAUCACAUCGACCUUGGAACCAUUCCCGACGCGCAUCGUCACCUCGUCCUUCGCCAGUCUCCGCUUAUUCCGCAUCUCCUGUUUUCAGUUACAAAUAUGAGCAACGGCACCGGUAUCAAAUACCGAGGAGCUACUACGAGUACUGGUAAGGUACACAUCAAUAACAUGUAUAUCACAUAUACCUUUGGUGUUUCCGACUUUCUUGUCUGCUAAGUACUUGGGGCAGUUCCGCUUCCAGUGACCAUUUCCCUUGCAAGAAAAACACUCAGUCUCAGGCUUGGGUCCAUUCUUUGGCUUCUUCCCAGCAGCUUGCUUACCGGGCAUGGCAACUCCCUUGUCGUCUUUCUUGAAGCCCUUUUUACCCUUGCAUUUCUUGAACUUAGUGGUUUUAUUCACCAUCAACACUUGAUGGUCCUUCUUGAUUUCCACCUCCGCCGAUUUCAGCAUUGAAUAUACCUCAGGAAUGGUUUUUUCCACCCCCUGCAUAUUGAAGUUCAUCACAAAGCUCUUGUAGCUCGGUGGAAGCGACUGAAGGAUUCUGUCAACGACCGCGUCAUCCGGGAGAUUAACUCCCAGCUGAGACAAGAGGUUGUGCAAUCCAGACAUUUUGAGUAUGUGCUCGCUGACGGAACUAUUCUCUUCCAUCUUACAACUAUAGAACUUGUCAGAGACUUCAUAUCUCUCGACCCGGGCAUGAGCUUGGAAAACCAUUUUCAGCUCUUGGAACAUCUCAUAUGCUCCGUGCUGCUCGAAACAGUUUUGGAGCCCCGGUUCUAAGCUGUAAAGCAUGCCGCACUGAACCAGGGAGUAAUCAUCAACACGCGACUGCCAAGCGUUCAUAACGUCUUGGUUUGCUGGGACAGGUGAUAAACCGCAAGUAUACGAUAUAGUUGUAGCCUCUUUUGAUAAGUAAAAGUGUCAAACCCAACGAGGAGCUAAAGGUAGAACAAAUACUCUCUCAAGUCCUAUCGGCCACUGAUACGACUCUACGCACGCUUGACGUUCGCUUUACCUAGAACAAGUAUGAAACUAGAAGUACUUUGUAGGUGUGAUAGGAUAGGUUUGCGAGAUAAUAAAGAACACGUAAAUAAAAAGUAGGGGCUGUUUAGAUAAAGAUGUAAGUAAAUAUAGCGAGUGUGGAAAAGUGGUGGUAGGAGUUGUGGAAUUGUCCCUAAGCAAUUGACUACUUUACUAGACCGAUAGCAAGUUUUAUGUGGGAGAGGCCACUGCUAGCAUGUCAUCCCUGACUUGGAAUUCUAUGCACUUAUGAUUGGAACUAUUAGCAAGAAGUCUGCAACUACUAAUGUUCAUUAAGGUAAAACCCAACCAUAGCAUUAAGAUAUAUUGGUCCCCCUUCAAUCCCGUAUGCAUCAAUUUAUAUGCUAGGUUGAAGCUUCUGUCACUCUAGCCCUCUAAUACAUAGUCCUAUCAACAUACAACUAACCCUAUGGUGUGAUCCACGCACGCGCUCAUAUGAUGGGCACCAUAGGACAGCAACAUAACCACAAGCAAAUUAAAUCAAUCAUAGCAAUUCAGCAACCACCAAUAGGACAAUGAAAAUCUACUCAGACAUCAUAGGAUGGCAACACAUCAUUGGAAAAUAAUAUGAAGCAUAAAGCACCAUGUUCAAGUAGAGGGUACAGCGGGUUGUGGGAGAGUGGACCGCUGAAUAUAGAAGGGGGAAGGUGAUGGAGAUGUUGUGAAGAUGACGGUGGUGUUGGUGAAGAUCGCGGUGAUGAUGAUGGCCCCCGGCAGCGCUCCGGCGCCACCGAAAGCAAGGGGGAGAGAGGCCCCCUUCUUCUUCUUCUUCCUUGACCUCCGCCCUAGAUGGGAGAAGGGUUUCCCCUCUGGUCCUUGGCUCCCAUGGCUUGGGAGGGGCGAGAGACCCUCCGAGAUUGGAUCUAUCUCUCUGUUUCUUCGUUCUGUAAUUCUGCCCUGGCACCGUUUCCUUUAUCAGGAGAUCCGUAACUCCAAUUGGAUUGAAACCUUCGCCCAGAUCGUUUUCCAAAAAUUAGCUUUCUUGCGGCCAAAGAAGGGCAUCAACCGCCUUACGGGUGACCCACGAGGGUGGGGAGCGCGCCCACUUUAAGUGGGCAUGGGCCCUUAUCUCUUGGCCACCUCGGGCAUCGUCUCGCGUUGAUUCUUGCUCCCCAAAAUCACAAAUAUUCCAAAAUAAUUCUCUGUCCGUUUUUGUCCCGUUUGGACUCUGUUUGAUAUGGGGUUUCUGCGAAACAUAAAACAUGCAACAGAUAGGAACUAGCACUAGGCACUAGAUCAAUAUGUUAGUCCCAAAAAAUAGUAUAAAAAGUUGCCAAAAGUAUAUGAAAGUUGAAUAAUAUUGGCAUGGAACAAUCAAAAAUUAUAGAUACGACGAACACGUAUCAACAUCCCCAAGCUUAAUUCCUGCUCGUCCUCGAGUAGGUAAAUGAUAAAAAAAUAUAAUUUUUUGAUGUGGAAUGCUACCUAGCAUAAUCUUGAUCAUAUGUCUAAUCAUGGCAUGAAUAUUAAGACAUGAAUGAUUCAAGGCAAUAGUCUAUCAUUUGACAUAAAAACAAUAAUACUUCAAGCAUACUAACCAAGCAAUUAUGUCUUAUCGAAAUAACAUAGCCAAAGAAAGCUCAUCCCUACAAAAUCAUAUAGUCUGGCUAUGCUCCAUCUUCAUCACACAAAGCAUUCAAAUCAUGCACAACCCCGAUAACGAUCCGAGCAAUUGGUUCAUACUUUUUAACGCACUUCAACUUUUUCAACUCUUACGCAAUACAUGAGCGCAAGCCAUGGACAUAGCACUAUGGUGGUAUAGAGUAUGAUGGUGGAGGUUUAUGUGGAGAAGACAAAAAGGGAGAAAGUCUCACAUCGACGCGGCUAAUCAACGGGCUAUGGAGAUGCCCAUCAAUUGAUGUCAAUGCGAGGAGUAGGGAUUGCCAUGCAACGGAUGCACUACGAGCUAUAAGUGUAUGAAAGCUCAAACUGGAAACUAAGUGGGUUGCAUCCAACUUGCUUGCUCAUGAAGACCUCGGGCGUUUGAGGAAGCCCAUCAUCGGAAUAUACAAGCCAAGUUCUAUAAUGAAAAUUCCCACUAGUAUAUGAAAGUGAAAGCAUAGGCGACUCUCUCUAUGAAGAACAUGGUGCUACUCUGAAGCACAAGUGUGGUAAAAGGAUAGUAACAUUGCCCCUUCUCUCUUUUUCUCUUUUUUUUUCUUUUUUUUCAUUUUUUCUUUCUUUUUGGUGGGCUUCUUUGGCCUCUUUUUUAUUUGGGCUUCUUUGGCCUCUUUUAUUUUUCAUAAAGUCCGGAGUCUCAUCCCGACUUGUGGGGGAAUCGUAGUCUCCGUCAUCCUUUCCUCACUGGGGCAAUGCUCUAAUAAUGAUGAUCAUCACACUUUUAUUUACUUACAACUCAAUAUUACAACUCGAUAUCUCGAGCAAAGAUAUGACUCUAUAUGAAUGCUUCCGGCAGUGUACCGGGAUGUGCAAUGAUCUAGCGUAGCAAUGACAUCAAAAUGGGCAAGCCAUGAAAACAUCAUGCUAGCUAUCUUAUAUCAUGCAAAGCAAUAUGACAAUAAAUGCUCAAGUCAUGUAUAUGAUGAUGAUGGAAGUUGCAUGGCAAUAUAUCUCGGAAUGUCUAUGGAAAUGCCAUAAUAGGUAGGUAUGGUGGCUGUUUUGAGGAAGAUAUAACGAGGCAUAUGUGUGAUAGAGCGUAUCAUUUCACGGGGUUUGGAUGCACCGACGAAGUUUGCACCGACUCUCGAGGUGAGAAAGGGCAAUGCACAGUACUGAAGAGGCUAGCAAUGAUGGAAAGGUAAAAGUGUGUAUAAUCCAUGGACUCACAUUAGUCAUAAAGAACUCAUAUACUUAUUGCAAAAGCCUACUUAGCCCUCGAAGCAAAGUACUACUAGGCAUGCCCCUAGAGGGAUAGAUUGGUAGGAAAAGACCAUUGCUCGUCCCCGACUGCCACUCAUAAGGAAAGCAAUCAAAGAGCACCUCAUGCUCCAACUUCGUUACAUAACGGUUCACCAUACGUGCAUGCUACGGGACUUGCAAACCUCAACACAAGUAUUUCUCAAUUUCACAAUUACUCAACUAGCACGACUCUAAUAUCACCACCUUUAUAUCGCAAAACUAUUGCAAGGAAUCAAACAUAUCAUAUUCAGUGAUCUACAAGUUUAUGUAGGAUUUUAUGACUAACCAUGUGAAUGACCAAUUCCUGUCAUCUCUUUAAAUAGAUAUAAGUGAAUCAAGAGAGUUUAAUUCUUUCUACAAAAGAUAUGCCCACGGUCUAACAAAUAUAAGUGAAGCAAAAGAGCAUUCUACAAAUCGCGGUUGUCUAUAUGAAGAGAAAUUGGCAAUCCAAACUUCAAAUGAUAUAAGUGAAGCACAUGAAGCAUUCUAUAAAGCCAUACUCAAAAGAUUAAGUGAAGUGAAAUGAGCAUUCUAUAAAUCAACCAAGUACUAUCUCAUACCAGCAUGGCACAUAGAAGAAAAAUGAAAACUAAAUGUAAAAGAUGCUCCAAGAUUUGCACAUAAUGCAUAAACGAAACGAAUACGAAAACAUACAGAUACUUGUUGAAGAAAGAGGGGAUGCCUUCCGGGGCAUCCCCAAGCUUAGACGCUUGAGUCUCCUUGAAUAUUUACUUGGGAUGCCUCGGGCAUCCCCAAUCUUGAGCUCUUUCCUCUCUUCCUUUUCCUCAUAUCGAGACAUCCUCGAUUAGACACUUCAUCCACACAAAACUUCAACAAAAAACUCGGUAAGAUCCGUUAGUAUAAUAAAGUAAAUCACUACUCUAAGUACUGUAGCAAACUAAUUCAUAUUUUUUUGCAAUGUAGUUACUGUAAUAUAACUUUUUCAUGGCUUAAUCCACUGAUAGAAAUUGAUAGUUUCAUCAAAACAAGCAAACUAUGCAUCAAAAACAGAAACUGUCAAAAACAGAACAGUCUGUAGCAAUAUGAACAUUCACCAUAAUUCUAGUACCCCAAACAUUCUACCAAAAUUAGGAAAAAUAAAAAAAAUUACAUCAAGACAGUGCAAAAGGAAUCAGAACCGUUUAACGUUCCAGUUAAAAAUGUAAAAUUGCGCAUUACAGCCAAAGUUUCUGUCCUCCACCGUACUAACCAACAAGCAUUGUAAACAUCCUAAAGGAAAACCUUGGCACAUUAUUUUUAUAAUACAAUGGAAUUGUACAAGGGGAUAAUUAUUUUUGAUGAAAAGUUUCUGUAAUUAAGAUUCACAAAGUUUCCGUGAGCAUGAACAAAGUUCAAGGCUAGCUUCCACUUCAACAAUGCUUGUCUCUCUCACUUUCACUUUCCUUUUUGAAAAGUUUUUCGGUUCCCUCUUUAUUUUUUUGUUUUAAAACUAUAUAAAAGCACUCAACAGAAAUAAAUGACUAUCUAAAACUUCCGGGUUGUCUCCCUGGCAGCACUUUCUUUAAAGCCAUUAAGCUAGGCAUAUAGUGCUCAAGUAAUGAAUCCACCCGGAUCCCAAGGUAUAUCAAAGCCAAUUUAUUUAACAAUGAUUUGUAAUUUAGUAGUGAGCACAAAGUAACAUAUAUCAAGCAAUGACGAAGUCUAACUCUCUUCCUAUGCAUCGGCAUGUCAUAAAAGAACAAUUCAUGCACACAUAGUAAAGGCCAACGCAUAGUAUAGACAGUUUCUUGCAAUUCUAUCGUGUGGGAAACAUAGAGAGGUGGAGAUGUAGUUCCUCUCUCAUAAUAAUUGCAAGUAGGAGCAGCAAGCAUAUGCAUAUUAUAUUCAUUAAAAUUAUCAUGUGCAACGGUAAAAGGAAACCCAUUAAUAUAAUCCUUAAUAAGAACAAACUUCUCCGAUAUAGUGUAGUUGGGAGAAUUCAAUAAGAUAAUAGGACUAUCAUGCGUUGGUGCAAUAGCAACAAUUUCAUGUUUAACAUAAGGAACUAUAACAAGUUCAUCUCCAUAAGCAUAAUUCAUAUUGGCAUCUUGGCCAAGAGCAUAGCAAGCAUCAUCAAAAAGGGAUAUUUCAAGAGAAUCCAAGGGAUCAUAACAAUCAUCCUUCGGUAAGCACGAAGGGGAAUUAAACAAUGUAUGAGUUGAAGAGUUACUCUCAUUAGAUAGUGGGCACGGGUGAUCAAUCCGCUCUUCCUCCUUUUGUUCUUCGCUCUCCUAAUCAUCUUUUUCAUCCAAUGAGCUCACAGUUUCAUCAAUUUCUUCUUCCAUAGCUUCCUGCGAAAUAUUAGUCUCUUCUUGGACGGCGGAGAAUUUCUCAAUAUAUAGUUUAACAUAGGCAUUAGAAGCAUAAUUAUCAUAACAAUAUUCAAGUAUGGCAAAAUUUUCAGAUUUGUAAAGAGUAGCAUCAUACUUUUCAAUCAAAGAAGCAAUUUCAUAAGCACCCUUGAAAGCAACAAAUUUUUCAAUUUGUUGAACAUCAUAGUAAUUAUAAACACCCUUAGCAUACGAAGAUAUGAUUUCAUUAUCAAUAAACUCACAUUGGUAGGGAAGGUGUUUCUUAGGGUUUUCAGAACAACAAGUAACAUCAUAUAUUUCACAUAAAUUCCGAGCAUAGCAUUGCAAACGUUGAAUUUGAUCCCAUAAUAGUUUCCCUUUUUCAGAUAUACGGUGUAGCACAUAACAAGCAUGCUCAUCUAAAGGUUUUCCCUCAACUAAGCUAGUUGGGGUUUCAACACGAGCAUAAAGGGAUCGAAGAUGUUCCAAGUAAAAAGCUUCAGUAGUGUGAUAGAUUUUGAGUGGUUCUUCAACCAUUGGUGUAGUAGGUACAACUAAUUUUUUUUGGUAUUUUUCGUUUCCUACCCAUAACUAAAGAUAGAAAACAACUAAGAAAAGCAAAUAAAAAUUACUUAGUGAUAAAGCAAAAAAGCACACACGAGAAUAUUCACCCCACGCUAUGACUCCCCGGCAACGGCGGCAUAAAAAGGUCUUGAUAACCCGCAAGUAUAUGGGAUAGUUGUAGCCUCUUUCGAUAAGCAAAAGUGUCGAACCCAACAAGGAGCUAAAGGUAGAACAAAUACUCUCUCAAGUCCUAUCGGCCACUGAUACGACUCUACGCACGCUUGACGUUCGCUUUACCUAGAACAAGUAUGAAACUAGAAGUACUUUGUAGGUGUGAUAGGAUAUGUUUGCGAGAUAAUAAAGAACACGUAAAUAAAAAGUAGGGGCUGUUUAGAUAAAGAUGCAAUAAAGCAAAUAUAGCGAGUGUGUAAAAGUGGUGGUAGGAGUUGUGGAAUUGUCCCUAAGCAAUUGACUACUUUACUAGACCGAUAGCAAGUUUUAUGUGGGAGAGGCCACUGCUAGCAUGUCAUCCCUGACUUGAAAUUCUAUGCACUUAUGAUUGGAACUAUUAGCAAGCAGUCCGCAACUACUAACGUUCAUUAAGGUAAAACCCAACCAUAGCAUUAAGAUAUAUUGGUCCCCCUUCAAUCCCGUAUGCAUCAAUUUCUAUGCUAGGUUGAAGCUUCUGUCACUCUAGCCCUCCAAUACAUGGUCCUAUCAACAUACAACUAACCCAAUGGUGUGAUCCAUGCGCGCUCUCAUAUGAUGGGCGCCAUAGGACAACAACAUAACCACAAGCAAAUUAAAUCAAUAAUAGCAAUUCAUCAACCACUAAUAGGACAACGAAAAUCUACUCAGACAUCAUAGGAUGGCAACACAUCAUUGGAAAGUAAUAUGAAGCAUAAAGCACCAUGUUCAACUAGAGGGUACAGCGGGUUGCGGGAGAGUGGACCUCUGAAUAUAGAAGGGGAAAGGUGAUGGAGAUGUUGGUGAAGAUGACGGCAGUGUUGGUGAAGAUCACGAUGAUGAUGAUGGCCCCCGGCAGCGCUCCGGCGCCACCGGAAGCAGGGGGGAGAGGCCCCCUUCUUCUUCUUCUUCCUUGACUUCCUCCCUAGAUGGGAGAAGGGUUUCCCCUCUGGUCCUUGGCUCCCAUGGCUUGGGAGGGGCGAGAGCCCCUCCAAGAUUGGAUCUAUCUCUCCGUUUCUGCGUUCUAUAAUUCUGCGCUGGCACCGUUUUCUUUAUAUAUGGAGAUCCGUAACUUCGAUUGGAUUGAAACCUUUGCCCAGAUUGUUUUCCAAAAAUUAGCUUUCUUGCGGCCAAAGAAGGGCAUCAACCGCCUUACGGGUGGCCCACGAGGGUGGGGGCGCGCCCACUUUAAGUGGGCAUGGGCCCCUAUCUCGUGGCCACCUCGGGCAUCGUCUCGCAUUGAUUCUUCCUCCCAAAAAUCACAAAUAUUCCAAAAUAAUUCUCCGUCCAUUUUUAUCCCGUCUGGACUCCGUUUGAUAUGGGGUUUCUGCGAAACAUAAAACAUGCAACAGACCGGAACUGACACUGGGCACUGGAUCAAUAUGUUAGUCCCAAAAAAAAUAGUAUAAAAAGUUGCCAAAAGUAUAUGAAAGUUGAAGUUGCUUCACCUAGCGGUGCUUCAAGGACAUAUGCUUUCUUGGCAGCUAUGAGGAUGAUCCUCAAGUUUCGGACCCAGUUUGUAUAGUUGCUACCAUCGUCUUUCAGCUUGGUUUUCUCUAGGAACGCGUAGAAGUUGAGGACAACAUUAGCGUGGGCCAUUUGAUCUAUAAGACAUAUUGUAAAGAUUUCAGACUAAGUUCAUGAUAAUUAAGUUAAUCUAAUCAAAUUAUUUAAUGAACUCCCACUCAGACAGACAUCCCUCUAGUCAUCUAAGUGAUACAUGAUCCGAGUCAACUAGGCCGUGUCCGAUCAUCACGUGAGACAAACUAGUCAUCAUGGGUGAACAUCUUCAUGUUGAUCGUAUCUUCUAUACGACUCAUGUUCGACCUUUCGGUCUCUUGCAUUCCGAGGCCAUGUCUGUACAUGCUAGGCUCGUCAAGUCAAUCUAAGUGUUUUGCUUGUGUAAAUCUGGCUUAUACCCGUUGUAUUCGAACGUUAGAAUCUAUCACACCCGAUCAUCACGUGGUGCUUCGAAACAACGAACCUUCGCAACGGUGCACAGUUAGGGGGAACACUUUCUUGAAAUUUUAUGAGGGAUCAUCUUAUUUAUGCUACCGUUGUUCUAAGCAAAUAAGAUGUAAAACAUGAUAAACAUCACAUGCAAUCAAAUAGUAACAUGAUAUGGCCAAUAUCAUUUUGCUCCUUUUGAUCUCCAUCUUCGGGGCGCCAUGAUCAUCAUCGUCACCGGCAUGACACCAUGAUCUCCAUCAUCAUGAUCUCCAUCAUCGUGUCUUCAUGAAGUUGUCUUGCCAACUAUUACUUCUACUACUAAGGCUAAUGGUUUAGCAAUAAAGUAAAGUAAUUACAUGGCGUUAUUCAAUGACACGCAGGUCAUACAAUAAAUUAAGACAACUCCUAUGGCUCCUACCGGUUGUCAUACUCAUCGACAUGCAAGUCGUGAUUCCUAUUACAAGAACAUGAUCAAUCUCAUACAUCACAUAUAUAUCAUUCAUCACAUCCUUUUGGCCAUAUCACAUCACACGGCACAUGCUGCAAAAACAAGUUAGACGUCCUCUAAUUGUUGUUGCAAGUUUUUACGUGGCUGUUAUAGGUUUCUAGCAAGAACGUUUCUUUCCUAUGCCAAAACCACAACGCGAUAUACCAAUUGAUAUUUACCCUUCAUAAGGACCCUUUUCAUCGAAUCCGAUCCGACUAAAGUGGGAGAGACAGACACCCGCUAGCCACCUUAUGCAACUAGUGCAUGUCAGUCGGUGGAACCUGUUUCACGUAAGCUUACGUGUAAGGUCGGUCCAGGACGCUUCAUCCCACGAUGCUGCCAAAACAAGAUAAGACUAGUAGUGGCAAGUAAAUUGAUAAAAUCGAUGCCCACAACAAACUUGUGUUCUACUCAUGCAUAGAAACUACGCAUAGACCUAGCUCAUGAUGCCACUGUUGGGGAUCGUUGUAGAAAUUAAAAAAAUUCUACGCAUCACCAAGAUCAAUCUAUGGAGUAACUAGCAACGAGAGAGAGGGGAGUUCAUCUUCAUACCCUUGAAGAUCGCGAGUCGGAAGUGUUGCAAGAACGCGGUUGGAGGAGUCGUAUGCGUAGCGAUUCAGAUCGCGGCCGAAUCCGAUCUAAGCACCGAACAACGGUGCCUCCGCGCUCAACACACGUGCAGCCCGGUGACGUCUCCUACACCUUGAUCCAGCAAGGAGGAGGGAGAGGUUGAGGAAGAGGGCUCCAACAACAGCACGACGGCGUGGUGGUGAUGGAAUGGCAGUUCUCCGGCAGGGCUUCGCCAAGCUCUUGCGGAGGAAGAGAGGUGUUGGGGAGGGGAGGGGCUGCGCCUUGGAUGUGGUGCUGCACCCCUCCCUCCACCCCUCUAUUUAUAGGGAGAAGGAGAAGGGGGCCGGCCCCUCUAGAUGGGAUCUAGAGGGGGGACAGCGACCAAGGGGGGCGCCCCCUUUAGGGUUCCCUCCCCAACCCUAGGCGCAUGGGCCCUAGGGGGGGUUGGCGCCCAGCCCACUUGGGGCUGGUUCCCUUCCACCUACAGCCCAUAAGGCCCUCCGGGGCAGGUGGACCCACCCGGUGGACCCCCGGAACCCCUCCGGUGGUCCCGGUACAAUACUGGUACACCCCCAGACAUUUCCAGUGACCGUAUGAUGACUUCCCAUAUAUAAAUCUUCACCUCCGGACCAUUCCGGAACUCCUCGUGACUCUGAACAACAUUCAUUAAUCACAUACAAAUCUUCCUUAUGACCCUAGCAUCAUCGAAACAUAAGUGUGUAGACCCUACGGGUUCGGGAAUCAUGCAGACAUGACUGAGACAGCUCUCCGACCAAUAACCAACAGUAGGAUCUGGAUAACCAUGUUGACUCCCACAUGUUCCAUGAUGAUCUCAUCGGAUGAACCACGAUGUCGAGGAUUCAAGUAAUCCCGUAUACAAUUCCCUUUGUCAAUCGGUACGUUACUUGUCAGAGAUUCGAUCGUCGGUAUCACAAUACCUCAUUCAAUCUCGUUACCGGCAAGUCACUUUACUCGUUCCGUAAUGCAUGAUCCCGUGACCAAAUACUUAUUCACAUUGAGCUCAUUAUGAUGAUGCAUUACCGAGUGGGCCCAGAGAUACCUCUCCGUCAUACGGAGUGACAAAUCCCAGUCUCGAUUCGUGCCAACCCAACAGACACUUUCGGAGAUACCUGUAGUGCACCUUUAUAGCCACCCAGUUACGUUGUGAUGUUUGGUACACCCAAAGCAUUCCUACGGUAUCCGGGAGUUUCAUGAUCUCAUGGUCUAAGGAAAUGAUACUUGACAUUAGAAAAGCUCUAGCAAACGAACUACACGAUCUUGUGCUAUGCUUAGGAUUGGGUCUUGUCCAUCACAUCAUUCUCCCAAUGAUGUGAUCCCAUUAUAGAUGACAUCCAAUGUCCAUAGUCAGGAAACCAUGACCAUCUGUUGAUCAACGAUCUAGUCAACUAGAGGCUUACUAGGGACUUGUUGUGGUCUAUGUAUUCACACAUGUACUAAGGUUUCCGGUCAAUACAAUUAUAGCAUGAACAAUAGACAAUUAUCAUGAACAAGGAAAUAUAAUAAUAACCAUUUUAUUAUUGCCUCUAGGGCAUAUUUCCAACAGUGAGGUUGGUGAUGUAUCCGUCGUAGUUGGAGCCCUCCAUGCCCACCACAACGUGGUUGUGGCGCCAGGGGUUGGCGGCCACCCGUACUGAUACCGAAGAGUGCGACUCUGCCUCGCUGACAUCUGCCGCGGCCUUCUCCUCCCUAUUCCUUGCACGACGGACACACCACGCCAUUGCCUCAGCAGAUGGGUGACGGGGGACCUCUGAGUCGAAGCGCCAACGAAGGGGCAUCACAUCCGCUACGACUUUGGGAUGCUAGACGACCGCACCGCAUCCAUUGAGGCAGCGGCGACACGCCUCACGGAUCGAAGUGCCAUUUGAGGGGACACUACAGAUUCCCACUAGAUCGAGUCCAACAGUUGUUGAGCAUUCUCCUUGCAGCCGUGGUGGCGCACAAUGCGAAAGACCAUCUUCUCUUUGGGCGUGACUAGGAUGAGGUCCCAGUCCCUAGAUCGGGUGACGGUGGACUCAGAUGCGCUGCCCGUGAUGCCAGAGAUCACUCGAUGGGUGUUUAGAGGCAGAGCGGAAUGGAGUGGCCAGGGUUUUGUCCGCGGAGCGAAUAUAUGUGGGUUUGUGCUGGGCCAGCAUGGGCUGGAUCCGACAUGGUUGACGCGCUCAGCACGCUCGGGCAUCCCGAUAUUCGCCUAUGAUUUGGAAUAGAUAUGAGCGGCGUCAGUCAGCCCGGGCAUUUAGGACCGGUAUGAGAUGUCCAUUCGAGUCAUUUUUUUACCGGUCAGUGACCGGGCCGCCCGCCCAGGCGUAUAAGUGUGUUUGAGGUGCCCGACUAUAGAUUCUCUAAUGCUACAAAUUAUCCAAUGUGUGACUACAAUAUCCUAACCUAACAACCUAUCAAGACCUCGCAUGCAAAUUUUAAUUCUCUGUACACAUAUAGGAUUUCGCAAAAACUAUUUGGCAAACAUUAGGAUUUUAGUCUUAGCACCGAACGACUAGCACACCCUCUAAUCUUGAUCCUAUGGUGGGGACUGAACGCGCGGUUGAGAAGCGGGGUCGAAGCAUAGGGCAAAAUAAUUAUUCUUUUCCCGACUUGCGGAGUCCAACCACUUUGCUCAUGAUAGACCGGGACCACAUAAAAUUGGUCAACUCCUUAACGCUGCUCACUGGAAACCUCCGCCUACACAAUAAAUCUCAUAUCGGAAACUGUCGUGCAUCAUUAACUCUACGCUACAUGAUUCGAUUUUGGGAUCCACACCACCCCCUCUUCCACAUUCCUCAUUGUUUCUCUCUUUUGCGCUUGGUCAUAGAUGGAGCUGUUUGCGGCGAGUCCGCGGACGAAUUUCUCGACGGUGGAGAUUCUCAGCUAGGGUUGCCAAAAGCGAAAGGUGAGCACCAUCCACUACUCAAGCGCAUUUACUCAUGAUUUCCCGAUAGUGGAGACCCUAGUCUUUUCUAUUAUGUUGCUUCGAUGAGCGAGGGGAGGAAGAGGGGACUUAACGGUGGUGUGGAUCACGCGGCGGUGUGGAUUUAUUCCAGCCAUGUCCUUGAAUUCAAUGUUAUUUUGCAAGUUCUAUUUCAUGAUGCAUGUGAUAGGAGAAGAGCGGGGCUUUACCAGGAGGGAAGGGAUCUAGUACUACAGAUUUACUCGGGCGAAACAAUUUUUAUCCGCUCUGUUCAACCCUUAUAUGUGAUUUGUGUUACAGGAGAGGAUUGGCCGCAAACUAUGAGAUUUCUGGGGUCGAUUUUUUAUUUUCCCCCAAUACCCCUGAUGUACAUUUAUUGGGAUGGAUUUUUGAAAAUAUCCCAUACCUCUCUUGCCCAUUUUAUUAAUGAUUUUUGAGUUGAAUAGGGCAGCUCUAAUCGAUUUGCGGAGGAUAGGUUCGAAUCCCUGGAGGUGACCCCUUUGUGUAUUGAGGUCAUUUAUGUUGCCACUAUUUGAAAUUCCGGCUAAAAAUAACCAUAUUGUUAUAAUUUCUACCGAAACUUUGAGGGCAGUUGCAGCAAAAAUUACAUGACACUUAUAAUUUGUCCCAAAAUUACCAAGGGAAUCCGAGCACAAUUCGAAUCCCUCGACAUGACCCCUUUGUGGAACUACUCCAUUUUGUACCAUAGUUACCAUAUGCCGUUGAUUUUCCACCUUCUAGCAAAAUUACCAAUAUUGUCACAGUUUCACACCAUUUUUGUUCAAGUCAUAGUAACCUUUUCAUAGUUCAACUCUCAUACAUGCAUGCUACUUUUUUUUUCCACACACACCAUAUAAUAAUGAAUGUGUUCCAAGCGUUUGGUCGGGGGGUAAUUAGAGCUCAGAAUGGGAAUUGAAGGGGUAUGAGACUUGAGAGUCCAACUCCCACCAUUUUAUUAACAGGUGAGAGGCUGGGUCUUGGAAGGGAUUUUCUUUAGCGAUUGAAUCUUAACCCUUCAUCAUGACUUGCAUUCAUUUACCUUGUCUAGUGCCCCGUCAACUCCCACUAACCAAACAAUAUAUAUUAUCAUCAAUUUUUCACAAAUAGUUCCUAUCAUGCACCAAACUGAGUAUUGGGAAUAAAAUGACUCCUCCCAUGUGUAAUCUCAAUACUACUCCCUACUCUAAACUCCCAUUCCUCUUCCCAAAUAUUGCCAACCUAGUCGACAAUGCUACAAGUUUUUUCUAUCUUCUUUUAAUAAAAGGGGUUCUCCCAUUUCUUUAAUAGAAACCAUUUAGAGUUUUUCACAAACAGAGCAACCAAAAUAAACCUAUUGAUAAACUAGACUACCGCACCAUCCACCACAAUAGUCUGCAACAAGAGAAUGGGAUACAUCCCAUCUCUCACCCAUUCAUCAUCCAACUUACCAAGAACACAUGCAUCAUCAGAAACUACAUAAACUGACUCCAUGUUACCACAAGUUCUAAAAAAAUUAAAGGAGGGGAAGACUAGGAUAUGAACAACAUCUACAAGGGAGAUAAGAGGUGUAGACUAAAAGCACAAACUGCUCAGCAAAGAAGUGCAGAUCUUCAAGUAGCUUUGUAGGAUGGCGGUAGUUGCAGGACCCCUAGUUAAACUUCAUUUCUUCCAUCAACCACUUAUAAUCUAAAGCACUCUAGAACAUCAUCCUUUAGUAGCAUUAAAGGCCUCAUUUUUUACUCGCUCGAACAACCUUAUACCUCACAUCAACUCCUUUUGCCUUUCCUGGAUUAUCUGUAAUAUUGAUGAAGAGAUGAUUAAAGCACAACAUCUAUGAAGAAUCAAAAAAGGAUCCAGUACCCUCCUUCCUCCAAAUAAAAUUUCAUUUCUAUAAUUGCAUAUAUACCAAAGUAUAGUAGAAAUCCAUAGAGAAAGCAACUUUUAUUUUCUUUACCAUAUUGAGCAAGCCUAGAAUUAAAUAGAGUAUUCAUAUUAGUAGGAGUAUUUUUCAUUCUAUGUGGAGUUUUAUGCGCGUUCCAUUUGUGUAGUUAUUUAAACAUUUUUAUGUAGUUAUAGACCGCAAGAUGCAAGAUAUUAAUGAAGUACACACUGCAUUUCUGUGACCUUAGUAGUGCUCUAGGUCCUUGGUUCGACCCCUGGUGGAAGCGACGUAUAAAAAUUUCUGGUAUUAAGGGUUGGCAUGCGUUUUCCUCUCAGCUUGUCUUCUUUCUCUUAUCUUCCUCCAACGCUGACCUAGGCGCUUGGUAUGGUGCACCUCACCCUUUCGCCCUCCCCAAACCGUUCUCUGGUCCCCUGCCAUCUAGGUCUCCCUCUAACCCAUUGACUUCUCUAGAUCCAAUUAGCAUCUGAUUCCACACCAUGUGCGAACCAGUCAAGAUGAGAAUCCCCUCCACCACUAACAUUGUAUCCACCCAGGCUUCAGCUCGGUCUUAUCAGCAACACAGCGCCUUGCUGCCACUCACCAUAGUUUCCCCUUCUCCGCCUUGGAUCUAUCUCUCCUUCUUCUCUCCUUAAAUUGAAUGACCCAAAUUUUGUUACAAAGUAACUUACAUAUAGUAAACAUAUUUUUCAUAUAGUUGAUUUAUUAACUAUACUUAAAGUACACAACAAACCUAAUCGUUAACAUAUCAAUGUAGCAACAUCGUGGAUAUCACAGAAUAGCAUGAAUUUUAUUACUCCAACAAGAUGUUGUAUGCAAAAUUUGUGCUCGCAUAUAUCAUCAUCAAACACCAGCUAUCGGUGAGUUUAGUUCUCCAUGAUGCAAUUUGCUAGGUUUCGAAUAUGCGAUAUUUUCAGGAAAUGAAAUCCUUAUAUAUGCUCAAUUUUUCAUGAUUUGGUGCAUGUUAUAGGUUGUGGAUACAUUUCUGUUGGUUGGUCCACCUCUUACUAGGAUGAUACAUCGAUGUUAGCAUAUAUUAGUUUUAUUUUUUAUGUGCAUGUACUUAGAAUGUACCAACACAUUUUGCAUAUUAUUUACAAUUUCCAUGUCCCCUAUGCAGUUUAUUAUUGAGUUAGUUCUAGCAAUGUCUUGCUGGCAGUCUGCACCUGCUGAUAUUAUUUGUGAUAUUGGGGAGAGUCUUUUGGAUAGUAAUGGCCACGACAGCUAUGUCGCUAUGAGAUAUGUAUGUUCUCUUUGGAGGUCAGCCAUCUCAUCUUAUCAAAGGCUUUUUGUUCGAGCACAUCGAUGGAUUGUUCUUGAGGAGAUCAAUGAAUUCAGUGAUUGCGCUGUACAUCGGGUAUUGGUUAAUCUUUCAACUGGACGGAUGGUCAAGCGUCGCAUUCCUCUUUUGAAUGACCAUGUUUAUGUUGGAUCUUCGGAUGGACUACUGAUUCUCGUAGAAAAAAGUGAACCUUACUUUGUCAAACUAUGGGAGCCAUUCACGGGCUAUCUUGUGCAAUUUGCAGCCGGCAUCAUCCAUCAGCAGCCUUCUCAUUUUGCCGUCGAGACUCACGGUGUCCCUAGAUUGUUUCAUGCCCCUGGAGGUUUACGCAACCCUCAAGUCAUGUGUUAUGAUGUUAGUAAUGGAAAUAUGGAGGUUCGAUUUGGUGAUAUGCCAGUUGAGCGUGUAGCAAGUAUGACUGCAUAUAAGAGUGAUGUGUUUGUACUUUUCCAUAAUCGUCAGUUGUUUAAGAUAACCGGGGCUGGUCAUGAGAUGCAUGGAGAAUUCAUUCUGAUCCACGAGGCUCCAACACUUGCACCUAGUGCAAUGACACACUAUUUGGUAGUAUCUGGAGGAGGCAACCUUCUUAUUGUGGUCAUUGGCAUUGCAGAGAUCCUGAUUUUUUGUGUUGAUGUUGACUUAAGGACCGCUGUCCGUAUCUAUAAUAUUGGUAGCCAGGCACUUUUCCUUAGUAACACAAGGUGUAUCGCUGUUAAUGCCGAAAAUUUCCCAACUGUCAAAGAAAACUGUGUAUAUCAAGCAUGCAUCUCUGGAUAUAGUGGGCCAUGUGGAAUUUAUGAGUUCAGUUUGACGAGGCCUCGGAAGCGUAAGAUUUAUCAUCAAUCAUUUGCCAAUGAAGUAACCUACGCUCUUGGGGGAAGGCCCUUAAGCAUGUGGCAGGUCCUUAUACACUACUGUUUAUUCAGAAACAAGUGUAGGAGGCCACUAUCCCAGGUGUAAGGAUUAAGUUGGGUAAUAAAUCAAGGUUGUGGCAGUACUGGGCAACUUUAUUUUUACUUAUCUAUGAGGAGUGAAGUGAACAUGUAUUGUUGUCAUUAUACUGAAUGUUGCUACUUAGUUAUUUGUUUUAGUUAUUGACCAUUUCUAAGUUUAAUUUAUAUGCAUGCUUUUGAUGUUCAUAGUAACUCAUACUUUUGAUACAUAGAUGGACCAUUUAGUGAUGACUGUAUGUCUACACUUCACAAGAUAAGUUGACAAUACAUACCUCAUAACAACCAUUCUAGACCUUACUAUAAACUAUAUGUGAAUGAAAUAAAUUGCAAGGCAUCAUUUCAAAUGUUACAAGAUUGUUUCUGAUAUAUAUUUAUACUUAAAUUACCAAAUAUAUGGUUUCUAUUUGGCAAAGGCAGUGGGAAAACUGUUUUUCGUACUCUUUUCAGAGGAACAGACAGUAACAUAACCAAGAAAAAUAAGAGAUAGUGUUUUCGCGAAAAAUUUGUACUAUGAAGUUCUAAUAUUAGUGAUGUAACGUGUACAAUUCUCAUUUAUUCUGAAAUGAAAGUGAAUUGUCAUUUUAAUAUGUGAAAAUUCCACAUUUCAACCCCGAACUAACCACAUGGUUUAAUUUACAACCCUGAACCCUGAAACCGGUCGAAACACAUCCCAAACAAACCUCAAGAUUCAAAACUCAACCCUAGUCUUGGUUUUGGGCUGGUUAACCGUUUUUAUCACAGUCAAUGUUGACUGGGUAGAUCCACAUUAGCAAUUAAUCUCAACAAAGCAUUGCUAAAAACUAUGCCAAAAGGUGAAAUUUAUUAUCUUUAUGCCAAUACAAAUCAAAUGAAACUCAUACCACGACCCUCGUAUUGUACAUCUACUAACUCACUAAGCUCCCUGGGGUAAAACCACGACCCACGCUAUCAAUUUGGCUUCUCACGUCAAUUUUGACCUGGUCGUCCGGCCGUGUGAGUUGGUCUGUACCGUGGGCCGUUUUUGUCAACGGUGUAGAGCCAUGGGCCCUGGCUGUCAGUCAAUGAUUCAUCUUGUUGGCGUUCGAAGGGGAUUAGGGAUCGGUGGCUCAUUGCGAGACGUCAACGUAGCACAGCAUGGCGGCGGAUCGGACAGGCGGACGGCGUUCGACGGUAGCCGCACACUAGUACGGGCGUGUAGCACAGGUGCACGGUGCUGCUCCAGCCGCAACCCACAUCCCUGCACCAUCCCGAUGUCCCUUCACCUGCAGGGCGUCGCAAGCGGAGCAGCGUGGACCCGACAGAGUUAGAUGUCGCAGUUCGUCUUGCUAGAAGAUGCACAAGUAGGGGAAAGACAGGGCCACAGAGGCAAGAAAAGCGAACCUUAUAAUUUUCUUGUUGAUUCCUAUGCUUGUUUGUUUGAGCUUGCCAAAACAUGCUGGUGAAUUAGUAAAAAUAAAGGACAAAGAAGAAGGCUCAAUCAUGUUUACUAUCUACCCCCUCCGUCCCAGAAUAUAAGAACAUUUUUCAAGCUAUGUUAGCUUAAAAAUGAUCUUAUAUUGUGGGACGGAGGGAGUACUUCAAGGAUCAUAUGCAUGUGAACUGAUUUGUUAACACAUCACAUCUAGCAAGUAGUAGUUGUUACGUGCAAAUGCAUCUGCAGCUAAAAGGAGCACGAAUGAGAAAUCACAACAUAGGAAAGUAGGGGGGUCAGUGUAGGGUUGAGGAGACUUCAGAUGUCGAGCUUUCAACAUAGUAUGAUUCAGUUAACAGGGGAAAGGAAUGUCAAGUGUUGGCCGCCACUGGAUCAAUGCAAAUCUAUGCCGGAAAAUGCCUGUCUCCUGGGUAGCUGAAGAGUGGUGUGCAACUGAGAAGAAACGGUUAAGGGGGAAUUGAUAGGGAGGAGAUGUUCAGUUUUCAAUUUUUCAUACCAUGGUGGACCUAGCAGACGGGGAAGAGACCAUUGCUGAUGCAUCGUGGAAGGGCGCAAUGAAGGCAGUGAGUGCGGAGUGCGAGGAGGACAUGUGCCUUUGAUCCAGAGUUGCUCCAUGACGAAGGUCAUAACGGCCUUGGUGGCACACGCCACCAUGAAAACCACCAGCCUUGACACGAUCGUUGUGUUCACUGCGAGCACCUUGGUCACUGUCGCCGCCGUCGUGCUCAUCAGUAACGUAUUUACCCCGCCUUGAUUAAGAGUGUGCAUGCAUAAUUAUACCUAUCAUUGCCUUUUUCCUUCAAAAAACCUGUCAUGUUGGCCUCAUGGUUCGUGUUGAUAAUGGAAGCUUUCCAAACUAUAACUGCUAGGAGCAUCAUUGUUUUUUCCCACUUUGUUUGUGUUACGGCGUAGAGGCCCACCGGGCAAUCUUAGCCCACAAGUUAUCUUAGGUUAAUUCUUAUAAAAGUUAUCUUAGGUUAAUUCUUAUGCAAGUUAUCUAGGUUAUAAAUAUAGGCUGUAAGACUCUUUUCAGAAUUAAGCAAUAAGAAGAUUAUCUCUAUUGCCCGGCUCCCAGAGGAGCCAGAACCCUAGCCGCCCCCUGCCUCUUGCGCUGCCGCCGCCAUCUUCCUCUUCCCCGACGGCGCCCAGCCACCGGCGCAGCCGCUCAUCGCUACGCCCAGCCCCCUCCUUCCCCUACUGCCUACGGCGAAGACCGGGCAGAACCCUAGCUCCUAAGACCGGGAGGGACGGCGAGGCGGUGGGUGGCGCGGCCCAGGCCGGCCACCGCGGGCCCUGGACGGCUGCUGGCGGCGCGGGUGGCGACGCGAGCGCUGGCGUCGGCCACUGGGGCCAGGGCAGAGUGGAAGCGGCCGGUGAUGGUAGCGCCGGGUAGCCCCCGGCGAUGGCCGCGGGGACGGAGUAGGCCAGCCACUGCGGGUCCUGGGCGGCUGCUGGCGGCGCAGGUGGCGCCGUGAGUGCUGGCGUCGGCCACUGUGGCCAAGUCGGCGUCGGAGCCGCCGGUGANNNNNNNNNNNNNNNNNNNNNNNNNNNNNNNNNNNNNNNNNNNNNNNNNNNNNNNNNNNNNNNNNNNNNNNNNNNNNNNNNNNNNNNNNNNNNNNNNNNNNNNNNNNNNNNNNNNNNNNNNNNNNNNNNNNNNNNNNNNNNNNNNNNNNNNNNNNNNNNNNNNNNNNNNNNNNNNNNNNNNNNNNNNNNNNNNNNNNNNNNNNNNNNNNNNNNNNNNNNNNNNNNNNNNNNNNNNNNNNNNNNNNNNNNNNNNNNNNNNNNNNNNNNNNNNNNNNNNNNNNNNNNNNNNNNNNNNNNNNNNNNNNNNNNNNNNNNNNNNNNNNNNNNNNNNNNNNNNNNNNNNNNNNNNNNNNNNNNNNNNNNNNNNNNNNNNNNNNNNNNNNNNNNNNNNNNNNNNNNNNNNNNNNNNNNNNNNNNNNNNNNNNNNNNNNNNNNNNNNNNNNNNNNNNNNNNNNNNNNNNNNNNNNNNNNNNNNNNNNNNNNNNNNNNNNNNNNNNNNNNNNNNNNNNNNNNNNNNNNNNNNNNNNNNNNNNNNNNNNNNNNNNNNNNNNNNNNNNNNNNNNNNNNNNNNNNNNNNNNNNNNNNNNNNNNNNNNNNNNNNNNNNNNNNNNNNNNNNNNNNNNNNNNNNNNNCAGCGGCGGUGGUGGCGGAAUUGGAGGCGGCGAAGACAUGGUCGAAACCCGGGUAUCAGCUACCUGGGUUUCGACCAUGUCAUCGCCACCACCAAUUCCGCCGCCACCACCGCCGCCGCUGCCCACCAGCACCCCCACUGCCGCUGCCACCAACUCCACCACUGCCGCUGCCUUAUCGCCGAGCGCCACGGCCUCGCUCACCCUCCCGUCGGCACCGAUCUCCCCCGCUCCUGGCACAAUGCAGAGCCAGGGCCAGCCACCGCCACCCGUACACAAUUCGCCACCAUCUCCUCCCCCCAUGCCGAACCAGCUUUCCCCGGAGGCCAUGGCCAGCGUGCUCAAUGACCUGGUGAUCGCGGCCCAGGGCAUCCUUCUCUAUUUGGCUAGCCCGUACAGGCCGCCACCGCUGCUACCGCCGGCCGUACCCUCGGGCCAGCCGGCACUGCCGUGGUACUCCGUCCCCGCGGCCAUCGCCGGGAGCUACCCGGCGCUACCAUCGCCAGCCGCUUCCACGCCGCCCUGGCCCCAGUGGCCGACGCCAGCGCUCGCGGCGCCACCCGCGCCGCCAGCAGCCGCCCAGGGCCCGCAGUGGCCGGCCUACUCCGUCCCCGCGGCCAUCACCGGGGGCUACCCGGCGCUACCAUCGCCGGCCGCUUCCACGCCGCCCUGGCCCCAGUGGCCGACGCUAGCGCUCGCGGCGCCACCCGCGCCGCUAGCAGCCGCCCAGGGCCCGCAGUGGCCAGCCUGGGCCAUGCCACCCACCGCCUCGCCGUCCCUCCCGGCGGCCACAGUGCAGGUUCCGCCGCCGCCACCGCCCAGCCCUAGCCUGGGCCGGUCCGCGCCAGGCGGUCUUCCGAUCCAAGAGGUCUGGUUCCCAUCGUCACCAUCUCCACUUACGGGCUGGCUCCACGGGACAUUGCCUCCGCCGGUUUACACGGAGGCCCGGGAGCCGUCGGGUUCCCAGUUGCAGGCCGGGGCAUCGGGCGCCACGGGGGCCUACGCCGGCCUUCCCACCACGGACCAAGCACCGUCAUCAGCUCUCCGCACCGCCAAGGCAGUGGGCCAUGGCGCGCCAAACCAGCAGCCGCCCCGGUUCACCAAGCUUGACUUCGCCACUUAUGACGGCUCGGAUGACCCGCUUAACUUGCUCAACCAGUGUGACCAGUUCUUCCGCGGGCAGCGCACACCCGCGUCGGAGCGCACUUGGCUGGCUUCCUACCAUCUCCGCGAGGCCACCCAGACAUGGUACUACGCCCUCGAGCAGGACGAGGGCGGCAUGCCCCCGUGGGAGCGCUUCCGCGAGCUGUGCCUUCUUCGCUUCGGACCACCAUUACACGGGAGCCGAUUGGCCGAGUUGGGCCGCCUACCUCUCACCUCCACGGUGCAGGAUUUCGCCGACCGCUUCCAGGCCCUAGCGUGUCACGCGCUAGGUGUGACGACCCUGCAGCGGGUUGAGCCCUUCGUCGGCGGCCUUCCGGAUCACAUUCGCGUCGACGUGGAGCUUCGUGGACCCCAGGAUCUCCAGUCGGCCAUGUACUACGCCCGCGCGUUCGAGCGCCGCGUGGUGGCCAUCCAGCAUGAAUCACCGUCCCGGACUACUGGGUCGCUACCAGGGCCGGAUUCCACGCAGGGUCGGCCUGUGCAGGCUUCUGCGGCACCCCUUGCCGUGACCGCGGGACGCCCGUUCCACCGGCUCAUCUCAGCCGAGCUCCUCGAGCGUCGCCGCCAAGGAUUAUGCUUCAACCGCGACGAGCCCUACAUGCCCGGCCAUGCCUGCCCGCGACUCUUCUACCUGGAGGUUGCAGACUACAUUCCGGAGGACGCCGUCGCCGCCGACCUGGCCGCCCCAGCUGUCGAGAAGGUGUUUGACGCUGGUUGAUCGCCUCGAGGAGUUCCGCCAGCGCUUCCCCAACUUACAGCUCGAGGACGAGCUGUUUGUGCAGGCGGGGAGAAGUGUUACGGCCGUAGAGGCCCACCGGGCAAUCUUAGCCCACAAGUUAUCUUAGGUUAAUUCUUAUGCAAGUUAUCUUAGGUUAAUUCUUAUGCAAGUUAUCUAGGUUAUAAAUAUAGGCCGUAAGACUCUUUUUGGAAUUAAGCAAUAAGAAGAUUAUCUCUAUUCCCCGGCUCCCAGAGGAGCUAGAACCCUAGCCGCCCCCUGCCUCUUGCGCUGCCGCCGCCAUCUUCCUCUUCCGCGACGGCGACCAGCCGCCGGCGCGGCCGCUCAUCGCUACGCCCAGCCCCCUCCUUCCCCUACUGCCUACAGCCAAGACAGGGCAGAACCCUAGCUCCUAAAAGUUUGUAAUGAGAUAUCUUAUAUAUUGCUUACACAGACUACAUAUCAUGUUGGCAAUUCUUAAUUUCCAGCUCCAAGGAAAUCAUGUUGGUGUGCAUCUCUGAGUUCAUCUUCAUCACCGGUGAGUAAGCGGCUCUUUUGCCACGGAAUGCUACCAUAAAAGCUAAAAAUGCAUGUGUCUUCAUGUGUGAAUAUUCAGUGGUGAUUCCAAGUUUGCUGCUCGACAAUUUUCAGACUACAAGUUAAUAGAUAGUCAAUCAUGCUCUUAUUUGUAAUACGAGUUAGUCUUCAACAUGUUCAACCCAAAUGAGUAAACAGACCUAGUCUAAUGAUGUUUAUUUGCAGUCUUAGAAUUGUAAUCUCGCAUAGAAGCAUAAUUAAAAUCACAAGGAAAGCUCAACAAGACUCCAAGAGCCGAUUCUGCCGUUUAAUGUCUGCUUCCUUUUUUUCUCCUUAGUAGAACACAGGUUAAUUAAUUUUCUCAUAAUUUGGGAAUCUUCAAGUGAUUAUUAUUGACUCGAGGAUCUUAGGGGCGUUAGGGAUUUAAUACUAUAUAAGUGAAAGGGAAUCAUCUCCUUUAACUAACAAUGGGAGAGAGAGCCUACAAGUCAUUGUCUUGGGUAUGAACGUAGAUGUUAAUUGCUACUAGAUAGAUUUACAAUUAAUCUCAUUGUUUUGUUUUCUCUAGCAACCAAGACGAGUGUUGUGCACUUACAACUCAUGCUGACUGAACUGGUGAAGUUUCUUUCUCCAUUUCCUCACCUUGAUUGUUGCCACCUAUUUCCUGUUGGUGACUGAGUCUUGACACCAUGUUUGUUUAGAUAAAAUCACCCUCUGGUUACUUGAUUCCAUUUGAUUUAUUGCACUAUUUUGUUGGGAGUGUUUUUUGUUUGCUCUGGACCCUAAUAGUUGUUUUUCAGAAUGACUGUUGGAGUUGGGUUCAUGUAUAUGGUAACUUGGCAAUAUUAGCUUUCAAGCAUGUUAUGAUGUCCAUCUCUUAGACAACAUCUUUUGCUCAAAUCGAUUUAUGUGAAAAACAAGUGCAGUUUCUUAAAGCAAUUUAAAAAAUGACUUAGAAGCAAUUAUUGUUGUAAGUUCUCUUUAAUAUUUGGGUAUUACAAAUUUAGUUCUGGCCCUCCUUGAUUUUUCAUACAGAGAAGGUAAUUGAAUGCAGUCCUUUAACACCAGACUCUGCAAAAUAUUGAACUCCUCCACCUUGGUCAAGCCAGAAAAUUAUAUGAUUGAUCUUUAGAAAUUAAUAUUUGUUCUAGGAAUCAUGUUAUCCACUAGCAACUAUGAUUUUUUUUGUAGUAAGAGUCUGCAGUGCAUUGGCAGCAUAGGUGCAUAUGAACCGCGGAGCAUGAGAUGAUAAUAGUGAAAUGGUCAGUCACCAAACAAGUCAAUUUUCAAUAGCUAUUAGUUACAUGUUUUAUAUACUCUUGCAAUCUUUGAUGACGUCUUCAGCUCAUGUACACAUACGUCGCUGAUGAAAUGAACUGACCAUUUGUAUAUGCAUUGAGGUGCACACAAGUUGUUUAAGUGGAGCAGAGUACUACACAAGCCCAAAUCAAGAUGUUUAAGCCUUGGCUUUGUUGUUUGUGGCCUCUCGUAUGCCCUGCUAAGAUGCAUCUCGAUGUCUCUGCAGUGAAUGGUGCCACAAUCUGAUGUCUAGAAUGUAAUGUGAACAUUUCCUUUUUCAUGGAGGAGAGCAAAAUAAGAUUAAUCUCACCAUCAUUCUUUGUGUGGCUGAGAUGCUUUUCGUAUUUCAUUUGGCUCGAGAAGUUGAUCUGCGAGAGCUGAUCGCCUGUCAAUUUGGAGCUAGAAACCUAGAUUGUGUUGCAUAAAUGUUUGGCUGUAAAAAGUUCAAUCAAGAAGCUGCUUCAUGUUUGUUUACGAAAAUUGUUAUCAAGAAAAAGAAUCAGCAAGAAAGAAAAGCGGUGCGGCAAGACGCGCCUUUGCUUCUAGUAAGAGUCAUGUGCACUGAUAGUAAAACAAUUACUACAUGAAUUCAUCUGCACUUAAAUUGUUCGCAAGCGGUAAAGGUAAAUACAUAAGUUCCUACCUUGAUGUUCCUACCUUGAUCCAUCUUACAUCUCUCUUUCGCGUUUCGAUCUUUGCCCAACCGCAAAGGCCUCUUACUGUGUGAAUGGUGUAUGAUACGUCUCCAACAUAUAUAUAAUUUUUGAUUGCUUCAUGCUAUUAUAUUAUCAAUCUUGUAUGCUUUAUAUACAAUUUUAUAUCACUAUUGGAAAAUAAGCUACUAACUCAGUGCCAAGUGCCGGUUCAUUUUUUUUUCCUAUUUUCUUGUUUCGUAGAAAAACCAUAUCAAACGAAGUCCAAACACGAUGAAACUUUACGGUGAUUUUAGACUAGUUUUAGCCUAGUCGGGUAUAGUUUUGUUAAAAUAUGUCCUAAAUGUAAAGCUUUACAUCCAGUUUGUAUGAAAAACAUUCGGUUAGCAUGUAUGCCCUAGAGGCAAUAAUAAAAAGAUUAUUAUUAUAUUUCUUUGUUCAUGAUAGUUGUCUUUUAUUCAUGCUAUAAUUGUAUUAUCCGGAAAUCGUAAUACACGUGUGAAUACUUAGACCACAACAUGUCCCUAGUGAGCCUCUAGUUGACUAGCUCGUUGAUCAACAGAUAGUCAUGGUUUCCUGACUAUGGACAUUGGAUGUCGUUGAUAACGGGAUCACAUCAUUGGGAGAAUGAUGUGGUGGACAAGACCCAAUCCUAAGCAUAGCACAAGAUCGUGUAGUUCGUUUUGCUAGAGCUUUUCCAAUGUCAAGUAUCUCUUCCUUAGACCAUGAGAUCGUCUAACUCCCGGAUACCGUAUGAGUGCUUUGGGUGUACCAAACGUCACAACGUAACUGGGUGACUAUAAAGGUGCACUACAGGUAUCUCCGAAAGUGUCUGUUGGGUUGACACGGAUCGAGACUGGGAUUUGUCACUCCGUAUAACGGAGAGGUAUCACUGGGCCCACUCGGUAGUGCAUCAUCAUAAUGAGCUCAAAGUGACCAAGUGUCUGGUCACGGGAUCAUGCAUUACGACACGAGUAAAGUGACUUGCCGGCAACGAGAUUGAACGAGGUAUUGGGAUACCGACGAUCGAAUCUCGGGCAAGUAACAUACCGUCUGACAAAGGGAAUAGUAUACGGGGUUGCUUGAAUCCUCGACAUCGUGGUUCAUCCGAUGAGAUCAUCGAGGAGUAUGUGGGAGCCAACAUGGGUAUCUAGAUCCCGCUGUUGGUUAUUGACCGGAGAGCCGUCUCGGUCAUGUCUGCAUGUCUCCCAAACCCGUAGGGUCUACACACUUAAGGUUCGGUGACGCUAGGGUUGUAUGAAUAUGAGUAUGCAGCAAACAGAAUGUUGUUCGGAGUCCCAGAUGAGAUCCUGGACGUCACGAGGAGUUCCAGAAUGGUCCGUAGGUAAAGAAUUAUAUAUAGGAAGUGCUGUUUCGGCCAUCGGGAAAGUUUCGGGGUCACCCGGUAUUGUACGGGGACCACCGGAAGGGUCCCGGGGGUCCACCGGGUGGGGCCACCUAUCCCGGAGGGCCCCGUGGGCUGAAGUGGGAGGGGAACCAGCCCCUAGUGGGCUGGUGCGCCCCCCUUGGGCCCCCCCUGUGCCUAGGGUUGGAAACCCUAGGGUGGGGGGCGCACCACUUGCCUUGGGGGGCACUCCACCCCCCUGGCCGCCGCCCCCUUGGGAGAUUCCCAUCUCCAGGGCCGGCGCCCCCCCAGGGGGCCUAUAUAAAGGAGGGGGGAGGGGCAGCCGCACCCUUAGUCUUGGCGCCUCCCUCCCCCUGCUACACCUCUUCCUCCUCCCGCAGUUGCUUGGCGAAGCCCUGCCGGAGUCCUGCCGCAUCCACCACCACACCGUCGUGCUGCUGGAUCUUCAUCAACCUCUCCUUCCCCCUUGCUAGAUCAAGAUGGACGAGACAUCACACUGACCGUAUGUGUGUUGAACGCGGAGGUGCCGUCCAUUCGGCGCUAGGAUCUCCGGUGAUAGGAUCACGACGAGAACGACUACCUCAACCCCGUUCUCUUGAACGCUUCCGCACGCGAUCUACAAGUGGUAUGUAGAUGCAUCUCUCUCUCUCGUUUCUAUAUGAACUCAUAGAUUGAUCUUGGUGAACGUAGGAAAUUUUUUAUUUUAUGCAACGUUCCUCAACAGUGGCAUCAUGAGCUAGGUUUAUGUGUAGUUCUCUAUUGCACGAGUAGAAGACAAAUCUGUUGUGGGCGUAGAUCUUGUCAACUUGCUUGCCACUACUAGUCUUUUCUUGCUUCAGCAGUAUUGUGGGAUGAAGCGGCCCGGACCGACCAUACAUGUACGCGUACGUGAGACAGGUUCCACCGACUGACAUGCACUAGUUGCAUAAGGUGGCUAGCAGGUGACUGUCUCUCCUACUUUAGUUGGAGCGGAUUUGAUGAAAAGGGUCCUUAUGAAGGGUAAAUAGAAGUUGACAAAAUCACGUUGUGGUUAUUCGUAGGUAAGAAAACGUUCUUGCUAGAACCCAAUUGCAGCCACGUAAAAGAUGCAACAACAACUAGAGGACGUCUAACUUGUUUUUGCGGCAGUUGUCAUGUGAUGUGAUAUGGCCAGAAGUUGUGAUGAAUGAUGAAUGAUAUAUUGUGAUGUAUGAGAUCAUGUUCUUGUAAUAGGAAUCACGACUUGCAUGUCGAUGAGUAUGACAACCGGCAGGAGCCAUAGGAGUUGUCUUAAUUAUUGUAUGACAUGCGUGUCAAUGAUUUAACGCCAUGUAAUUACUUUACUUUAUUGCUAAGCCGUUAGCUAUAGUAGUAGAAGUAAUAGUUGGUGAGCAACUUCAUGGAGGCACGAUGAUGGAGAUCAUGGUGUCAUGCCGGUGCCGAAGAUGAUCAUGGAGCCUCGAAGAUGGAGAUCGAAGGAGCUAUAUGAUAUUGGCCAUAUCAUGUCACUACUUUAUAUAAUUGCAUGUGAUGUUUAUUAUGUUUUAUAACGGCGGUAGUAAAUAAGAUGAUCCCUUAUAAUAAUUUCAAGAAAGUGUUCCCCCUAACUGUGCACCGUUGGUAAAGUUCGUCGUUUCGAAGCACCACGUGAUGAUCGGGUGUGAUAGAUCCUUAUGUUCACAUACAAUGGGUGUAAGACAGUUUUACACAUGCAAAACUCUUAGGGUUAACUUAACGAGCCUAGCAUGUACAGACAUGGCCUCGGAACACAAGAGACCGAAAGGUCAAACAUGAGUCGUAUGGAAGAUACGAUCAACAUGGAGAUGUUCACCGAUGAUGACUAGUCCGUCUCACGUGAUGAUCGGACACGGCCUAGUCGACUCGGAUCGUGUAACACUUAGAUGACUAGAGGGAUGUCAAUCUGAGUGGGAGUUCAUUAAAUAAUUUGAUUAGAUGAACUUAAUUAUCAUGAACUUAGUCUAAAAUCUUUGCAAAAUAUGUCUUGUAGAUCAAAUGGCCAACGCUCAUGUCAACAUGAACUUCAACGCGUUCCUAGAGAAAACCAAGCUGAAAGAUGAUGGCAGCAACUAUUUGGACUGGGUCCGGAACCUGAGGAUCAUCCUCAUAGCAGCCAAGAAAGCAUAUGUCCUAGAAGGACUGCUAGGUGAAGCACCCAUCCUAGAGAACCAAGACGUUAUGAACGCUUGGCAGUCACAUGCUGAUGAUUACUCUCUCGUUCAGUGUGGCAUGCUUUACAGCUUAGAAUCGGGGCUCCAAAAGCGUUUUCAGCAACAUGGAGCAUAUGAGAUGUUCGAGGAGCUGAAAAUGGUUUUUCAAGCUCAUGCCCGGGUCGAGAGAUAUGAAGUCUCCGACAAGUUCUAUAGUUGUAAGAUGGAGGAAAACAGUUCUGUCAGUGAGCACAUACUCAAAAUGUCUGGGUUGCACAACCGUCUGUCCCAGUUGGAGAUCAACCUCCCGGACGAGGCGGUCAUUGACAGAAUCCUUCAGUCGCUCCCACCGAGCUACAAGAGCUGUGUGAUGAACUACAAUAUGCAGGGGAUGGUGAAGACCAUUCCUGAAGUAUUUUCAAUGCUAAAGUCAGCAGAGGUUGAAAUCAAGAAAGAACAUCAAGUGUUGAUGGUCAAUAAGACCACUAAGUUCAAGAAGGGCAAGGGUAAGAAGAACUUCAAGAAGGACGACAAAGAUGUUGCCGCGCCCGAUAAGCCAGUUGCCGGGAAGAAGUCAAAGAAUGGACCCAAGCCUGAGACUGAGUGCUUUUAGUGCAAAGGGAAGGGUCACUGGAAGCGGAACUGCCCCAAAUACUUAGCGGAUAAGAAGGCCGGCAACACUAAAGGUAUAUGUGAUAUACAUGUAAUUGAUGUGUACCUUACCAGUACUCGUAGUAACUCCUGGGUAUUUGAUACCGGUGCCGUUGCUCACAUUUGUAACUCACAUCAGGAGCUGCGGAAUAAGCGGAGACUAGCGAAGGACGAGGUGACGAUGCGCGUCGGGAAUGGUUCCAAGGUUGAUGUGAUCGCCGUCGGCACGCUACCUCUACAUUUACCCACGUGAUUAGUUAUGAACCUCAAUAAUUGUUAUUUAGUGCCAAGUUUGAGCAUGAACAUUGUAUCUGGAUCUCGUUUAAUACGAGAUGGCUACUCAUUUAAAUCCGAGAAUAAUGGUUGUUCUAUUUAUAUGAGAGACAUGUUUUAUGGUCAUGCCCCGAUGGUCAAUGGUUUAUUCUUAAUGAAUCUCGAACUUAAUAUUACACAUAUUCAUAGUGUGAAUACUAAAAGAUGUAAAGUUGAUAACGAUAGUUUCACAUACUUGUGGCACUGCCGCCUUGGUCACAUUGGUGUCAAGCGCAUGAAGAAGCUCCAUGCUGAUGGACUUUUAGAGUCUCUCGAUUAUGAAUCAUUUGACACAUGCGAACCAUGCCUCAUGAGCAAAAUGACCAAGACUCCGUUCUCCAGAACAAUGCAGCGAGCAACCAACUUAUUGGAAAUCAUACAUACUGAUGUAUGUGGUCCAAUGAGCGUUGAGGCUCACGGAGGAUAUCGUUAUAUUCUCACUCUAACUGAUGACUUAAGUAGAUAUGGGUAUGUCUACUUGAUGAAACACAAGUCUGAGACCUUUGAAAAGUUCAAGGAAUUUCAGAAUGAAGUAGAGAAUCAACGUGACCGAAAGAUAAAAUUCUUACGAUCGGAUCGUGGAGGAGAAUAUUUAAGUCACGAAUUUGGUACGCACUCAAGGAAAUGUGGAAUUGUUUCACAACUCACGCCGCCUGGAACACCUCGGCGUAACGGUGUGUCCGAACGUCGUAAUCGCACUCUAUUAGAUAUGGUGCGAUCUAUGAUGUCUCUUACCGAUUUACCGCUAUCAUUUUGGGGAUACGCUCUAGAGACAGCUACAUUCACUUUAAAUAGGGCACCAUCUAAAUCCGUUGAGAUGACACAGUAUGAAUUAUGGUUUGGGAAGAAACCUGAGCUGUCGUUUCUAAAAGUUUGGGGAUGCGAUGCUUAUGUCAAGAAACUUCAACCUGAAAAGCUCGAACCCAAGUCAGAAAAAUGUGUCUUCAUAGGAUACCCUAAGGAAACCAUUGGGUAUACCUUCUACCUUAGAUCCGAAGGCAAGAUAUUUGUUGCAAAGAACGGAUCCUUUCUGGAAAAAGAGUUUUUCUCGAAAGGAGUAAGUGGGAGGAAAGCAGAACUCGAUGAAGUACUACCUCUUGAACCGGAAACUAGUGCAGCUCAGGAAAAUGUUCCUGUGGUACCUACGCCGACUGGAGAGGAAAUUAAUGAUGAUUAUCAAGGUACUUCGGAUCAAGUUUCUACUGAACUUCGUAGGUCCACGAGGACACGUUCGACACCAAAAUGGUAUGGCAACCCUGUCCUGGAAAUCAUGUUGUUAGACAACGGUGAACCUUCGAACUAUGAAGAAGCGAUGGCGGGCCCAGAUUCCAACAAAUGGCUAGAAGCCAUGCGGUCCGAGAUAGAAUCCAUGUAUGAAAACAAAGUAUGGACUUUGACUGACUUGCCCGAUGAUCGGCGAGCGAUAGAAAACAAAUGGAUCUUUAAGAAGAAGACGGACGCGGAUGGUAAUGUCAUCAUCUAUAAAGCUCGACUUGUUCCUAAGGGUUAUCGACAAGUUCAAGGGGUUGACUACGAUGAGACCUUCUCUCCCGUAGUGAAGCUUAAGUCCAUCCGAAUCAUGUUAGCAAUUGUCGCAUACUAUGAUUAUGAGAUAUGGCAGAUGGACGUCAAAACGGCAUUCCUUAACGGUUAUCUUAAGGAAGAGCUGUAUAUGAUGCAGCCGGAAGGUUUUGUCGAUCCUAAGAAUGCUAACAAAGUAUGCAAGCUCCAGCGAUCCAUUUAUGGGCUGGUGCAAGCAUCUCGGAGUUGGAACAUUCGCUUUGAUGAGAUGAUCAAAGAGUUGGGUUUAUGCAGACUUAUGGAGAAGCCUGCGUUUACAAGAAAGUGAGUGGGAGCUCUGUAACAUUUCUCAUAUUAUAUGUAGAUGACAUACUUUUGAUGGGAAAUGAUAUAGAAUUCUUGGACAGCAUUAAGGCCUACUUGAAUAAGUGUUUUUCAAUGAAGGACCUUGGAGAAGCUGCUUACAUAUUAGGCAUCAAGAUCUAUAGGGAUAGACGAGACGCCUCAUAGGUCUUUCACAAAGCACAUACCUUGAUAAGAUUUUGAAGAAGUUCAAAAUGGAUCAGUGCAAGAAAGGGUUCUUGCCUGUAUUGCAAGGUGUGAAAUUGAACUCGGCUCAAUGCUCGACCACGGCAGAAGAUAAAGAAGAGAUGAGUGUCAUCCCCUAUGCCUCAGCCAUAGGAUCUAUUAUGUAUGCCAUGCUGUGUACCAGACCAGAUGUAAACCUUGCCGUAAGUUUGGUAAGUAGGUACCAAAGUAAUCCCGGCAAGGAACAUUGGACAACGGUCAAGAAUAUCCUAAAGUACCUAAAAAGGACAAAGGACAUGUUUCUCGUUUAUGGAGGUGACGAAGAGCUCAUCGUAAUGGGUUACAUCGACGUUAGCUUCGACACAGAUCUGGAUGACUCUAAGUCACAAACCGGAUACGUGUAUAUGUUGAAUCGUGGAGCAGUAAGCUGGUGCAGUUGCAAGCAGAGCGUCGUGGCGGGAUCUACAUGUGAAGCGGAGUACAUGGCAGCCUCGGAGGCAGCGCAUGAAGUAAUAUGGAUGAAGGAGUUCAUCACCGACCUAGGAGUCAUACCCAAUGCGUCGGGGCCGAUCACUCUCUUCUGUGACAACACUGGAGCUAUUGCCCUUGCCAAGGAGCCUAGAUUUCACAAGAAGACCAGGCACAUCAAGCGUCGCUUCAACUCCAUCCGUGAAAACGUUCAAGAUGGAGACAUAGAUAUUUGCAAAGUACAUACGGAUCUGAAUGUCGCAGAUCCGUUGACUAAACCUCUUCCACGAGCAAAACAUGAUCAACACCAGAACUCUAUGGGUGUUUGAUUCAUCACAAUGUAACUAGAUUAUUGACUCUAGUGCAAGUGGGAGACUGUUGGAAAUAUGCCCUAGAGGCAAUAAUAAAAGGAUUAUUAUUUUAUUUCUUUGUUCAUGAUAGUUGUCUUUUAUUCAUGCUAUAAUUGUAUUAUCCGGAAGUCGUAAUACACAUGUGAAUACUUAGACCACAACAUGUCCCUAGUGAGCCUCUAGUUGACUAGCUCGUCGAUCAACAGAUAGUCAUGGUUUCCUGAAUAUGGACAUUGAAUAUCGUUGAUAACGGGAUCACAUCAUUGGGAGAAUGAUAUGAUGGACAAGACCCAAUCCUAAGCAUAGCACAAGAUCGUGUAGUUCGUUUUGCUAGAGCUUUUCCAAUGUCAAGUAUUUCUUCCUUAGACCAUGAGAUUGUGUAACUCCCGGAUACCGUAUGAGUGCUUUGGGUGUAUCAAACGUCACAACGUAACUGGGUGACUAUUAAGGUGCACUACAGGUAUCUCCGAAAGUGUCUGUUGGGUUGACACGGAUCGAGACUGGAAUUUGUCACUCCGUAUAACGGAGAGGUAUCACUGGACCCACUCAGUAGUGCAUCAUCAUAAAUUUAAGUUGUCGGUAAUAGUUCUUAAAUCAAAGACACACUAAAAUAACUCCACACACCAAUCUAGCAAGAGAGCAUUGGAAAAAAUAAGUGAACGAUGAUUUCAUCUUGUCCAUAAAACACCCAACAUUUGCUACCUUUCCAAGGAGGGGAACUUUUGGUCUAUGGGUGUAUAUACACCCUAUAUGGAAAAAUAUAUUUAGUAAUUAGACAAAAAAUUCAAGAAAAUCUGAAAAUAUUUUUGAAAUAAAGUUGACCUUCCCUUGUACUUGUAAGAAAAAUUCCACAAAAAGAAAACACGUAUUGACUUCUUUUAAAAAAAGGCCAAAAUAGUGUGAAUAGUGACCUAUAAUGGCACAUAUUUUUUGUCUUUUUUCCUAAUGACAACAUUGGGUUUUUAUUCGCGAAAAUUUAUAUAGUAGUGCAAAACAAAGUCAAGUUUAUUCCAAAAAAACUUCUAAACUUUUUGACUUUUUUGUAAUUAUUAAUACUUUUUUUCUCAUAUAGGUUGUAUAUACACUUAGGAACUAUAUGGUAUUCCCCCCCUUUCCAACCCCUUCUCAGUAAAUUAUCUCUGGUUAAAGUGAUUUUUGUGACAAUUAAUCAUAGAAAUACUUUGAUUUUACAUAAGAACUUCUGUGAAAAUCCACAAUCAUAGUUGUCUGCACAGUGACUUGAUAGUGAAGAUACCAUCAUAAUAUUUGUGUCCACAUGUGACAUGACAAAAGAGUAAGAGAUAUUUAGGAAGGAAAGCUGAAGGGCACAUUUUUUUUCCUAACCGGACCAAACCACACUAAUAGAAAUACAUCAUCCACAAAGAUACGAAGAAGGCAUGGGUAAAGUAGGGAGGAAAAUUUGAGCAUUAGCAACAAACCCGCUGGAGGUGUCCUCAGUCGAAACACCUUCUAUGGGACGAAAACCUACUAAUAUUGGUUAAAAAAUCAACUGAAGUGCUACAAAUCCACCAACAAAACGACAGACAACGACCGCCAUUGUUUAAGGGCACACUAAUUGUCCAUAUCAGUCUGAAAAAUAAACAUAGCCCAUCACAUUUUCACCCAGUAAUUUGGAAAUCUAACAAAAUCGAGGAUCGUUGGACGUAAAUCUAGUAAAAUGCACCUCCAAAGUUAAAUCCACCAGAUAAAAUGGCGAUUAAAAAUGUACCAAAAGUAUACAUUUUUUUCUGCUGGUAAAAGAGCACUUUCUCUGUUGCAUAAUGUAGUGCAUAUAGAUAUAUUUUUUAGAAGUCAGACCUCACAAAAUUUGACCAAGUUUAUGGAGAUAAAUAUUUACCUCUAGAAUGCUAAACAUAUAUAAUUAGAUUCAUCAUAAGAUGUUGGUUCAUAUUUUCUAUAUUUGAUAUUCUAGAUAUAAAUAGUUUUCUCUAUAACUUUGGUCAGAGUUUGCAAAGUCGACUUUUAGAAAAAUCUAUGCGCACUAUAUUAUGAAACCGAGGGAGCAUACAAUUGGAUUUUAGGAGAUUUACAAAAAAGAUGGAUAUAUGUACUAAUAGUAUACAAUUUGGGCGAACCAACCUGUGGUUGGACGGUAGAGGGACUGUGGUAUUCCUAGCCCACCAGGAUCUGGUUCUCGAAUUUAUUCUUGGAUUUAUUUCAGUAUUUGCUGCGAUGCGCAUUCAGUGGGAGGAGACGUUCCCGUCGACGACGAGGUGCCUACGGUGACUUCGUAAAUUUCAAAAUGAUAUGCCGGCUCAAUCAUUCGGAGGUGCUCAGUCUUUCGUAGAUGCUCAUGGGGGUAAGGUGUGCGUGUGUGUUCAUAGAGGUGAGCGUACGCGCGUGUAUAUGAGCGUUUGUGUCUGUACUGUGUUCAGAAAGAUAUACAAUUUGACUUCAUAAGAUUCGGCAAAAGUCCGAUAGUACCAGUAGUAUAUAUACAAUUUGAUACUACGUAGGUAAAAUCUAUCUAUUUUAAAACAUGAUUGUGUGAACAGCUCAAAUAUCGUCGCAACCAGCCGUCAGCAGUGCCUAAUCAACCCAUGCAAGGCAUUUCCUCGCUCACUCGCCCGUUCCCACGAUAAGAACGUGAUCGCCGUUUCAAAUGCGCGUGGACUCCUAUAAAAGGUACCGCACCAAACAACGUCCAACUUCGGAGCACGAGAACUCAACCCACACACAGCGCCCGCAUCCGUCGUUCUCCGAGGAGACGCAAAACUUUCUCACAAAACCCGUCAUGGCACCGAGGCUGGAGCGCGGCGGCAGCGGCUUCCAGCUCCCGAACUCCGAGCUGGAGGACUCCCUCUUCCUCCGCGCCCUAAUCUCCGUCGUAAACGGAGACGCCGUCGUUCCCACGCUGCACCUCGAGCCGUCGUCCACGCCGCACAUUGCCGCUGCAGUUCCGGCCUGCGCCAGCUGCGGCGUGGACGGGUGCAUCGGCUGCAUGUUCGUUGCUGCGGCGGCGCCGGCCGGCUCGAGCAGCGAGGGCGAAGGAUGCUCCGCCGCGAGCUUUGUGAAGGGCGGCGGCGUGGGGAAGAUCACGCGGAGGAGGAGCUGGAGCAAGUUCAGGGGCGUGAGGCAGCGCUCGUGGGGGAAGUGGGCGGCGGAGAUCCGCGACCCGCACCGCGCCGUGCGCAAGUGGCUCGGCACCUUCGACACCGCCGUGGAUGCCGCCCGCGCCUACGAUCUCGCGGCGCUCGAGUUCCGUGGCCACCGCGCCAGACUCAACUUCCCAGACGUGGCCGCGUCGGCGUCGGCGUCGUCGUCUGUUUCCGAUUCUUCUUCGGCGGCUGCGCAGUCGUACAACUUGCCGGGCAGUCCUCGCGAGAACUGGGCGUCAAAAUGUUUCGUCGCGCCGACCGGAGUAGGUAGGACAGGUGGCGAGGGAGCAGAAGAUCAUGAUGCUGGAUGAUGACAACUUCGUGAUCCACGUUUGGAUAAUUUAUUCAUUCGCAUUUCUGAAAGGAUGUUGUUUAAUCAGAAUCGAUGAUCAGUAAGCAUGGCGACCUGUAGUCUGUGUAGCCGCCGCCAAAGCCAGGGCACGUGCUUCAAAAUUUGCCCCUCUCCUUUCAUGCCCGUGACGCAACUCCCUCUUCUUCACGUUAUUAAUUUUCCCGGGUUAACUUUUUUUCUGACAAUUUUCAUGAGUAGUCCCUGUGUAAAGAAAUAUAAGAUCGUUUAGAUCACUACAUAUCGAUGCAACACUUCCAUUUUAGACAAAGCUUGCUUUGGGACUGUGGAUACACGACCUUUUCGAGGACAAUGUCCCCUUGAAGAAUACUCGCUCUUUAACUCGGAGUCGUAGAAGCUAGUGUUGUCUUGCUUGCUCGAAACGUGCUUGAGGAGUGAUGUGUCUCGUAUUCAAGCGACGUUGCUUCAGAGAGCGACCACCAUGGAGCAUCUUAAAGUGGAGUACGACGACUUCUGCUCCAAGAGAGACAUAUAGAGGGAGUAACUUAUAUGAGCGGACUCGUUUGGUCAUUCAACUCACAGUCAGAUGAUAUCGUAACCUUGGUGGUACACAAUUCUAUACUCGACUCUAGAAUCUUUUGCCUUAGCAUCUCUCGUUUCAAAGUUUAGACACGGCCAUCAAAUAUUUCGAAGCACAGGCAAACCACAACUCAGAGCGUUUAGAAUUAUUUUUUUCUCAAACCCCACAGGAACCCCAACCACCCAUUCUCCAAGGGUUUGAAUGAAAAAAUGACCCGCCACCUAUUCCAGCCAUCCCACGCCACCACCGCCAUCCUGCCGGCCGCCAUGAGCCACCCCAGUUUCCGCCUCCCCUUNNNNNNNNNNNNNNNNNNNNNNNNNNNNNNNNNNNNNNNNNNNNNNNNNNNNNNNNNNNNNNNNNNNNNNNNNNNNNNNNNNNNNNNNNNNNNNNNNNNNNNNNNNNNNNNNNNNNNNNNNNNNNNNNNNNNNNNNNNNNNNNNNNNNNNNNNNNNNNNNNNNNNNNNNNNNNNNNNNNNNNNNNNNNNNNNNNNNNNNNNNNNNNNNNNNNNNNNNNNNNNNNNNNNNNNNNNNNNNNNNNNNNNNNNNNNNNNNNNNNNNNNNNNNNNUCACCGCCCAACUCUAGCCGCCCGUUCUCGCCUCCUAUGGCGUGGUUUUGCGCAGCUGCUUCGACCUUUUGGAUUCCGGUAACAAACUUCUUAUCGAGAGAGUUCCUUUGUGUGAGGCUACUGAGUUGUUGUUUAAAUUAUUGGCUUUUAUGCAAUAGUGGCGGCCGCUAACUAAGGCCGCGCUUGACACUAGAGUAUUUACACAUUUUAAAGAGUUUUUUACCGGCUGGUACAGAAAUCCCUGAAAUCCCCCCUAGGCCCGUUCAGUACCCCGGUAUUGGACUGGCACAUCCCCAAAAUUACACGCCGAACCCCUCAACUCCCGUGUGAGAGGAGACGCGAGCUACCCCUCACAAAAUGUUUCCCCCGAUCGUGACGGCGCCUCCUCCUCCGUCCUCCGCCGCCCUCCGUCCUGUGUCCAACAGCUCGCCGCUAGUUCACCUUCUUCGUCGACUCCGUCCAAGCCAAGCCAAACCAAUCCUGCCUCGGAUCCGGAGGCCUCUUGACUCUUGCCGCUGUCGUUGUCCACUCUAUUGCCGCCAGCGUCCACGCCGCCUCAGCCCCUGCUGUCUUCGACGUCCAGAUCCAUCCGACAACCUGGAAUUUUUGCUGGUAUGUACUGUUGGAAAUAUGCCCUAGAGGCAAUAAUAAAAUGAUUAUUAUUAUAUUUCCUUGUUCAUGAUAAUUGUCUAUUUUUCAUGCUAUAAUAGUAUUGACCGGAAACCGUAAUACAUGUGUGAAUACAUAGACCACAACAUGUCCCUAGUGAGCCUCUAGUUGACUAGCUCGUUGAUCAACAGAUGGUUAUGGUUUCCUGGCCAUGGGCAUUGGAUGUCAUUGAUAACGGGAUCACAUCAUUAGGAGAAUGAUGUGAUGGAAAAGACCCAAUCAUAAGCAUAGCACAAGAUCGUGUAGUUCGUUUGCUAAAGCUUUUCUAAUGUCAAGUAUCAUUUCCUUAGACCAUGAGAUGUGUAACUCCCGGAUACCGUAGGAAUGCUUUGGGUAUACCAAACGUCACAACGUAACUGGGUGGCUAUAAAGGUGCACUACAGGUAUCUCCGAAAGUGUCUGUUGGGUUGGCACGAAUCGAGACUAGGAUUUUUCACACCGUAUGACGGAGAGGUAUCUCUAGGCCCACUCGGUAGUGCAUCAUCAUAAUGAGCUCAAUGUGACUAAGUAGUUAAUCCCGGGAUCAUGCAUUACGGAACGAGUAAAGUGACUUGCCGGUAACGAGAUUGAACGGGGUAUUAGGCUACCGAUGAUCGAAUCUCGGGCAACUAACGUACCGAUUGACAAAGGGAAUUGUAUACGGGAUUACUUGAAUCCCCGACAUCGUGGUUCAUCCGAUGAGAUCAUCGUGGAACAUGUGGGAGCCAACAUGGGUAUCCAGAUCCCGUUGUUGGUUAUUGGCUGGAGAGUUGUCUCGGUCAUGUCUACAUGCCUCCCGAACCCGUAGGGUCUACACACUUAAGGUUCAAUGACGCUAGGGUUAUAGGGAAAGUUUGUAUGUGUUACCGAAUGUUGUUCGAAGCCCCGGAUGAGAUCCCGGACGUCACGAGGAGUUCCGGAAUGGUCCGGAGGUAAAGAAUAAUAUAUAGGAAGUGAGGUUUUGGCCACCGGAAGUAUUUCGGGCGUCACCGAUAAUGUACCGGGACCAUCGGAAGGGUUCCGGGGGUGCACCGGGAGGGGCCACCAGCCCCGGAGGCUUCCAUGGGCCAAGAGUGGGAAGGGACCAGCCCCUGAGUGGGCUGGUGCGCCUCCCACCAAGGCCCAAGGCGCAACUAGGAGGAGAGAGAGGAAACCCUAGGCGUAGAUGGGCCUAAAGGCCCACCCUAGGGCGCGCCCCCUCUCUCCCCCUCCUGGCCGCCCCCUCCAGUCCCAUCUAGGGCUGCCGCACCCCCUAGGGUGGGAACCCUAGAGGGGCGCAGCCACCUCCCCUCCUCCUAUAUGUAGGGGGGGUUUUGGGGCUGCCAGAGACACGAAUCUCUCUAUCUCUGGGUUCAGCCCUACCUCUCCACAUCCUCGUCCUUCGUAGUGCUUGGCGAAGCCCUGCUGGAAACCAUGCUGCUCCACCACCACCACAUCGUCGUGCUGCUGCUGGAGUUGUCUUCCCCAACCUCGCCCUCCUCCUUGCUGGAUCAAGGCGCGGGAGACAUCACCGGGCUAAACGUGUGUUGAACGCGGAGGCGGCGUUGUUCGGCGCUUAGAUCAGAAUCGACCGUGAUCUGAAUCACUGCGUGUACGACUCCUCCAACCGUGUUCUUGUAACGCUUCCAUAUCGCGAUCUUCAAGGGUAUGAAGAUACACUCCCUCUCUCUCGUUGCUAGUCUCUCCAUAGAUUGAUCUUGGUGAUGCAUAGAAAUUUUUUAAUUUCUGCAACGAUCCCCAACAUGUACUGGUUCUAGCUCACCUCUCCCCUCCCCUCUGUCUAGGGUUUCACUUGUUGGUCUAACCAUUGGUGUGUUCCUUUAUGAUUUGGAGUUCCAUAUGAUUCUUUGAUGGCCUUGUAUAAUUUUAGUUCUUCUAAUAUGCUUGCUUGGGGCGAGAUUUGGUCUGCAGUUUGUAGUCUAAGAUGCACUUACAACUUUGAUUAGAGAGGUGAUGCAUUCCUUUAUAUGCAGAAGGAUUUUUUAGUACAAAGGGGAUAAUGUCUUUACAUGCAAGAGGAUUGUUCAUUUGUUUGCUUGCACUGAUACAACCUAUUCAAUUGUUCAAAAUCUGAAGAAUCUAUUGGUCAUGUUCAGAACAAAGGGGAUAAUGUCUUCCCUUCACUUUUAUCAAUGAACAUGGACACUACUUAAUGGACUAUUGGCAAUCUUUGUAUUGUAAAUGGAGAACAAUGCCUUUAUUGUAGAUAAUUGUCCUAAUACAUAACGAGAUGGGACACACACACACCCUUCAGUUUAUAGUGCAGGCAAUUUGGAGUAAUACUUUUGUUGCUUCCCUUUCCUAGAAGGCUAAAAGUAUUUGGAGCUAAAGUUUGGACUUUGAACAAGGUUUCUGCUUAGUGAUAUAGCAUGAUCAUUAGCUUGCCCUUGUCUUUUUUCAAGUACAAACAUCAGAAAGUUGUGGCAAAAAGUUUAUUCAUUUUGUGCCAACAAACCAGGAUGGAUUGCUCAUCCUUUUAUUGAUAUUUUUUUAUGGGAGUUGAUGUCUGAGAUUCUUGAGUCUCACACUUUGGACUGAAAUUGUAGUAUAUGUGAAUAGCAGCACGUGAGAGACAUAUGUUAGAGUCGAUGGCACUAAACUACCUUUAAGCCUUGUAUAAAUAUACCUUGAUUAAUGGUGCUAUACAAACUACUUUUUUUCCCUGAUGUGGAUAUGUUUUUACUUGCUAAGUAGCCUUAGUAAUGUAACAUGCUGAAUGGCAGGUGCACUACCGAGUUUACUGUUGAAUGGCAUAUUUUUUUGUUUUAUACCAUCUUUAUGUUCGUGUUGUAUAUAGUUCUUCUUAUACCAUGGUCUGUAUGUUGAUGGGUCUUUCCAAUUUAACCCUUGGACCAACUGAUUAUAGGGACUCCAGCCUUGGUUUAUAGUCAGAGUGGACAAGCAGCCACCUUUGUGGGAUCCCGUUAAAACGCCAAAGUUUGGUAUGCCUUAUAUUUACUAUGGCUUGUUAGCUCUCUCAUUCUUAUUAGCUCUCUAAUUCUUUUCAUUGUUCCUUGAUUGCUUGGGAUAAUUUUGAAAUAUGGAGAGAACAGUAUCAGUCAUGAUGGUCAUGUUCCCUCGUCACUAUGCAUUUUCUAAACAUUUGCUUUGCUAGUUGCAAUCAUAGAAUGUCCAAGGAACCAGAAAAAAAAUCUUCACAUAUACAUUGAAAUUCCUAUGGUCCAUAACACUUGUAGUAGUAUUUUUGGAAAAAAAGUUCAUGUGUGCUCAAGAUCGCUGCUUUCUCGCAGAGUUAUUUUGUGUCUUGUUUGCCACCUAAGAAACCAAAUAGUAGCAAACGAAAGAGCCGCCACCCCCCAAAAGCUAGUUGUGAUGGAAUUGUUUGAGGACCUACUAUUCUGUUCAUGAAGUGUGUGCCAUUCCUGAUAUGUUUGCACUCUUCUAUAAUAUUCAUAUUCUGCAGUAUUGCAAUUUGAUAGCAAGAUGCUUGGGUUGUGUGUGAGCUUUAGCAAGUUUUUCUUGCUAUGAUUUUGUUUAAGUUGUAAAGAUUGGAUUUUUGUUUUGCACCAUCUUAUUAAUGUUUGGAAUUUUUUGUUGUGCUGCUGCUGAUUCUGUGGUUCUAUACCAAAUGUUGUUGUUGUAAUUAGUGUUACACUGCUGUUGUACCAAACACGGGGAAUUGUGGGGGUGGGGGUUUCAGGAGAAUUGAAGGGAUCCGAUGGAGGGGAGGAGAUCACCAAAUCCCGUCCAAUCUCCAAGCCCCUUGGGGGUGGGAAAACAACAAUACGAAAUGAGGCCUAAGGGUUAGAUUGGAGAGCUAUUGGCGCCAUGAUCGAUUGUCUUUGGAAGGUUGUGGGUCAUAUCUCCAUCACCAUGUAACUUCUCUACAUCGCUGGACGGUGUCCUUUGUGCUUCUGUUUUAUUACCUUGGGAAUUGUUGCUUUAUCUAUUAUAAGUGGGGAGAAAGCCUAUUUCCAAAAUGUAUUGCUCGUAGACUAAAUUGCACAAAACACUGUUAUCUCACCCCACUUAGUGUAUCUUAGUCAAAGUAAUCUUUAGUUUGAACAUCUACAAUCCUCAUUUUUAGCAUACCUUUUUUUUGCAAAAGUUGACAGGAAGCCAAAUGAUUACAUCACUGGAAUAUCAGCGAAGUAGGGUCACUAAGGACGUAUUACUGUUUAAUAGACAAUAGUACACAUGCCAUUUUUUGUUUUACAGGCACUACUUAAUUCCUUCGUUUCUUUAUAUUAGGGCAUUUGUUUUUUGAUAAAAUUCCACACUGUAAGAUGCAUUUGUUCUAAUUCCUCGUAAUUCUGUUCUUGGCCCUUCAGAAAAAGGAAAGUACCUCCCAGCUGAUUGCAUGUGUCUCUCCUUGUAGAGAAGAAAAGAAAAUUCACUACAAGAAAUAUGUCAACUUGUGACCACCACUAUUGGUCACUGAAAGGUCACAAAUUUCCAUUUGCGACCUUUUUGUGACCAAAAACACAAGGUCAAAAGCUGGCCGUCAUAAACUGACUAUAGCGACCUUUCUUCUGGAAUGGUCGAAGACGUUUACGACCAAAAUAUGUCCACUAUGGCGUUUUGGUCACUAGCAACCUCCCCAGGCCACGUAGGCAUCCAGCGUGGCAAGCUGAUGUGGCACAAGAUUCAGCCCGGUCCAAUUCAGUUUUCUACAUGGGCCUAGCCCAUUAAUUCAGCCUUUCUAUAUUUUUUUCUGUCAUUUUUUGGUCGACUUCAUGGGCCUGGCCCAACAUUGCAGCCUUUUUUAUUAUUGGGCCUUGGCCUUUUCGUCUAAAUAAUUAUAAUUUCCUUUUUUUAAUUAAAUGGGUCCACCAGUCAGAUGGGUCCCGGUUGUCAGGUUCUGGUAACUGGGUCCGAUUUGUCAUGUUCUGGUAAGUGGGUCCCAUCUAUCAGGCUCAUCUUCUUCAUAUUCGAACCAGUAUUUAAAUGGGCGGACAAAAAGCACACAUAAUACUUUAAAUAAGAGCAACCAGAUCCUUACAAGUGUAAUACAGUGGCAAUCACAGUAAUGACUACAAGUGUAAUACAAUACUUUACAAGCUUUACAAGCAAUCACAAACUCACAACAUGCCAAACUCGUUGGACUACAAUAGUGAUAUGAACAACAUGCCGAACUAGCCGGACAACUAUAGUUAGGGCUGGGAACAAACAAAACGACCUUCAAGAAAAUAGACAACAUGCCUUCCUCGGUCGCCAUGUUACAUGAAUCAGCAGGGAAGAAUCAGAAAAGGUGAAGAAUCAGAACAAACCAUUCAAGAAAAGGAAACUUAUUUAGAAUGAUAACAAAAAUUGAGCUAGUACCAUGCUUUUUGUUCUCCAGCUAGUUAAAAUGACAUAACUCGUUCAUACAAGAAAACAGAGACGCAAUAUGAACACACAGCAGGAUUGACAAGUACACAGCAGGAUUCAAUAAUGUUUUAGGAUCGCAAGACACCAAUAUAAGCUAGAAUUGACAAGUACACAUCAAGAUUCAAUUCAUCUUGCCCAUAUACAGCAACCAACAGACAUCUAACAUUUCAGCAUGCACAUACAAUUUAUUUACUUAUUUUUGAGCAAAACCUCCCACUGCCAAACAAAAUGUCCUUUCAUUUGAUAAACAUAAUGCAUACAAAAUAAUUAGCAGUACUAUAUAUGAUGUGGCAUACGGACAGAAUUUCUACCUUGUUAUCAUUAGGGAGCAACAUGGGGUGGGGGAAGAUUUCGAUCGGCUUCGUGUCAGCUGCCAUCACCACAAACUCAGAGUCUUGGUAGCUGGGGAAAAUAGAAAACGGAGAUUAAAAAUCAUAGGAACUGAAAUUAGUAGGACCGACCAAAGCACGCAGCUAGAGACUGGUCACCUUCAAGGUAGAACAAUGAAUUAACUAGUUUUAGUCAAAGUCAUAAGCAUGCACAUACAGACAUACAUACGAAUUGAACCAGAAUCCAUGUAUGUCUAUGCACUUAAUUGCAGGUUCUAUCCAACUUGCAAUUGGAAGGAGUACAACCUAGUUUACUAGCAGCCUAACAAAAGAUUCAGGUUCUUGGUUUGGUGCAUGAAUCCUGCUGUCAUAGACAGACAGAGAGGAAAGAGCACUGACGGCACAACUACGACAGCAGAGCGAUGCGAGCCAGUCAGGCAGUGCUUGAUAAGCUAUUGAUAAGCAGUUUGCACACAAUUAGCAGGCAACCAAAAAAGUAAUGUUGUAUACUGUUCUGCAGUAAAGAGUAGAAUUUCUUUCUGUUGGCUCUGAAAUUUCUGUCCAUGGUGCACACAUGACAUACCAUCGAUUUGAAUGUGAAACUUAAUUCUGCACAAUUUAGUUGCUUAUAAAUUUCAGCACCAGAUUAGCAUGUCUCGUUACUAAUGAAGUACUUCCUUUAUCAAUCAUAGAAUGGAAGGAAUCACACAACAUCAGGUAGUACUUUAAUUGGAUUUAGUAGUAAAUCUGUAGAUACAUGUGGUUGGUAUCUACUAGUAUCUGGUGUUCUAAUUAGAGAGUUGCUAGUGUGUUUUACUUACCCUUCUCUGCUCUUCUUUUCUACUCCCUCCGUCUGGAAAUACUUGUCGAAGAAAUGCAUAAAAAUGAAUGUAUCUAGAACUAAUAUACAUCUAGAUACAUCCAUUCCUCCGACGAGUAUUUUGGGACGGAGGGAGUACAAGCGAAAGCAGAGCAGGGAGAGCAAGCACACUACCAUAACAUACAAAGCCAUCUACAACCAGCCCAAAAACAUACAUACCUACAGGACUCACUCACGCACUGCCAUUGUGUUAUGGAUGAGCAAGUCUAGUGUGCGAGAGAAAAUGCAGACAAGUUGAGGUAAAGUGCUGACCUCACGCUGUGAGGAACAGAUCGAGGAGCUAAUAACUGGGCAAUGCAGCACCAAGUCCGACUCUACUACUACUACCUGUGAUGCAUCAUUGUUGAUCCAUGGCAGAUAAUAGUAAAGAUUAGAAUCCAUGAUUUUGAUACAGAAGUUACCUAGCCUGGUAGCCUAGCAUAGAACAGCACUACAUAGUACUUGGCCAGCAAUUUUGAGCAAUUCAGUGACCGCAUCGCAUGACAACAAAUAUAAAAACUAUGAACAACAUUGCAUACGAUGUGUGACAACAGAGAACACAUUUGACAAUGCAGAACGCAUGCGCAACCACACAUCCCAUAACAGGGUUACAAUCUAGAGGCAGUUAGCUAGCUGCUACCAGAUCGCUCACUCAUCAAUAUAGAACUGCAAAAGAGCGCAAAAGAAAUAAAUCAACGAGAGCAUAAGGCAUACUGUAGCCAGCUAGCUACAUUUCAUCUUGAGACUUAUCCUUGUGCUUUUGUAGCAUCUCGAUAACUUGGUCCAGGGGUGGGUCUCCGGGCCUCCGAAAAACCCGGUCGCCGAUCUUGAACUUGUACGUCUCCGGCUGCACAGAAUGAACUCCUUCAACUACAAAACACAUACGGAAUUAAAAGGACGUCGGUAAGAGCAGGGAAGAACAACGUUCGAUAAUGCUUCACAGUAACUAAGUAAUCGAUCCUUGAUAAAGUUGCGCAACUUUAUUAUUUCACAGUGUAUUGGCCAGUCAUAACAUGCACAUUUUCAGUAUUUGUAGUGUCCUAAAUCUGAGGAUAAUAAAGGGGGCAAAGAUAGUAGUAUGAAGGAAUGACACGUAUGAUUGAAGAUUUGUAGUGUCCUUUGUGCUACAGCAGUGGUAUAGUGGGACAAAUGCACCAUAAAAAAGUGGUGAUGGUAACUGCAACUGAUUCCCGGAUAUUUGAUGAGCAAACAAGCAUGUAUUGUAAGCAGCAUUUUUGUCCCUUGGAAAUCAGCAUGUACAUACAAGUCGAUUUGAAAUAUUUCUCCCCCAAUGCAGCACCCAGUACAUUGGUACAGGCAAUAGUGAAUCAGAAAACAAAAUGAUGACUACACCAAUGGUAAGCAACUGCAAGCAAUCUUCUGUCCCCAAACAGUCGAUGAGUCAACAAGCAUGUAACGAUGUAAACAACAAUGCAGCAAGUGCAGGAAGAUGAAGCUGCUCCCUCCAACAGGAGGGAAGCCACAACAGCAAUUAGAUCUACAGAAAUCAUCUACAAAUCUAUACUAGGGAGGGCGUUCUCAGGAAACAGCAAGGGGCAAGGUACAAUAUGCAUCCAUGGGGCAAGCAAAGCAGAGCGGAUUAUUAGGCGAGAACCAUGCCAAUAAACCUACUAAUAUGUUAGGCGUAGCUAUUGACCACAACUAGCAGCUGCUUCAAAAUGAUACACAAAUCGCAAGGCGAAUGAGAGCAGGAGACCUCGUAAGAGGCCAAUUUGAGAACUUGCAUGCCGAGGAUGAGGAGGUCGGGGUCUCCUGGAGCGCGAGGGCGCGGAGGAUCUUGGCGACGGCGAGCGGGAAGACGCGGGCGAAGGCGUCGGUGAUCCCGCGGUAGGGCCGCGUGAGGGCGCCCCAGCGCAGUAUCUCGGCCUGGUUCUGCAGCAGCAGCUUGACGCGCUCCACCGGCGCCGCCCCCGUCUUGGCCAACACCGCCGCCGCGCCGCCCGCGCCGCAUGCGCACGACCGUCGCAGUAGGAGGCGGCGCACGACCUCGGCGUCCGCGGAUCAGACGGCCGCGAAGAGCGCCUGGUGGGAGAGCGGCGGGAGAUCCAUCGUCGGGCGGGCGGCCAACCGGAGAGCCGGCGCGGAGCUGACCAAAUGGAACCCUAGCGCGUCGGCCGACCUGCUCGACUCGAUCUGGGGCAUAGGGUAGGAGAGAUAGCGAGGGAAGGGAGUGACGAGGUCGGCAGCGGUGGUGAGGAGGGCUGCGAGGUCGGCGGUGGGUGGGAGCGGCGGGGAGAAGACUGGAUCGAGGGAGGAGGUGGCGGCGGCUGCGAGGAGAGGAGGGAGUCGAUGGGAUCUGACCUAGGGUUUGGGCUGCGGGUGGGGGGUAUCUCUUUUUCAUUUUAUUUUCUUUUUUUUCAGUAAAUAGAUGGAUGGAUGGAUGUGGGAUGGAGAGAUGGAUGGAUGGAUGGAUGGGCGCCAUGUCAUCGAUCCGUGGGAAGAGUCCUGAUUGGUUCAAAAACCAGUGAUUUAAAAAACUAUCUAAGUACUAAAAUAGAGGGAUUUUGUGAAGUAGCUAUCAAAAAUAUUUUGCAAAAUGCCACCACACAAAUUUUCACUAGAGUUAGACCACAUUUUAUGGAUAAGGACUAAUUUCUAUGCAUUUCUGAUCUUUCUAGCUAUUUUUAAUCAUUUUUCGAGUGCCCGAAAGGAGGUUUUUUUGUGAAGGAACUACCAAAUAAUUGUUGCAAAAUUGGACCAAAUCAUUUUUCUAAAAUACUAGGACAUAUUUAAUGCACAAUUGACCAAAUGGUUGGGUGUAAAAAGUUUUGAUCCACCUCUCAUGAAAAAGACAAAUUUCCGCCGAUUUAGUUGGAAGUGGGUCAAAUUUGAACUGCAGCUACCUCAUAGUUUGCUAUUUAUUUUUUCCAAAAAUCAUUUCUAGGUACAUAAGUAUCUAUUUAAUCAGAGAAACACCAAAUAAAUUCCAAGAUUAAACAACUAGCUAGGAACGGUCAUUCCCGCCGUUUUGGCCGCAUUUUGAAACGGGCAUAAAAAAUUCAAAAAAAAUCAAAAAAUUGGGAAACCUUCGUAUUGUGUCAUUAUAUGUGGCCAAGUUCCCAGGAAAAAUAACAAACUGGUAAUACGGCAAUUAUUUUAAAAAAGUGUUCUCAGAAAUGAGCUAUCAUCUCUCAAGAUUCAUGACUUUCAAGGCAAAUGAUCAAACUUAUGGCCACAUUCGUGCCAUAGUUUGUUCAAAUGAUCUCAUAUUGUGCACAAGGGUGCAUAUUGGAAUGGCAAACAAUGUUGCCUAAGGAAGUUUUCAUUUUCUUUGGACGAAAAAAACAUUUUUCAUUUUUCGAGUGCCCGAAAGGAGGUUUUUUUGUGAAGGAACUACCAAAUAAUUGUUGCAAAAUUGGACCAAAUCAUUUUUCUAAAAUACUAGGACAUAUUUAAUGCACAAUUUACCAAAUGGUUGGGUGUAAAAAGUUUUGAUCCACCUCUCGUGAAAAAGACAAAUUUCCACCGAUUCAGUUGGAAGCGGGUCAAAUUUGAACUGCAGCUGCCUCAUAGUUUGCUAUUUAUUUUUUCCAAAAAUCAUUUCUAGUUAUAUAAGUACCUAUUUAAUCAGAAAUACAUGGUUUGAUGGAGAGACAUCGAGGUUUCGACGGUGGCCGAGGGCCCCAACUCUAGAGCGCGUAAGCUCGCAUGCCCGUCGCGUGGUGACCGCGUGACCGUGGCGUUGCCAUGUGUUCUGGGCGGCCUAGGCAUGUCUAGUGGUUUGGGAACUCCCCAGGUAGGUGCUAGGAAGAAAAUCACAACAUAAGAUUCUCACGAGGAGACCGAUCGAUGCUUAAACAUGAAUAAGCAGCGAAGUGUUUGAUUAGCGGUACGGGAAAUGUACAUGGCUAAUGGCCGUGAGUUUUGGCUGAGGAUGAUCAGUUACUAAGAAGACCGUCUUCACAAAUUUUCAACUCAAAAGGAGGAGCCUAGGUGGUACUUGCUUUGGAAACCACCACACUGGACAUAAAUAUGAAUGUUGAAGUUCGGCUCAAAAUAAUGAAUGGAUUGAGCUGGCAUUUGGUGGAGGAUGGUUAUUUGGGCAUAGAAAAGCACUGUAGAAAAUAGAUACUAUUUGGACAUGCGAAAGUGGUACUACCUUCACAAACUGUUGUUCUGAACAGAAUAGGAAAAUGAAUAUUUUUCAAUUAUUUUUGAACUAGGAAAGGAAGGCUUUUACAUAUUUGACGAAGAUAUGACCCAAAGAAUUUAUGAUCUUUUUUUGGUAAUUUUGGAAAUGACAGAAAUAUAGGUUGCUUCACAACCUAGGGCAAAAACUGCCACAUGGACAUGACACUUAGGCAAAACUGAUGAGAUGGCGCCUAGUCAUCGCAACCCAUCAUAAUUUACAAGGCUAUGACCAUCUAUAUUGGUCGUUAACAACUAGAAAUAAGGCAAAGGACUAGCGCUGUUUGCUUUAUGACCAUUUCGUGUAAGGAAAUUACGACCUUUCUGACCAAAAUGGUCGCAAUGGUUUAGCGUUUGGAGCCCCCGAACAGCUUUUGACCAAUUGGUCUGAAAUGGUCAUAGAUCUAUGACCAAUUCUUCCAGGGUCACUGACAGAAGGUCACAAGUUGACAUAUUUCUUGUAGUGAUUAUCUCUCUCCCGAUUGUGUGUAUCUCUUUCUUUGCUAGCCUAAAUGAUCUACUUGCCGCUAAUCGACGAAUUUGACAAGGGUACCUAAUUUGUCCAUAAAUAUGUGACUUGGUUGCCUUACAAAAUAAUACACCUUACAUAAAGAAUGAAGGGAGCAAACAAUAAUACACACGACAUUUCCGAUUUUAGAGACAACUCGAGCGGGAGUAGGUCUUUCGAUUUUCAAACUUUCAUAUCUUUUGAAUAAAAUAUUCAAAUUAAAAUAUGUUUUCAUAUUCGUGUUUUUUGUGACGAGGGCUUUCAAAUAAGUUACAUUUUUAAUAUGCUUUGAUUAAUUUUGAAAAUAAAUGUUAAGUUUCAACUCUUGAAAUUUAGCAGAGAAGCCGAUAAAAUCAUGAUUUUUGUGCCUACGACCGACAAAAAAAGGUCUUAAAAUCUUAUUUGUGAAAAUUGAAAAGAGCCAAGUGAGAAAAUCGUAGUUUCAAAUGAAAAAUUGUAAAUUUCAAUGACUGAAACUUAAAACUUGUUAUGCUCUUGUGUGGGAUUCAACUACUUUACGAAUCGCGAAACAAUCGAGCGGCCAUACAAGACUUGGCUGGCAGGUGUGUGCUUCCACACCUGCAUACCCGUGCGAAUUUCCGCAACUCGAGCUUCUCUUGCCAGGUCGACGCUGGCUCGGCCCAGUUACCGCAUAUGCGAGAUGGAUCAAGAGCGUACCAAGUGGUUUUUUUGGACCGGAACGACCGUUGCUUUUCAGGUUGGCUCGUGUUCAGCCAUUUCUUUCAGGCCUUGAUCUUUUACGACCAAGUGGUAGCGUUUGUCUACAUCUGAGAACCAGGCAUUUGGCGGAUUAGACUAUAGGCAUGUGGAUCGUUCAAAAGGGGAAUGGGGCAUGGGAGCGCUCUCGCGACCGACCGCGGCGGCCGCCACUCUGGCCCCGCCGCCCACCGCUGCCGCUGCUUCCCUGCUGGCUGGAACCGCCUCGGGCGCGUUGCCUCUGUCGCCGGCCGCGUUGCAGCCCCCGGAUCGGUUCUCUCAGUCCAGAUCGGGAGGAUCUGGAGCCUGCGUCCCUUGCCCUUUCAGUCUGGAUCGGGAGGAUCUGGAUCGGGUCUCCACGCUCCUGCCGCCGCCGGCGGCUGGCCACGGCUCUGCUACUGCCGUUGGGGCUGGUGUGCUCUUGGUGACGCCCCUGGUGACACUCUCUCCCAACCUCGCGGCUGCAUCUUCACGCAGCGACGCGCGCACCAAGUCUGAAGCUUCCGCCGCCGCACUUGCUCUCCGCAGGUCCGACCCAUCUGUGGGUGGCCGAUGGACACUUCAGCUCGCCGAGCCCGCCACAGCGACAUCUACGACCCUGCCACUCUCCGCUCCUCUAGUCGACGCCUCCACUGUCCGCCUGGCGCCGCGUCCACCCCUGCCAAGUCCUGAUAUGGCGGCCGAGCCAGCCACUAGUCCCCUGCAUCUGGUCCAAGGGGAGCCGGAUCCUGCUGCCACCGCCCCGGCGACCUCUUCUCUCAGCAAGCUGUUGGCCCCUCUGGCGCCGACCAUUCAUUCUCGGAUGUCGUUGCUGCUGCCAGGUGACUCCGUCCAAGGGGACGGCACGCCUCCCACAUGUUCAAGUUGGGGUGAUUGGCAUGGCUGCUUCCAUCGGGAUGCAACACAUGGUGUUCCAGUGUGUGGCGUGCCCGCGCGUUCUAGGGAUCUUCUGGAUGGAUGGCACCUUGUAUCGGGGCGUCGCUCGUCGCCUCGCGUGCCCUGCUGUGACUCUGCGUCCAUAGCUCGGCCAGCUCUCCCGGCAUGGCUGAGAGACCGUUGCUUCUGGUGCCUCUCCAAGGGUCAUCGUGCUCGUGAGUGCAGGGACUCAUUCUGGUGCAUGGGAUGCCUCCGAUUUGGCCACAAAGUGUGUUUCUGUUGUGCACAGCACCGCACCGACCGGACUACGACACUGCGACAUGCUGCUCCACCAUCCACCCCAGCGCCUGCAUCAGAUGUCGAUGCAACACCGGUCGAUGUGGCAUUGCAGCCCGUCCUUGUGGAGCAGACUGAGCUACUCCGCGCUGAGCUUCGCGACUACAUUGCGCGAGUUGGGAGUGUUUUGGCAAGUGCAGAGGCUGCUCUUGCCAAGCUCCAGGUUGUGCCCGUUGUGUCCGUGUUGCCCGAGAUCCACGAUGGUUCUGCCGAUGUGGAAGCAGGCAUGUAUGGAGAUCUCUCCCCUCGUGCUACAUCCUGCCUGUCAUCGCUGCCUGUCAUGCCGAUUGCUUCUGAGAGUGAAACCGUUGUUGAGGUCGUUGCUCCGGUGCUGCAGGUUAUGCCUGAGCUGCGGAAGCUUUGUGAGGAGCCCACUUCGCCUAUUUCGAUGGUGCUUCCUAAGGAGAUGGAGUCGCUUGGAGGGGCCUUGGCGAUGCCGACUGCAACCUCACCUCCGUCGUUGGAGCCCAAUCAGCUGAUCACCUUUGUGGACUGUGGGGGUUUGGAUGCUGCUAUUCUUGUCCCACCUGUGGCUGUUGGCUAGGUGGCAUCUGGGGGUGCCGAGGUUGAUGAGGUAGGUGCUUUGGCACCUAAUUCUGAGGCGUUGAAGACCAUCAGAUCGCCCAUCUUUGACCGUGAAAGUAUGAUGGCAUGUAUUGAUGAGGUGGUCUUCGCAAAAAAGCUUUGCCGCUUGCUCGCUGGUUUGGAGGCAACUAGCCCGGGGUCUGGCAAGGCGAUUGCCGGCCUCCUAGCAAAGGAGGUUUCUACGGGAAAAAUCAAGAAGGUGAAGAAGGCUCUCAGGAGCAUAGGCAAGAAGAGCGGCGCCAUUGGUAAGGCGUCCGCGGCUGCUUAAUGGAUGAUACUCAGUCUCUUCGAUCACCAUCUCCGAUUGGCUCGUCUUCGUGGAUUGGGUGGUGUCUGUUGUAUUCAACCUUAGUUUCGUUGGGAGUUUCAUUGCGACGUAGAAGUGCGAGGGAUCAUGGUUGUUGCCUGUUAUGUAUGUUUGUCGGGUUGAUCGGGGGUCAUUGAGUUUUUUUAUUAGCGAGUAGUCCGCAUGUGGUUUAUAUGUAUGGGUUUUUGCCCAGUUUUCCGUUAAUUAACCAGGCAAUUCUCUUUUUCUUAAUUAAUCAAUGAGGCAAAACUUUUGCUUCCGUUUCAAAAAAAGAAACUAUAGACAUGUGUGAAAGCUUUGCCUUAGAUGCAUAUACAAAAUGAACAAGCAGUUUCGCUUUCACACCCCAUGCCGCUGGGAGCUCUGAAUAUUCCAUUCAUCCUAAACAAGUUGGGGGUCAAAGUCUACGAGUCCUCUGUCAGCGUUCGGUUCAACACACAGCGCGCCAGGUCGCAGGGUUCACUCCAAUUCCAGUUAGCGCCUGCCCCAUUUGUUCGUUUAGCACCAUCACGUAUUAGCUUGUUCCUGAAAUAAAAUGCAAGACGGUGUUUCUCUUUACUGGCACUGUACAGUGUUUAGUGUGCACCAUCUCAGAUGUAAGAGGGAUUUCAAAUCGUGGACACGGAUUUUUGAUGGGCGAUGCUGAGCGCAUCCUGUCCGUCAGAUCCGCCCAUCCUGAGCCAAUGGAUCUUUAUCCAACCAGAUCGUGCUAGCCCAGAUCGUCUUCUUCCUCUCGCUAGCGCGUACGAGGAAAAGGAACUCCGUCUCACCGGCCGCGCACGUUCUCCCUCGCCGCCGCCUCCUCGCCUACCCUCCUCGUCGCCACCCUCGUCGCCCUCGCCGUCCGUCUUCUCCGGCCGCCAUGGUCGCCAGUCCCAGCCCUCGGCGGCCGUCCUCGUGGCCGGCUUCGCCCAUGCAACAGCCCACCCCUGUGGUUGUAGCUUCCAUGGAAACCGUUGUAGCUCCGGUGGCGACGACCGGAGCACACCGGCGUGCUCACCGGUGUGCUCGUUGGCGCUCAUCCCCUGUUUGCAACAAAAAAAUCAAGCGCCGGGGGAUAUGCUCAGUGCUGCAACCGACGACGGAAAAAGCUACAACCGCUGAUGCAAAAAGCUUCAACCGGCUAUGAAAACAGUUUCAACUCGUACGACGAAAAAUUAUGAACAACCAAAGAAAAGUUACAACCGAUGACAAAAAAGCUUCAUCUGGCGACGAAAAAAGCUUCAUCCGACAAUGAAAAAAGCUUCAACUGUGAAGUCGUAAGCCAUGGAUGACAAAAUGAAAAGCUGCAACCGGCUGUUACAAAACGCCAUGGCCGGAUGUAGCUUCCAGCGAUGCCGAUUGUAGCUUUCACAACCGCCGGUUGCAGCAAAAAAACACAUCGUCGUCGCCGUCGGCGCAUCAUCGUCGUGAACGGUUGUAGCAUUGGUCAGCGACACUUUCCCCGGUUGCAGCUCCGAUGUGCAUGGUUGUAGCAUCUCCGCGGAUCGGUUGUAGCUCCUGCGACACAUGAUUGUAGCGUUUCCGCUGAUGACGGCGUCGCCUGGCUACAGCUCCGGCGAACUCGGGUAGCAACUCUAGAGAAUGUGCGUAGCUUUUUAGGUGAACGGUUGUAGCUUUGUCGACACACCUCGCCGGUUGUAGCUCCGGUGUUCACGCGUUGUAGCAUCAUUGCAGGGUGGUUGUAGCUUUUUGAUACGUGGUUGUAGCAUUGAUGUCGUUGUCUGCCAGGUCGUGCGGCAACCUCCGAGCACCGGCAGCUCGAAGCAACCUCCGGCGAGCGGCAGCAGGCCGCGUCCUCAGCAGGUCCUUCAUGCUGCCGGUUCCCAAAGCAGCUGGUCCCUGCAGUGGCUUGUCCAAGGUUGGGCUUGUCCCUCCCAAGCAGUAGGGAGAAGGAAGAUGGCAGCGGGAUUUGCUGCCUUCUCUGGGCGAGAUUGCUGCCGGGUCACCAAUGUGCGGUGGUGGCAGUUUGUCUCCGGUGAGAUUGCUGCCGUGUUUGGGAGAGGAGGUUGCAGCGAAGAAGAAGCUGGGCUGGGUGUGAGAACGAAGAUAAGGGAGGAGGAUGACGUUGAGGUGGGCCCUCACACCUAACGUGUCGCAAUUUGUAUCGCUAGGAGCUGCGCGCGUGGGCUGAACCGGCCGAAGCGUUCGGCCGGCGCGCCGAACGCAAGCGUUUCCCAGUUUUGAAACAUGGUUCCACGCACACCCAUUAUAAAUAGAAAAAGUAAAUAAGUAAACGUUACUCUUUUGGAUCCAUAUUAAUUGGGGAGUAGUAAAAAAUAAACAAUUCUGAUAUUUUGUAUGAUGAAUAAUCGAGUGUUAUACUCACGUGUGAAGUUUCAUGAGCAAAUAACAUCUGUGGUAUUUUAGGCAAGAAGACAAAAUUGAUGCUUAUAAAAAAGACCAUUUUUUCAAGUAAUUUGGAGGUCCGAAUUUGUUUUCAUCGCUAAGAUACUAUAGUGGUCAUUUCUUCGUGAAACUUCACAUGUGGGUAGAACAGUCGACUAGAGUUUUGUAACCUAAAAUUUUAGAAUUGUUGGAUUUUUUUGAUAUUUUUUUGGUUUUUUAUUUACUAAUUAUAUUGGGUGUUUGUGGAAACUAUGUUCAUCAUUGUAUUUUGGUCAAAACCGCCAGCUAUUGUCAAACGGUCAUUCGCUAAAUAAGGAAAACUUAACAGCAUAAUAUGUGUGAACAGUUGUAAACAGCCGUUAGCAGUGAGGAUCUGCUUAAUCAUCCAUCCAGGCAUAUCCACACUCGCUCUCCUGUUUUCCGCACCUCCGUUCCCACGACAAGAACGUGUCCAGAAGCUCGUCCUUCAAAAUUUGCGCGCGGUGAUGAACUUUCUAUACCACAGGAGUACUAUAAAAGGCACGGCAUCAGACCACCUUAAACACAUCACUGAGAAUAGGUCAACCAGACAGCACAUGAAGCAAAACUUUCUCGCGACGCUGACCUGACCACGUAGGUACGGUACAUCACAGCUGAGCUGCACGAGUGCACGUCAUGGUGCCGAGGCUGGAGCGCGGCGGCAGCGGCGGGUUCCAGCUCCCGAACUCCGAGCAGUAGAACUUCCUCUUCCUCAGCUGUAAACGUCGGGUUACAUGUUUCACGUUGCAUGUAAUUGUAUGAGUUGUGGGGAUUCAACGCCGGCGUUUGCUGCCACUCCGGCCGCGGGGACGUCUGCUGCAGCUGCUGGGUGCGUUCGGUGUGGCGUCGGCGUGGACAGCUGCCUCGGCUGCGACUUCGACGCCGAGGAGAUGGCUGGCUCCAGCAGCGAGGGGGAAGGGUACUCCGCCGCGGGCUUCGGGAGGGAUUUUAGAUACUGAUGGAAUUCAAAAAUGAAAUUAUUGGUAGACAAAGCAUAUAUUUGGAAGCAUAUACUCUCUUCGUUUCAAAAGAGAAAAAUUCACUACAGGUCCAUUUACAUGCACUGGCGUUAACUUUAGUCCCUGCGGUUACAAAUACCUGCAAUACGGUCACCAAACUUGCUCUAGGGGUCAUCUACGGUUCAUUAUACGAUUUUCUAUACGUACGCGCUGAGCUCGCCUUGGUCAACGGCUGCCAACUGUGUGUUGACUGCCACAUGC
rnacentral:lncRNA from 1 species